rnacentral:lncRNA from 1 species
CUCUGUACAGAAAAGGAUGUCGCAACUUCCCCACCUUCUAGUUCAAACGAAAAUUUGCAAAAAUGUCCCUCGAAUUUGAAAUUUUGAAUUCAUAUCUCAAAUUCAAACUGAAAUCUUGACUGUCCGUCGCCGUCCCUCUGGCCUCGCGCGGCUGGAGCUCCUGCUGGCCUCCCGCUGCCCACGCCCGGCCGGCCUCCCGCUGCCCUCGCACGACGGGAUUACCCGCCGGCCUCCCGCUGCCCUCGCGUCGCCCGAGCUCGCGCCGUCCACCCGCUGCCCUCGCGCGACCAUCCGCUCCCGCCGGCCUCCCGCUGCUCUCGUGAUCUGGAAUCGUGGCGGUCGCCCCGUUGUGAUCUGGGAUCGUGGCGGUCGCCUCCCUCUGCUCCGUUGUGCCUCUGAUCCUCCACAACGCCUCGCCGCUCGCCUGCUCUCUGCCUGCGAGCGCCUUGCUGCUCCACAGCGCCUCGCCGGCGGCCUGGCUGCCUGCGCGCGCGGCGUGCUGCUCCGUGUGCUGAGCAGCUGGCCCUCCUCUUCUCCGCUUCACGCUGCUGACCUCCUCUGCACCUGUGCGCUGCUGCUUCUCCUCGACCUGGUGCGCCGGAACCUACGGAACCUGCUGCUCUUACUCCUGAACCUGUUGAACAUGCUGAAGAACAGAGCAGUGCAAAUUCAGUUGUACAAGAAGGUCAGAAUUUAGGGGAAGAAAUUAACAAUCCAGAACAAAUUGAAAAUCCAGAUAAUAGGAGUAUAUGGCUGUUUAUAAUAUUGACUGAAUUUUAUUUUGGACCAGGUGUCUGUUUACAAUGUUCAGAUCAAUGUUAACAAUCAACAUAGCAGCAAACUGAAUUUAAUUUGAUUUACUUAACUGCCACUGAAUGAUAUUACUCCUGUUCCUGUUCCUCUUCCAGAUUCUGCUUCAAUUUUGAGUAGUCUGCUAACUGAAUUUAUUUUGACUAGUCUGCUAACUGAAUUUUGAGUACAGUAGCUUCUUCCAAAAAGGACCUGAACAUUACUGUCAAUCAAGAUCAAUACUCAUCUCCAGUUCAGAAAAUUUCUUACUCCUGAAAUAGCUUGUUCUGAAAUAUCUCCAGCAUUGCGGGAAUAGCUUGUUCUGAAAAAUCUUAUCCCUCUUCUCUAUCUUUUUCCUUUCUUUAUGUCAGAUAAGAAUCUAUGUUCAUGCAAAGGAAAUAUGUCUACCGUAAAAAUGGGCUGCACACAGAAGAAAUGUUCUCGGUAAUUUAGCUUCUUCCUGUACAUUGAAUCUAAUUAUGAAACUGAUUUACUCCAUACUAACAGUACACAUUUGCUAAUGGUAACCACACAAAGUGCUAAUGGUAACCACACAAAGUGCAAAGCAUUAUACUCCUACAACACCAGAAAUGAGUUAUAUUUCUAAAUCAGAAAUGUAUCAUCGAUGGCAGAUAAUGCUGCAAUUGGAUGUUGACAAAAUACUCUGGACCUAUAAUACCAGCUACUAGUGUCACAUAUUUUUGGGCAUUCCUGUAAUGGACAUCACUCAAAUGAAAUUGAAAUGCAAAUGAGAGGUGAAGAAACCAUAUACUGUCAGCACAUUAUUCCCUGGCCAUAGGAAAAGCAAGGAUGCAGCAGCAGAAACCACAUCCACACAAUGAUUCAGUUUCUGUAAUGUUUCCACUGGUGUCAACACAUUAUUCCCAUCAAUGAUUCAGUUUUCAAAAGGCAGAAUUCUUUCGGUUAAGACGUGCAGCAGAAAUUAUGUCAAAUCCACAUCCACACAAAAACAGGGAUAAUCAAUCAGCAGAAACUAGCCAUAGAAAGGCUUGUAAAAGAUGCAAUUCCACAUCCACACAAAAACAAGGAUAAUCAAUCAGCAGAUUCAGUUUUCAAAGGCUUGUAAACAUUAGGUUAAUGCAGAUUCAGAACACAAAAACCAAUCAAACAACCAGCUAUUUUAGACAGAGUAGUAACAAGCUGUCAGAACAUUAUUCCUUGGACUAAUCUGUCAUGUUAAAUCCCUAAUCGUAAACAUGUAUACUCCUGGAGUAGAAAAGGCUCAUUGCUGCAAUUUGGAGUUGCACAUUGUUCAGACAGAACACUAGCUAGUUUCAGAGUUCCGUAUGAGGCAGAUAGGCUUACCAUUGGACGCAGGAAGAAGGCUGGGGCAGCUCCACCCGAUGGAACUCUGAAGAAGAACACCCGGUGGACCUGGAACCGCGCCGCUCCCGACCGGCGAGCCCUCUGUACUCUGCAACUGCGCCACGCCGAGCCUUCGAAUCGGGUGCUGCGGUGGCAGCCCUGCAGUAAGGCCGAGCUUCUGCGCAUGGCUUCGUAUCUGCGCCGCCGCCCGCCAUGGAGGACAAGGGCGGAAGAUUUAAAUCUUCCACCUCUCGUUGCACUGCAGCACAAAGGUAGAGAUUUCGAUGGAAAUCGCAGGGGAGCAGCACGGGUGAGCAGCGCGGGGGAUCAAGGGCGGCACAGGCGUGGGGGAGAAGGGCGGUGCAGGCGGUGGCCGUCCGAAUCGCGGGAGGAGAAAGGUGGCAGAUUUCAAUGGACAUCGCGGGGGAGAAGGGCGGCGCAGGCGUGGGGGAGAAGUGCAGCGCAAGCGUGGUGGCCGUCCGAAUCGCGGGAGGAGGCAUGGGGGAGAAGUGCGGCGCCGGCGAGCGAGGCCGGCGCGGAGUGGCAGUGGGACGGGCGAGACAGGAGAAGAAGCUGGAGUAUUCUGUUUGUCGGGAAUUUGUGAAGGGGCUUUUCAGAAAAACGGCCGCGCGACAUCCUUUCCUGGACAGAGGGAGUAGUAUAAUUGCUGUUCUCACGCCUAAAUUAGGCCCCAUUAGACUGUGAGUCGGACUCAACUCAACAGAGAGAAAGAAGAUUGGCUUGGUUGCCUGCUGCAGCUUCCUAUGGUGGUGAGUGCUGACGAUUGGGGAAAAGCGGGAGUGUAUGGAGGAGACAACGGGUUCCAUGUAAAAUAAUACUCCUUCCUUCCCAAUUUAUAGGUGGUAUUCAGAUUCCGAGAAAGUUUAAAUCACACACAAACCUAUAGAUUUGUUAAUUAUUGCUGCGGCUGAAACGGAUCAGAUAGAUUUUGGUGCAAGUAAUCUCACAGCCUCAUGCCUCAUGGUCGAGGCUCUAUGCAGCCCAGUGCAUGCGCACCUAACCCGGCCAUGCAAAGCCCACUAUAAAUACAAUCGGCAGGAGAAGUUAAUGGAUGUGUGGAAACCGAAUCAUUAAUUAGGUGGGGUGUCAUUACUUUCUAAUACGACAUCUACUACAGGAAAAAAAAAUCUGAAGUGACCUGUAAAAUUGGAAGGAGGGAGUAUGUGAGGGAGAUGGGGAGCUGCUCGGCUUAGAAUUCUAGAACUCAUUUCAUUGGUUGGAGAGUUUAUUUCUGUACGCUUCGGGGAGAGAUAUUGCCUUCACCACUAUAAUAACCAACCUUCCAAUAUUUGAAAUGCAAGUUUGACCCAUAUGAAGAUAACAAAAAACAGAGAAAUUUGAUAUUCCGGAAUAUGCUGAUUAUUUUUUCUUCAAAAGUGCGACUGAAAAGAGAGUGCUUGAUCACUUCAAUUGAAUACACAGAACUUUGCCAAUUGUGAUUAAUAGUAACAAUGUUAACCUUGUCCGUUCUUGGUACAUCAUGUUCUCUUGUGUUAGUUGGGCAGUUGGAAGUUAUUUUAAAUUCUAAUGCAACAAUUUUUUCUGCAAUACCUUGUUUGCAUAUAUUUAAGAAGAUGUGUAAAAUAGCUAUUUUUAACAUCCUUUUUAACUGUGUUUACCAUCUUUGACAGGGCAUAUCGAUCAUUCAGCUAGAGUUAUGAAAAUAAUAACAUGGAAUAGAUCCUUCAAAGGCAUGCAAAAUGGUGAUGAUGCAAAGGAUGACUUUGAAAAUGAUGAAUUGGAGACUCUGGCAACUGUCAUAGAUAAAAUUUUAGCCUGGGAGAAAAAGCUGUAUGAUGAAGUGAAGGUGCGUCUCGUUCCUCUAGUCCAUAAUGGUGUUUUUUGCAAUUUUGCUCAUUAAGAACUUCAAUAUUCUGAACCAGUUUUGAUUAAGUUUAUGAUGACUCUACCAAAACAAAACGUUUUGAUUAGGACGCCCUUACGCCAGGCUUCGUUACAUUACAUCUUUUCUCUCAUCCUUUAUACUCUGUUGUGAUCGCACCGUCUGUGCCGCUGCUCUGCCAUUCUGACCCUCCCCCGCUGCCCCCAAUGUUGUGUCUUGCCCCAUGCUCUGUCCUAUUGAAAUCCGGAUGUCCCCUUGUUUCUGUCACAUGGAAGGCCACAUAUAGAGCUUGAAGCCAUUUUCAUUACAUGGCCAUGUGAAUAAGACACCAUGAUUCCUGUGGAUGAAUAAGAUGUACCUGGAUAAAGCAGAUGUCCAGAACCGGGACUCUGAUGUCUUUGUGGAUGUUUUUUUUUACCUUAACUGGUCAGUUCACUAGACCGUACAUGGCAGCUAUGUAGGGUCAAUAGUGGGCGGAGAUCACUGAUGAGAGAGGGGAUGGGACAAUCGGAGGAAGGUAGAAGGCAAGCCUUACGAGUUGAGUGAGCUUCCUGAUCACGUAGAUGCAGGAACUAGUGCAGGUUCGUUAGAGCGAUUCGGAUCUCUAUUCAAUGUGUUUUCAAUACCCCGCUUACGGCUCUAUACCCCAACCCAACUUGCUCUGGCCCUGGGUCCUCCUGCAUCUCUUCCUCAGUAAGCGGACUGUGCAAGCUGUGGGGUAUCCGCUUGGGACUGAUAGAAAACAGCAUACCCCUAAACAAAUAUAGUUGAAGUCCGGUCGCGUCGGAGACAUCUUUAUCUUAUUUUGAGGCUUUGUCGUCCGGCUCCUAAAAACAUCGUGAAGCGGAGCUUGGUGCAAUGCACACUAUUGUUAGGUCCAGCUUGGUGUUAAGCGCGAAGUUUUGCAAAACCUGGAGUAAAAUGAGACAAGUGGUGUUCUACCUAGUGUUAUGUGAAAAGUUACACUUGUCGUAAUUUGGUUAUUUUAUUAGGCCAUGCUUCAUCAUUUGAAACAAAAUUUUGUUACUAGCCUUCUCUUUUUGAAGCAAUUGUGUUUGAUUACAACAAAGGCCAGGCAAAGUUGAUGAAGAUACAAAGUUACUGACGUAGUAGCUUUUCUAGCAUUGGUGCUCAUUUUUGUUUGAACCAGCAUAGAAGCAGCACCUUAAAGCAGUUGUAGUUAGUUAGUUUACGUGUGCUAGUACACAACGAAGUGGGCAAUAACCCAGCUGUUGGCAUCUGACGUGAGAAUCCUUUUGUUGUAAGAAUGAUUCCUUUUGCUGUGAGAAUGAAAGCAAGCUGGAACCGCAAAUCAGCUGAAAUCAAUUAAGUACUUCACCAAUUCACAUCCUACUACCUUCUAAUGCAGCUUAUAUGUCUCAAUUGUACAGGCUGGUGAGAUUAUGAAACUUGAGUAUCAGCGCAAGGUUGCUUUGUUAAAUAGACAAAAGAAAAACAAUGCUGCUAUUGAGGUCCUGGAGAAAACUAAAGCUGCAGUUACCCAUUUGCAUACAAGAUACAUAGUUGAUAUGCAAUCAAUGGAUUCAACUGUGUCAGAGAUUCAGUAUCUCCGUGAUAAUCAACUUUAUCCAAAACUUUUGGAUCUCGCUGACAGGUAAUUUAGAUGCAUAAUGUCAUGCAUUAAAUUGCCAAUGCGUUUUCAGGUGUAUAUUUAGAACACUAAUAGAUCUACUAACUUGUUAACCUUAUCAAUUCUUCAUUUUUCUGUCCUGCUGCUUCAUGUAUUGUUGAGAAGGGCACCAAACUGCAGUACUCAUUUAUAACCUUUUCCGAUUCAGUUGCUACUGUCAGUGAGUUGAGCUUUGGACACUGCAUGAACAAAUUUUUCUGAUUUAUUAUGCUUAUAAUAACUACCAUUGCAGACAAUGCUAGUCUUGUUAGUUUAUUUUCUUGUAAUAAGCAACACAAAAUACAAUCUUUAUGGUCUAUCUUUUCAGGAUGGCAAAAAUGUGGAAGGACAUGCACAUGCAUCAUGGAGAUCAGCUGAAAACUGUGUUGGAUCUGAAGUCGGUUGAUAUUUCUGAUUCCAAUAUCGAAACAAGUCGGCAUCACCACAGCCACACACGCCAGCUGCGUGAUAUUGUAGAGAAGUGGAACACAAACUUUAGUGAUCUCAUGAGCUAUCAGAAGGAGUACGUAAAUGCUCUCUACAGCUGGUUGAAAUUGAACCUUAUACCCAUAGAGAGCAGCUUAAGGGAGAAAGUAGCAUCCCCACCAAGGAUGCAGCAGCCUCCAAUUAAAGCCCUUCUCCAAGCAUGGAAUGAGCAUCUAGCUAAGCUGCCUGAUGAUCUCGCCAGGCAUGCCAUUGUUAGCUUUCGGGCAGUCCUGGACACCAUAUUAAGUGUUCAAGACGAGGAGUUGAAACAGAAGGAGAACUGUGAACAAAUUCACAAGGAGUACGCACGGAAAGUUCGGGCUUUUGAGGACUGGUAUCACAAGCAUGCACAGCGUAAAUCGUUUGAUGUUGAUCCAGAGAGCGGUGAGGGCACAGGUCAAAAGGAUGUCAUUUCAGAAAGGAGAUUUGCUGUAGAGAGCCUAAAAAGCAGGCUGGACGAUGAGAUUGAAGUCCAUAAUAAGCUGUCGAAGCAAGUCAGAGAAAAAUCUCUCUCAAUCCUGAAAGCGCACCUGCCAGAGCUAUUCCGUGCCCUGACUGACUUCUCCCAUGCUUGUUUUGAGAUGCACUCGAAGCUAAAGAUUGAUGUCACCCAUGCAGGGUCAGGGUAGUAACGACUAGCUCAAGAACAUGUACAGGAGUUAGGGUGCUGGUAGUCAACAUGUUGUAACGCUUGUAUUGUCUCCCUAGCUUUUCUGUCGCUGUAUGUGUAGUAUCUCUUCAGAUAAGAACAGUUAAUCAUGGUGGCCGUUUUGCUACUUGAAAUUCUCAUGGCUAUUUUGGUAAGCUUCCAGAAUCGCUGUUAAGUGGCAAUUUUUGUAUAGAUGGUCGGUUGCUGAGAACCUUGAAGGUAAACUUUUGUCUGCCAUUAACAGAUACUUCUUCCGUUCUCAUAUUAAGUGACUCAAAUUUGUUCAAAUAUGAAUGUAUCUAGGACUAAAAAGCGUCUAGAUACAGAGGGAGUAUGAAACAGAAACAAUUCCAAGGGAUGCUGUAUGAUAGAGCUCUGUUUCGCCACGAAAUUUAACACUUACUCCACCGGAUUGAAUUACACAAGGAAUGUAAAUUCAUACAACCUUAUUGCUUGCAGUUGCACGUAUACCCGUGCGUGCUGUAAAACACAUGUAUGCCUUAUACAUGCUAGGGUGUGUUGUUGGGCGGCGUGGCGGCUGCGGCAAGGAUGACGUUGCUCCUGCCGCGCUACUCCGAAGCGUAGUAGUCCUCCUCGGUAGCGGUGGCGCUGGGCGGGACGAGCGCGACGGGCAGCGUGCAAGCAACGAUCAUGAUGCCCAUGUACUCCAGCCCCUUGCCGGUGGAGUACUGCGACGACGUGAAGAACAGCAAUUGCGUGAGCCCAGCGCCCACAUUGCCGCUGGCGCCGCUCAUGCCGGAGAUGAUGCCGAUUGCCGAGGGAGCGGCGGGAGACGAAGGGGAUGACGCCGAAGACGGGGCACCACAGGCAGCCUGUGCACAUAUGGAGAAGAGGACCAUGGCGGUGACAGAGGCGGGGAGGGCAGACGCACGCCCAAGCCAGAGGCAGAACGCGCUGCCGGCUGUUUGGAGGAUCCAGAUGUUCCAAAGACGUGCGCGCAUGCCGAAGUAGCGGGCCCUGAGGUCGGAGAGGUAGCCGCCCAUGGGGCAAGCGACGAUGUUAGCCAUGCCAAAGCAGGCGGCGAUGGUGCCCGCGGAGCGCAGGUCGAGGUGGAAGUGGUCGUAGUAGUACUCGGCGAUGACGUUGUCGGUGGUAAGCUCGACGCCCGUGCAGUAGCCGUAGAGGAGGACGAAGAUCCAUGUCCGGUAAUUGGUGACGGCACCCCAUAGAACCUUGGAGAACUUUUCCUUGUUCAUGUCGCCCUUCUUCUAGAGGCUUUUGAGGUUGCCGUCAGGGAGGUCCUGCCCCAUGGUGAGCACGAGCAAGCCCAUCACGAUGUGCAUCAACCACGGCACGAAGUAAGCGAUGCGCCAAGCCGCGAAAGGCGUUGCGCCGCACUUUCGGAUCGCAUGAAAGAUGAGCGGCAUGAUCACCUGCGUGGCGCCACCGCCCAUGUUUCCCCAUCCUGCUGCUAGGCCGUUGACUGUGCCGAUGAUCUUGUUGUUGAACACAGUACUCAUCCAGUACUGGCAGGAAACGAAGGUGGCGAGGGAGAAGCCGAUGAGGAAGCGAACCGCAAUGUACCCCGAGGCGUUGUCUAUGACAGGCAUGUAGAAGACGGUUGGCGCAGAGAGCAUGAUGAGGAGGCGCAGUCGUAGCGCGGGCUGAGGAGAUUGCAGAUGGCGCCCAUGGCAAGCCUGGAGAAGAUGGACCCGGACACAGACGCCACCCCAGCGUUGCCAAUGUCUUCCUGCAAGGUUGAGGUUAUCACGGAUGAUCGGGACGAGCGGCCUGGCGGCAAAGGUGGAGACGAAGCAGGUGAAGAAGGAGAUCCAGAAAAGGUGAAAAGUGCGCAUUUGAGGGUUGGCGAAGGAGAAAAGCUUGAUAGACUUGGCCUUGUGCUCAGAGUCCACCGACCGCGAGAACUUGCUCGUCGCCGGGUCGCCCACCUCCAGUUCCAUGUCUUUGGAGUUCAAAAGCUUCCCGGCAACUGUAUAUGUCUUUUUUCAAGAAUGCACCAAGCUGGCACAUCAUCUAUUAAAAGGAGGAGGAGACUACGAUGCAGUCAUACAAAGUUCGAUUACAUGAUCAGCCGGUGUCCCUCCACUCUCUACCAUCCGCUAAGAAUAGCCCAGCCAAACGCCAAACCCUAAACUCCUUAUCGAAGUCGGCGAUGAUCGCUCUUGGGCUAGGUCUAGCCCCAUCGAAAACCACGCUGUUUCGGUGCUUCCGAAUCGUCCAAAACACGAGCGCAGCACCAGUGGCGACAUCAGUUCGCUCCUUGCCCGAAGCCACCCUACUCCACCAGUUAGCAAUAACGGAAGAGACGGUCGGGAUCCAUCUCUCCUUGCUCCACCUGGUAAGGAUGCACGUCUAAACCUCUCUAGCCAUGACGCAACCCAACAGCAGAUGAUCAAUAGUCUCCUGUUCCUGGUCACAAAGCGGGCAUCUCGCAGUGUGAUCCAAUCCACGCCGCUGCAGGCGAUCCGCCGUCCAGCAUCUUCGCCGGCACACAAGCCAAACGAAGAACUUACACCUCGUCGGUGCCUUGGAGUCCCAAAUGGGAUCAGCGCCAUCCAUGCCAAUCCUCCCUGCAAAGAAAGCCAAAUAGGCGGAUCUUGCAGAGAAGACCCCAGAGGGAGACCACAUCCAGUGAAAAGAGUCUUCGCCAUCUGUCAGGAACACCUGAUUCGCAUGCUCCCAAAGAGCCAGAAACUGAAGUAUCCCUUCAUUGCAAAGGUUUGGUGAGACGGAAUUCACCCAAGCCUGCCUCUCAACCCCCUCAGCCACCAACAUGGAUCUGGUACCUGGCACUUUCGCCACAAACAGAAGAGGCACAUAGUCCUUUAACCGUCUUCCCUGAAUCCACGGAUCCUCCCAAAAAUCAGUGCCCCGACCAUCUCGAAGCGUCACCGACGUCGCAGCUUCAAACAAGUCCACUGAAUUUGCCUCAAGAUCAAUCGGAAUUCGGAAGGCCCUGCCAUGGUCGCCUCUUGCUGCUCUCGAGCUUUAAUGGCGGGUGUUUAUGCUUUGGGUCCAACAUCCCUUGGGUAUUUAUACUGUGCGCGUGCAUAUGCAUUGCAGGUAGAAGACUUGACAUUUUGCUCGCCGUCGAUCUUAAUAGAUUUCACCGCUUAAUUAGCUUGCGGUCCACCUGAAUGUUUGUCUGAAUUUGUCCUUUGGGCAGUGCAGAACAACAAUGAGAAGUAUUGAUUAUUCUAUCUGUCGUAAUCAUGAGAGUAGAUUAAACUAGAAGUAUAAGUGAUGCAACGGAGUGAGUUUGUUUGGGUGUUGGGUCUUUGGGGGCGUUGAAUCGGAAAGAGAGAAAACAAUGGAUAACGUCCUCGGCGCCGCAUCUCCUGACUCCUGUGUCUUUGGCUUUUGCAUGUUAUCCCCAUCCCAUGGAAUCAACCAAGGACCAGGCUUCAUCGAAUGGCCAACGUAACCAUGCUGGCAUUGCCUGUCCAACCUACGUAGGUACAUAGCUGCCCUGUUUUAUGCGUGAUAAGGUGUGACCCAGAUAGUUGACAAGCCAAUAUGCAUGAUAGAUAAGUCUUCGAAUGACGGUUCAUGUUUCCUUUUGCGUUCCGAAAGUCCGAAGCUGAUUGCAGCAUCCAUACCCUCUAAACUUAAUAACUUAAUAUCACAGGCCAUUGACUUGAUCACAAAGAGAGUGCAUCAACGUUCUGUAUUUAAAUCAGUUGAUUAACAAAUAAAUAGAUUGGAAAGGAAGAUAACAUUUUGUAGUAUGUCAUCAGCUCGAAUUAGCUCCGGUUCCUGCUAGCCAAUUCAUCUAGCCUUGGUACCUCAGUUUGAAAGUGUUUGGCUCCGCCGCCCAGUUUUGACACCAACUUUCUGAAAUGGAACUUUAUCUCAACAACGAAGCACCAAUUCAUUUAAAUCUCAGCUAUUUAAGUAUUGAUAUACUGCCCGGAACAGAGUAUUUAAAGUUAAACUAAUUCUUUAUAGUAUGAAUCAAACAGAUUUGUUUUCCAAUAGCAAUUGUUCUGGGUAUGCAUAUUUCCAGUUUUCAUAACUCUAUUCCAAUACGGGCUAAUGGCUCAUGGCGAGCUCAUGAGUGAUUGUAAACAAGAAGGCGACCUCGUGAGUGAAGAUUUGCUCUUCAGGAUCGCGCCGACUGAAGGAAAAUGCCAGAAGCGAUCUGGAGCAGGCCGGAGGGGGCAAAGUGCAAAAAUGCCAAACUGACACAUGGGGCCAGUUUUAAAUGGUGUUGUCUUAGCUUAAGACCAAAUGAUCACAUGUGGGCCCCACCUAAAUGCAAAUCACAACGCCUGGGUCCCAUGAACUUACCACGUCCGUGUGCCCUAUCUGUUCGUGCCGGAUGCCCUACCAGGCUUAUUUGCCACCGCCGCCGCUCCCGUAGGUCACUGACGCCCCGCCCAAUCCAGCCGCCUCUCACCAAGCUCGCCUAGCCGCACCCCAAGGUCGCCGCAGCCGCGUCCCAUCAUUCGGGCGCCGCUUCCCAUUGACCCGCCGUCACGCAUCCCAUCUGCCAUUCGCCGCCGCUCCCUGGAGGAAGCCCUAGCUCAGAUCCGACGGGCAUCUACCACCGGCACUCUCGAGGUAAGCCUUCUCGCCCAGCCCGCUGGGCAUUGGAUCCCUAUCAACCCCUGAUUUUGCCUUUUAGGUAUCCAUUUUCCCCAAUUCUGAAAUUGCGCAUGAACCCAUCCAUCGGCCUGAAAACCAAAUCGACCUUGAUUUACCUUGCAGAAGGAUGGGGCGUAGUGGUUUUAGGGAUAACGGGCACGCUUCAAUGAUGUCUUAGCUCCGGGGUUCGGAUCGUACCACGCCAAAAUGAGCGGCUUUCGGGUCGUAGGGGCCGGACUUGGAGAGAGCAUUCCGCGUUUCCAUCCAGUUGUCACACGUCUCAAUUCUCGCGAAGACAUGGAUGAACUUGAAGUCGACAUCGUCGUUGUCCUCUCGGCAGGUGGUGAACAUGGCGACCAUUUACAAGACCCCAGGCGGAAAAUAUAAAAUCGGCGACACAAAAGUUGAAAAAGACGCCGGCUUACCUGAUUGGGGGCGCUGUUGCCGCUUUGGGGUCGCCGGCGCACCUCUUCUUGAAUGCCAUGCCAUUAGUUGCAAGCUUGUUGGAUCAUGCCCCAUCGGUGCGACAUGCCGGACUCGUUGCGACAGUGGGUCAACAUCGCGAACUCCUCCCGACCGACGAUCCGACGCUCAUCAUAUGCCGCCUUCACCCGCUUCCAAUAGGUGUCGGCAUUUUGAUUCGCGACGGUGAAGGGAUCCAUGCUCACGACCUUCCGAGCUUUGGUGAGGCACUCGACUUCAUUGGGGGUCCAUUUGGGGCCUUGGCCUCCACCGCCGGCCUUCUUCUUCUCGGUCGCCGACUUCUUCUUCCCCCUCGGCUCAGCGACGGUGGGCUCCUCUGUCCCGUCGGCCCAUUCUUCUCGCUCUUCGGCGUCCUUGCCAGCGUAAGCCUCUUCUUCUUGGGUGUAGGUGUAGUGGGCGUGCUGGGAGCCGCCGCUGAUCAUGUCGGCCAUGAUGGACUCGCCUUGCGACAUUCCAUCGAAAGGGUUGGGCGCGGCCUGGCUGCAGCCGGCGGGGAACUGCUGGAAGGAGGCGGACGGCGAAGAACCGCCGUCACUACUACAAAAUGCAACAUAAGUGACGGGUCAUCGGUGACGGGCCUUUCCUGCCGGGUGUGCCACGCCCGUCACUGAUGAAGCCUAGAAAGCCCGCCACUAACGGCCAAUAUGAAAAAUCACAAAAACACACAUUCGUGGCGGGCUUUACAUUUAGGGCCACCACUGAUGACCCCUGGCAUCCUUUGAAGAUUGAAAAAAUCAUAACCAAUUCAUAAAAAAUCAGAAAAAUGCGAUUCUUUUUGAUGAAGUCUUAUUUUUUCUUGCUUAACAUAGUGGAAUAAUAAUAUCACAUGGUAACAUUUGAAAAAUGACAUACAUAGCACAAUCUUGUUAUUUCCCAUAGUUGAACUUUAGGUUUUAAGCCAAAUGACAAAAGUUUGUCCAUUUCGAUGCCACAAUUCAUGAUAAUGUAUCCAUUUUUUGCACAAAUGUGCAUCUUGUUAUGACAAACAAUAUUUCCAAAGAAGUUUACAAUUUUUUGGUAAAAAAAACAAUUUUCCAUUUUCCAAAUGCAAAAAAUGGGAUAUUUUGUGAAGCAAGUGCUAUUAAUAUGGUUCAAAAUGCCACUUAUCCAAUUUUCAAACAAACAAGAACUUGUUUCAUUGCUAUUCUAUAGUUUUUGAAUUUUCUAACUUUCUAGAUACUUUAAGUUGUGAAAGAAUAAAUGAUAAAGACAAAAAAUGGAAAAUGUAUUGUCCCAGUCACUAGUGGCGGUCAGGCUAUUUUCGGCCGACACUUAAACGAAACAGAAACGUUGUGCUGCAUUUUGAUUGGCUGGAUGGGUGGAGGUGCGGAUCGGUGAGGUGGCGCAUCCCAAUCCACUCCUUCCUGGCUUCCUCCCUUAUCUCUCCCACCCACACACCCAUCUCCCCAUUCCUCUCUUAUCUCUCUGUCUCCCUCCCUCUUUCAUCUGUUCUCUCGUAACCCUCCCUCCCACGAUCCUAGCAACGGCCACCGCCACCAUGUUCGAGGGAAAGGGCGCCGCCUCCGUUCCCGGUCGCCACCCGCCGCACGUGAGGGCCCCAUGCCGAGCGCCCUCUCUCUGCUCUCCCUUCGAAGCCCGCCGCCACCGACAUGGAAGCCCGCCCCGGCUCCGGCUCCUCCGGAUCCGGCCGGCCCGAACCCUCCGCCGCCAGAUCCGGCCGACCCGGGCCCUACGCCGCUGGUAUGUUUCUCUCCUUCUCUCUCUCUCUCUCUCUCUCUCUCUCUCUCUCUCGUGCAGGGCAGCAGAUCAUCACCGCCGUGGAGACAAGGCUGGCGCUGUCACCGACUUCCACGUGACGGCAGUACGGCUACGGCCAACCGGAACGCGCAUUUUGCGGUUUGUUGGAUUAAAUUGUCGAUUUAUGAUUUGUUCAUCAUUUGUUGGAUUAAAUUGUCGAUUCGUGGAUUAAUUCAUCAAUUUGUCGGAUUAAAUUGUCGAUUUGUGAUUUCUUUAUCCAUCGUGUGCAGGUUGUGCCCCGCUUUUUUUUUAAAUUUCAAAAACGACAUCAGUUUCGGGCUUUACAGCGCCUGUUACUGAUGGCACAUAGCAUCAAUAACGGGCCAACCGCCCGUCACUAAUGUGCCCCAUAUCACUGGCAGUCAGUUAGUGUCGGACGGUUUGCCCUAGCGUUUUUUGACCGUUACUAAUGGCCAUUUUUGUAGUAGUGCGUAGGAAAGAGGCCCACACCGUAGAGGAGGUGAGGCGAAGGCGUUGGGGUUGAAUCCGCCGAGGGGAUCAGCGGCGAAGGUGUUGGGGUUGAAGCCGCCGAGGGGAUCGGUGUCGGGGGUAGUCCGGCGAGAACCGCGAGAGGGACGGCGUGGCAUUUCCAUGGUUUUCAUGGGGCAUAUAGGCGACACCGGUGAAAUGUCUGACGGCGACGGUGACAUCGAAGAACUCCCUUGGUUGUCGUUGCUCAAGUACUGGCCAGAGGGUGGCCGCGGUGCCGUCAUGCCAGCCAUGGUCGCGGCCAUCUGCUGGGCCAGAACGACGUUUCUUUCCUUGGCCUUCUUCUCCCAACCUCGGCCGGCGGCGUUCUCGACGAGGCGACGAGUCCAAUCCGCCGCUCAAUCAGCGUUGCUCAUCCUAGGCGGACGCUCUCUCUCUCCCUCGGUUUCUUUGCCGCUCCGUCACUACAACAAUAAACCCACGUAGAGACGCUCAAUUUAUGGGCUAGAAACACUUUAUAUCAUCUCUACACAAUUGUAGACUCGCUUUGUAAAGCGUCUUAGGAGCGUCUCCUCCAGCACCAUGUCUAAAAAUGUAGAGACGUACGACAAGCAUGUCUAGCUAAAUAUGAGACGUUCAUAAAGCAUGUCUAUGAGAAUAGAGACGCUUUGGCAAAUGCCCAUGAAAUUCUCGUCCCAACCGUGAUUGAGUCGUUUUAGUGCGUCCUAAAAAGAACUGUGACGCUUUAUUUUGCUACGGUAAAUUAUUAUUGUUUCUAUCAAUAAAAUAAAAUAUUACCAUUUUCAUUUCAAGAGAAUCUUAAUUUUAACUAUGACAAAGCACAAUACAGUAGAAAAAUACAAUACAUUGUUGGAAAAUAAUAACUUCAUUUCUGAAGAUCAAAUCAAAUUUCUGAUUUACAACUGAACUGUACACUCCAAAAAUUUACUCUUCUCUAGAAAAAUUACACUUGAUUCAUCAAAAUGAUGAAAUUACAUUUAUUUUUUCAUCUAACUAUGAUGUAAUCUAUCUCUUCUUCAUGGAAAUAUUGUACAUGAGCUCCUUUUCCUCACCAUCCUGUUGCAAUUUUUCCAUGCGCAUGCACGCCUUCUUUUGUGUUGCUUAAAAAAACUUGGCAGAUACCCUGCAAGGAAAGCCAACCAAUUUAGAUAAAUAAAUUGAUAUGGAGAACAAAUUCUCCUACGAAGUCUAACAUUUACACAUGCAAGACACUAGGAGCGAAAAAAAAACAUAUAACUGAAGGUUCAUAAUAGUUCAGAACCGAACCGUGAGUCCACCAAACAGGCCCUCAUUAUUAUGCUUUGCAAAAUCCUCAGAAAAGAAACUGUGAUGUGAGAAAGCCAAUGAAAGAUAAAUGAAUCCUAGACCAGUUAUUGAAGGGUCUUUAUUUACCUUGAGUAAUUGAUCCUAGACCGGUUAAAGAACAGGGACUCAUGCUCAAUUCAGCAUCCUGUAACCACUGGUGCUGCAACCUUGUUGCUAACCAUCAGUGCUUGGUUAUCACAAACAGUGUACGGGCAUAAGCAAUUCUAGAAGUUAGUAUUAUAGUAGACAAAGGUCAAAUAAUCUCACUGAUGCAGUGAAAAAAGUGUCACAGUCUUAAGUCUUAUAUUCUUUUCCAUAGAAGAUUGCAUAUCUCAGGCCAUGUUUUGUGAUGUUGCUUAACUGAAGGUUGCCAUAAUUCUGCAAAGAGCAAUAAGACCAUCCAGUGCUAUCAGGACAGGGCUUUGCAAAAUAGUUCCAUUAGUACUAAACAUACAUUGCUAAAGUGCGUGCAUACCUCUGUUGUUCUCAAUCAGCCGGCUGCCUGUAACUUUGAGAGUUAACAUUCAAUGUGCCCACCUCCUACAUGAAUCAGUCCUCGGAAAUUGCCGAUAUACCCAACCAUUACCAUCUGCUCCAGAUCCUAACUGAAUGACUGAGGAAAAACAACCUAAAUCAAUAAUACAAAAUAACAAGGCCAAAUUAUUGCUAAUCGACUGUGGUUUCCUCUGCAAAUGGAAACUAUCACUUGAUCUUUCUGGUUCGAGCAGACACCACAACAAUUCUAUAUAGAGUGCCAUGAUAAAAGCAAAUAAUACCAUAUCCAUACCAUACAAGGGAAGAGAAGGGAGAGGAAAACCUUGAAGGUGUUGCCUACCUUCGUGGAUUGGAAAACAGAGCAAGGAAAAGGGAGAAGGAUGCUAGCGGUGGAUACAUACCUAAGGCACGGUCCGGUAUAGUCUCAACGUCAUCCGCCGCCGCGGGUCUCCGGACGAAGACCUAGCACUGCUGGAUGAGAGGACGCCUGGAGGGGAGGAAGAUGAGAUGGAAACCAGCCGGAUCUCCGUCCUAGGGCGGCGCCGUUGUGGGGAACGGCCGGAUCUCGUGGCGCCGUGGUGGGGAACGCUCCCGCCCCUCCCACGAGUUGGGUGCGGCCUGGGGCGUCAGCUAAAAUAUUAUGCCGCACCGGCUAAGUUUUAGAAAUGGGGUCUGGGCUGGGUGGGCUCUUAAGGCCUUACGACUAUCCUACUUAGGACUUAUCCAUUGAGAUUCCAAGAGCAGCAGGUCGUCCGGUGGCCUUGGCAAAUGCGCAAGGCAGGCCAACUGCCGUGCAUUGUCCAAUAGCCAUGUUCGCCGAGAAACCAAUCCAAACCCCGCUAAAUUUCAUAAAACCACACAUUUUGGUGCAUUUUGGUGCAGUCUUUUGAAAAAUCACACUUUUCCUGUCACAAUGUAACAACAAGCCCGAAAUACCGUGUUUAAGCGAGUUGAUAGAUUUCCUUAUAGGUCGGGCCCACCUGUCUGGUUGUUGUUACAUUGUCAACUCUAAGAAAAAGCGUCAACUCGCCUAAACACAUCAUUUCGGAUUUGUUAUUACAUUGUAACUUGAAAAGUUUGGUUUUUCGAACAAAUUAACAAAAGUGGUGACUGUGUGAGAAGGCGGCCCAAAAUGUGUGGUUUUUUAAAAUUUACUUUUUUUUUUAUCCCGUCACCCUCCCGUUUGACACAAUAUAUAUACUCGGAAUCUUUCUUAUAGUUUUCGGUAAAAAAAAACUGAUGAGUUAGACAGCUGCUUAUAGAGUUUAGACGGGUUCAACUGAGCCACGCAGGCUAGUACUGUUCAUCGCUAGCUGGGAAGAGGAAAUCCCGCCGCCCAUCCGUUGGAUAUUCGCCAUUAGCCAUCGGCCGUUUCUUCAGGUCUGGCUGUGCUUGAGAAAAAUCGUAGAGCUAGCCGGGGCUGGGGGUAGCAGGAGAGCUAGACGGCAGCGACGAGGUGCUGCUGUAGCUCCAUGGCUCGCUGUCGACUUAUGGGCCGGUGUAUGGGCCGGUGCCCGGCCGGCGCCGUGCGCGCCAUACCAAGCUAGGAGCAGGAGGUAUGUAUAAGACCACCGUACCAUCGACGGCUCUCAGCAGCUGUGGGAUCUAUUCAUCUAUAGCGUCAGGGCAUUCGGUUUUUAUGCUCUCAGUCGGCCGUUGAUGCUGACUUCGCGGACAGGGCGACAAGCUCAGCCAUAUGGUAUUCUUUUUUUUCUUUUUCUUUUUCUUUUUCUUUUUCUUUUUUGCGAGACAGCCAUAUGGUAUUCAAAGGUUGGAAAAUGGAGACGGGUUCGACGCUUUAAACUGGAAACAGAUCCGUGAUGUAUGCAAACCGGUGUGAUGUAUGUAAACCGGUGGAGCGCGCAGUUUAAUUAACCCGGGUUGGCGGCUUGACGGCCGGUUAGUUUGGUUGGACCUAGCAGGUGUACUGAACGGACCUAGCAACUAAUAAGGGCUCGUUCGGUUUGUAGGAAAUCUAGAGAAUGUUUACAUGAUUUCAAUUCUUAGGAAUUUUUCCUAUGUGUAGCAUUUGUUUCAUAGAAAUAUAAUUGAGAUCAUAGAUUUCUAAGGGUUGAGUCCAAAUUGAUCUAAUUACAAAAGAUUCUACACAUUAUGUGAGACCUCACGGGAAAUUUCUAAGGAUUGAGAUGUCCAUGACAUCUCAAUCCUCUACUUUCCCCCUAUUUCUAUGAUUUCAAAAUCUUGUAAACCGAAAUAAGCCCUAAGCAUGCGUUUGCCACUCCUGAUCCUUUCUUUAAUAUUAAAUCAUCUUUAAUUUCUUGGCCUAAACAAUCUGGUAUACAACAUAUCAGUGAAUGAAAAAUCAUAAAGAGCUGGUUUAUUGUUUGCCCCAUACGUAGUACGUACACAUGCACGUACGUAUGUAUGUCUCCAGGGAAGAAACAGAUCAACAAAGUAUAUAAUUAUACCUUUUCCUUAAUUAAGUAACCGUGAGAUUGAUGCAGAGGCUGGAUAUACCCCUUUUCGAAAAAACAAAUAAUUAAGUAACCAUGCAUGAGAUCCCUGAACUUGUUUAGGAUGUGAGAACAUAAAUCACAACACCCCUGCUCAUACAUCUAGGCUCCUAUAGGCCUUGGAGGUGGAAGUGAAAUAUUUGCCAAGCUUGCCUUUCUCUCCGUAUUAAUGCGCGCAUUCCCUACCUAUGUGCUGUUCUAUAUAUAUUAUAUGCAUAUGUCGUAUGCACAUAUUAAGAGUAAGAUUAAUAGCUAUAGCCUGCUGCUGGCUGUAAGUUUUGCCAUGUCAUCUUUAAGUAGUAUAAGAGCAAGAUUAAUAGUUUAGCCUGCUGCCGGCUAUAAACUUUUGCCAUGUCAUUUUUAGCUAACAUAUAGCUAGCAUGUAUAAUAAGGUGGCUACAAGAAUGUACUACUUUGUUAUGAGGAGACCCACAUUAUAGUCUCAUAGAGUGCCUAAGAGCACGUGUUGCAGCUUGCUAUUAGAUAGUAGCCCACUUCUCUUCUCUCUCCUUUUCUCUUUUCUCCAACUAAGCAAAGAUACAAUAUUUAAAUCUUUAGAGCCUGCUUACGUCACAUUAUUAUUCUUGCUCUAAUAGCUAGCAUGUAUAAUAAGUUGGUUAUAAGAAAUACUAAUUAAUUAAUAGCUGGCCCACAUUACGGUCUCACAGGGUGCCUAGGAGCACGUAUUGCAGCUGGCUAAUAGCAGCCCACUUCUCUUCUCUCUCCUUUUCUCUUUACUCCAACUAAGCACCAAUAUAAUAUUUAAAUUGUUGUAACCAGCUUAUAACCCACUAUUAUUCUUGGUCCAAGUGAUCAACCGAAGGAAGGCGUACAUAAAUUCCCCAUGCAGCAUGCAGAGAAUGUCAAUUAAGACAAAUUAACUGUAACUUGUUCACGCGCUCUUCUUCCACAAUUCCUGCAAAUAUAUAUGUAACCAAUUGAGAAAGAAGUUCAACCGAGAUGGUGCCUAGAUAGCUAGUCUCCAUGCUCUUUGCUCUUCAUCCAAGACCUGCAAUUACAUGCGAAGAUGAAUGGUCAUUAAUUAAUACUAAAGUGCCGUCUUAAAGAACAUGCCUAUGUCUAGCUUUACAUCAGCUGUGCUUCGGUAGAUUAAAUUUCACAUGGUCGAUCCGAGAUUAUAGUUCCUGUCAACUCAGCUUCCUGCCAUAUGAUUGGUCGUCGGCGAAGUGUGUGGCUAGCUUUGCCACAUGCACGCAACUCUUACAUAGUACACCUCUUUGUCGCGAUUUAAUGACAUUGAAAUAUUACUGUAUAUGCAUAAUAACCACUGCUACCAUGCGAUGAUGUCACAUCUCACUAGCUUCCGUUUCUUCCCGUUGCUAUCACUUAGAUCUAUGGGCGCACUCGAUCGUUUAUUCUCUGUCUCUCUCCAUUUCCUGCAGGGGGAACAUGGAUGGUGUGCAUGGUCCUCCAUGGUCGCAACCAUGUAGGAGUACAUGACUACUACAUAUAUAGGGCCACGGAACUGCGUACAUUACAGAAUAAUUGACAGCUCAGAAAACAUUAAUAUAUUGAGUUAACUAAACUUCUCUAUCUUCACCACUAAUUAACAAACAAUAAAUAAAAUCUCUUAGCUAAAAAUUAAUGAAAACUAGUGUCACGAUAUAAUUUUCAUUUGCUUCCCUCAUUAUACAAACAGUAAUAGUAAAAGCUGAAAAUUGAAGGCGGUAAAACCAUGAAAAUAUCGUACGUGUGUAUCGUGUAUUUGAAAAGAAUGGCGCAUUAAAUAGUGAAUAAUUUAUUUUGUGGCAUUUCGUUCCUAUUAUUAAUUUCCUAUCCAGACUUAUUGUCUCCACCAAUUUUGUGUCUUUAUUAAAGAAAUAGUACUAACAACAAUAAUGUUGUUAUCGUUGUGUUCUUCUUGUUGUUGAAGUGCAAUAAUGAAGUGUGCAUUCAGAUUUUGCACCUGUGAAAAUGAUUUGUCCUGUAAACCAGAUAUGACUUUAUGAUGUUCCUUUUGUCUCUGGGAUUUUUUUUUUUGCGAUGUACAGAAUCCUAGGUAUAAAAUAAGGACCUGCAGAAACUCAUCCAAAAAUAUGAUUAUAUUUGGCAUGCAUAUUUGCAAAAAUGGGCAAGAUCGAUAUGAAGAAAUUUUCUUUUCUUGUACGGAACAACAUGGUAAUAUCAUUAGCUGAAUGCUUCCAUUUUUCCAUUCUGUUGGAGCCUUUAUGCGUAUGAGUUGUUAAAUACUCUUUUGAAAACAUAGAUAGUACAUAAUAUCACCCUCCAAAAUGCGAGCAAAUUAAGAUAUGGUGAAUGGUUUUGCAUCUCAAGAAUUCCGGAAAAUGUGAUUCAUGGUGUACAAAACAUAUACUACUUCAACCUAUAAACAUACACAAACAAAUAUACUAUAUGACAUUUGUGUCCUUGCUCUUUGGACGUACAGAUCGUAUAAGAGAUAUAAAUGAUUUUUUUUUUGUAUAAUACACAAAUGACCAUAUUGCCAGAUGCAUUUUUUGCACUUCCCAUUCUAUAGUACACUCUACACAAGGAUUUUGUCAACCUCGAGAUAUAAAUCCACCAUCCAGAACCAGACUAGGGUUUUGGGCAAAUGGUUCUAGCUACUUUAGAGUACAAUAAGGCAAUUUAUACAGUUCCAGGUUGGAGGUUGGUUUCAAGGUUUAGGGUGGACUUUUGUCCUAUUCUUUACCAUUUUAUUGCUCCUAUAAGUGUCAAAGCCAAGGACAUUGCCCGCUAGGUAUCUAGAUGAAGCUCACCCUAAUUUCAUCACGUUAGCUUCUUAGCACAAUAAAUUGUAACAAUCAGGAACUCUAUUAUUGUAAAUAUUGAUAGGCAUUCAUCUCAACGUGUAAUACUCUGGACAUCCAUACAUAUCGCAAGAUCUUGUCGCCCCAUCAUAAGGUUGUAUCCGUAUUUGUCUAUUUGUGAGUGUUUAUUAUUUCCUGUCUCAGCUACCACAAAGAAGAUCCUAGCCCAACCUAAUUAAUCACACGACCUGCAGAGGCCGGGGGAGUGUCCUCCUUUUCAAAAAAAAAACUUAAUCACACGACCUGUCCACCAUUACUUGUCAUCUCGAAAUGGGUUUGAUCUCUAAACAAACAUUUGCCUCUCUCAGGCCGAAGAAAAGGAUCGGAGUGGGAAACAAUUUUUUUGUUAAAAUUGUACAUUCAAUUCUUGAACUUGGGAACUCUUGGCUCCGGUAUGUCAUAUAUACCAUGAGAUUUUCAUCCACCAGUCAGUUCACACGAAAAUCUUAAUUAGGCUGGUGAGAGAAGGCGCAAUAUAUAUAUUCUGAUCGAUCAUACUUCAACAAGAAGAACCUAAUAUUAACUAAUCGUAUUGUAUUUUUAGAUAAUUUUGAGAGGAGUGUCAUGAUUUUAUGAUUUAUGUUUGAAGAGCAUAUAUAUCUUGUCUACUUAGGUUUUAUGUAAUGAAUUAAUCUUUUCAGAGCGUAUGGUUAUUUUUUUGCCAGGUAGUGAGAGUAUCAUAUUAAUUGCUUCACUCAGCAACUUUGAAGUUCAAGUGUGGAAUUUCCCAAACCUCUUAUGAUCCACAUAUGUUACUUGAACUACUAUGAGUACUCAACUAUUAUUUUUCUAGCGAGAUUUAACUUCAUUAUAAAAACAAUUCAUGAUAUACCAUAAAUUGACUCGUUUGCAUACAUCAUGCAAUGUCCUCACUUAUUCAUUGUGAAGGUCGUGACGAGCAGUCAAAAGUCAAAAAUAUUUUAAGAAUGCUAAACCUGGUAGUAGCCACUAAACACUCAUUUAAUUUUAAAUUUUGAAGCAAUCCCAGCUUUGUUUUGAGGCAAUCAAAAAUUUUCUUUUCAAUAUGCACUAUAUCUAUUGUAGAUGCAUCGCAUAGUUUGAAAUUUUGAGCAGUCACAACUUUGUUUUAUUUGGAGGCAAUCACAUUUUACUUUUCAAGGUAAAUUGUACAGAUACAUUUAUCAGGCAUGCAUUCAUAUAAUAACAAACAAAAUGUAAAGGAACUGAAGAAUAGAACUAUUUCGAAUUAUGGUUCACUGUAGGUGGGACCGAUAGUACCACUGUGAGAUUCAGUAACAUGGUCAAAAUUGAUCUCCCAGUGUUGCUCAAAUUUUCCCUCAAAAUUUUAGAUUUCCCUCAAAAAAAGUGUUGCUCAAAUACUGAGUCGAGUUAGUCAAAUCUUAGCUUUUUGAACAGAUUAAUUCUGUGAAGACAAUCAUUUGUAUUCCUAAACGUACAUAUACUCCGUAGAACUCUAUGAUGGAUUAUUUGUCUCAUGUACGUAUAUAUGCCUGCACAUAUGGGUGGCAUCUUUAACUAACAUAUCACUCUAUAUAUGUUUUUUAAUUAAAGGCCACAUGUUUAAUAUUUGUGUUUCACAAGACCAAGAAUAUCUGGCCAGGUACCACUAUCUUGCGACAACGUAACAAAAAGAUGAUGUUCACAUGUACUGUGUACUUAAGCAAACGACAAUAUAAGAUGAAUUUUGUUGCCUGUACAGCUAACAAAACGAAAACUAAGAUGUGGGUAACUAUAGACGACAGGUCUAAGGAGAGCCAGCUAAACUUAUUAGUUAUUACAGCAGGAACCAAUUAAAGGGCUGCUCUAAUGAUUAAAUUCCCGCAGCCCUGCAACAGUGCCUAUAUUAUAGAUUCAAGGAAAAAAUAUUAUAGAUAGUUGGAGGAGGAACAUGCAUGCAUGAAGCAUGAUAGAACUAGUGAAAGACCCAUACGCACUCUGUGCUGCCGCAGAUCGGCAGAUGAGCAGGGCGAUGCAUUUCUUGAUGAUAUACAGCUUUCCCUUCUGCUGCCUCACCGCGCUGCGCAGCCUCUCCAGCUUACCCUCCUUCGUGAUCUCCGCCAUGUCCUAAUAUAUGCAGCCAUGAGCCCAUGAGCUUUGUGCAGGACGAUGGACUAGCUAGCUAACUCUCAGAAAGAGGCGCAGAGCAGCCAUGAGGUAUCAUUGGAAAGAUGGACCUUGAUGCUAAUAUAUACUAGCUGGAGCCGACCUCCAGUUCAGAUGCUUUUUUUUUCGAAAAGGAGGAUGAUCCUCCAGCCUCUGCAUCAAAAUGAUGCACACAUCCAAAUUUUAUUGAUUUAUUAGCAAGCCUGACAAAAAAAAUACAUCGAUCUAACAAGCCAAAGUCACCAGACUAUGCCUACAAUCCUAAUGAAGGAGUGGCCAUUAUUAGGCCCGCAUGCCCUGACCGCAAACCACCACCUAACAUCAAAUCUGGAGGCCACGAAGGCACAACCAAAUCCUCGACGUGUGCCGUCUUCUCACACUCUAGAAUUAGCCGCCGCCGUCUUCCACCAACCCAUCUUCAGGACAAGGAUCGAAGCAUUACAACUUGCAAGGACUGGCAUCGACGACACAAAGCAGAGUCACCAACCAGCACGCACCCAGCAGUCGUCCUCACUCGCAGAUCUAGCAUUCUCCCGACGGCACCCCCAUGGGGGAGAACGACGUUGUCAACACCGUCACCGCCUAGUCAAAAGACUUUGGGUUUUCACCCGGGAAUCAAGAUCAGCGUGGUGUUGAAGUACCUCGACAACGCCUCAGAGAAGGGAGAGACAUCACGAACGUCGCCGCCGUCGUGGCCGGACUAGCCGCCCAAGGGUUUCCCCCGCACCAACACCCCUGACACCCAAUCUCCAAAGCCGCCGAAACAACGACCGCCAGAUCUGGCGAGGAAAAAGGAGUCCACCAUCGGCCUCACCUGGCCGCCGCUCAGGAAGACGCCUGCAGCCGCGAGGGCAAGGAGGCCGCCGCGACCUGGAGACCGCCCCAAGGCGGUACGGUCAGAGCCGCGGAAACAGCCGCCGCCUCGCCGACAUCGGUGCCUCGUCGCAGCUAGGCGCCAUCGGGCGUGCAGCCACAGAGCCACGGAGAUGGGGCGCGCCGCCACCAGGGGAGGGCACUGCCCCGUCGACCUCAGGGUCCUGCCGUCGCUGCCGAGGGCGGCCCCAGGCGAGGCCACCACCGCCAGGAAUCACCGUCGGAGGAGAGGCGCUCGCGCCGCCGCCAGGAGAAGAGCCGCCCGCGCCGUCGAUGCAGAUCGCGUCGAACCGAAGGAAGCCGAAGGAGCAGAGCCCCGCCGCCGCCGAUGCCGCACGGGCUUUGCCCGGCGGCGCGUGCCGGCGGCGGCGAGGAAGGGGAGGGUGGCGGCGAACUAGGGUUUCGAGUGUUGAGAGGCCGGGUCGCUUUCUCUUGGUGCCUACUCAAGAAAAAUGAUGGUCCAGUUCAGAUGGGCUGCAGUACAAUUGCAGAGAAUACAUGCAAUCCGACAGGUUGUGCUAGCUACAGGUUUUGGUGGCUAUCUUUUCGAUCGGAUGAUAUCAGGCAUGGGUCACUUAAGCUUGCUUUGGUGACUUUAAGCCCUUAACCAUCCCUAUAUUUUCUAGCUACCUAGGGUUUCUUAUUCGUUGAAGCUAUACACAAAACUGUACUUCAGUUCACAGAAGUUCCAGUAAACAAAAAAAAUCAAAUAAGAGCCAGGCCACCAGGAAAAUACUAACCUGAAAUCGGUCUAUGUGAUCCAAAAUCAGAAUGAAUGAAAACCAUUCCUAGAAAGAUUCGGAAACAUCAGAAACAAUUCCUGCAUGUACAUCAGUACACGUACCAUGUGAUGGAGCUUACAAGUAGUUCAUGUUAGAAAAAAUAUGACCAUUUGCGAGAUGUGGGACACUUGGCUACAUUUGCGCUUUUACCUUUUGUUGUGUCAUAGUAACCUACUCCCUCUGUCCCACAAUUCUUGUCUCAAAUUUGCCCAAAAAUAGAUGUAUCUAUUUCUCAAAAGUGUCUAGAUACAUGUAAGAUUUCGAAAAGAAUUAUGAAACAGAGAGUACUAUUUGUAAAACUCCUUACUUGGUUCCUACAUGGAGUAUAUGUACUCCCUCCUUCCAUUUUAAACGUUCUAGCUGGCUCUCUUCUGCGCGUGCGCCCAAUUAGCCUACAUGCACCCAAUUAUAGCGGCAGUAAUUAAUUUGAGGUCUUUUACGGUAGGGACGGAGGAAUAGCGGGCCCUUGAUUGAGCUAAUCCAAAGGUCCUUAUUUACCAAUACUAAGAGGUACGGGCAGUAGUAUUGCUCGGUCAAUGGGCAAAAAGGUCCCGUAUUCCUUUGUUUCCGUUUUUUAUUCUGCCGGGAGACAGUGACGCUCGAGAUCGAUCAGGCUGCACUGCAAGCUCAGGACAAACUCGUACUAGUAUCUUCGUCAGCUCCUUUGACGAUGCGCGCGGGCAGCUUACAGCUUACCACUCCUCCCUUGCCGCCGCCGCCGCCGCGCAGCAUAAGCAGAGGCAGCUUCUUCAGCAUGGCUUCUGCCCCGACGGCCUCGCCGCAUAUGAGCCUGUUACCCCACCGGCCACCGGCGACGCUUGCUCUGCUGCCUAGCUAGCUAGCUCACCGUUAGCUAGCUAGUUUAGCACCAUGAGAUUUUAAUAUGUAUAGUCGUACAUGAAGGUUCUUUAAUAUUGUUGCUGAUACGUUGGCCAUACUAAUUGCUUGGGCUAAGAAAGAUGGCCCACAUCUCGUUGAGGGAGGAGUCUUGAUUCUCCGGUACGCAAAUGCUACGAUUAUUUUCUUGGAACAUGACUUGGAGAAAGCCGUCAACGUGAAGUUAAUCCUCUGUAUUUUUGAACAGCUCUCAGGUCUAAAAAUUAAUUUCCACAAUAGUGAUUUUUUUUUGCUUUGGUAAGACUAAGGAUGUGGAGUCCAAUUACAAACGGCUUUUCGGGUGUGAAUCGGGAACACUGCCACUUCGCUAUCUCGGUAUUCCCAUCCAUCAUCGCAAAUUGCUUAAUAAAGAAUGUAAGUCGGUGGAGGAUUGAUUUGAGAAAAAGCUUGCGUGCUGGAAGGGUAAGUUGCUUUCAUACGGUGAUCGUCUUACUCUCAUUAAUUAUGUGCUUACCAGCAUGCCGAUGUUCAUGUUAUCAUUUUUGGAAAUUUCAGUUGGGGUCCGUAAAAGAUUAGAUUUCUACAGAUCUCGUUUUUUCUGGCAAUCUGAUGAGCAUAACCGCAAAUUCAGAUUGACCAAGUGGAAUAUAAUUUGUCGUCCAAAGGACCAAGGUGGGUUAGGCAUUGAGCUCCUGGAGGUCAAAAAUAAGUGCUUGCUUAUCAAAUGGUUGUUUAAACUUCUUAAUGAAGAGGGAUGUGGCAGCAGCUGUUACAAAACAAAUAUUUACACUCUACCACAUUGUCCCAGGCCAGUGUCAGGCCAACUGACUCUCAUUUCUGUAAAGGGCUCAUGAAAGUUAAGGAUGAAUUCUUUAAUCGUGGUAUGUUUGUCCUUAGCAACGGGACCGGAAUUCGUUUCUGGGAAGAUACCUGGUUGGGCGAUUCAUCGCUUGCCUUUCAAUAUCCAUCUCUUUAUAGGAUUGUGCAACGCAAGAACGUUUCUGUUGGCACAGUCUUUACGACGGUUCCUUUGAAUAUUAGUUUUAGGCAGAACUUAGCUGGAAACAGAUGGGGGCAAUGGUUACACUUGGUUCAGCGCUUUAUGUUGGUUCAUUUCACCGGGGACAAUGACAAAUUUAUCUGGAGUCUUGUCCCCUCUGGUAUUUUUUCUGUAAAGUCUAUGUACGCGGAUUUUAUGGAAGGGCAUACGGUUUUUCAUCGGAAAUACUUAUGGAAAUUAAAAAUACUGCUCAAGGUGAAGAUAUUCAUGUGGUUUCUUGACCUUAAGGUUAUUUUAACGAAAGAUAAUCUUGCAAGAGAAGUUGGGAAGCCACUACAACAAAACAUAGUUUAAGUAACACAAUCUUGUAACACAUAGAAAAUUAUGUUACAAACUAUUUUAUAGUAACACGUUAUAUGUGUUGCAUGGAUAGCCAGUAACACAUACUACAUUAGAUCCAAAAUGUGUUACAAGACCAUUGCAAUAGUAACAUUUAUGCUUGUGUUAGUUCAUAUGUAAUACAAACUUUAGUUACCAUAGUAACAUAAAAACAUGUUUGUCUAUACGUGUUACAAGUUGUAGCUGCACUAACACAUAAUUAUGUGUUAGUACAUAGUGUUACAAGCUAUAUAAGUCAGAUGCAAGUCAUUCACUACAAGAUCAUACACACACUAGAAAAGAGCCGCGCCACUCGCACGUACCAACAAACCGUGUAUAUUCGACCGAGGUUUAAAUUUGAAAUAAUUUUAGUGUAAAACAUUAAACGUCCAAUUCUAUGUGCGGUGCGCGUCAGGAUUCGAUCAUGCGGGCUCCCGAUCCCCUUCAUUCUAUCUGAACUCUAUUGCCAUCCCUUCUCUCAUUGUUGCUUCUGUACCAGAGGGUCAAAGAGACGGCGGCGGCGUAAAAGGGGCACACCAGUUGUAAUUCAAUUCCGACGCCCCGUUGUUUACGGAGCGUCAGAGAAUGUGUUGUCCACUUUUUUUACAUCUGGUACGCAAGAAAUGUCACAUGAUUUGAUUCCUUCUCUGACACUUCUUAGCUAAAAAAGUGCCAGAGCAGAACAUGUGACCCUCCACAGAAGCUAGGGGAAUUUUCACCAAUAUAUAUAGUUUUCACUAUCCCGCACGUCUUCCCUCCACUCCUUUGCAAUUUUUUUCAUAUCCCGCCCGAUAUUUUCCAGCGUCCAUCGAUCCCUUGCCCCCGCCGCCAUCUGCCUCGUUGUAAAUGCAAAAAAUGUGGUAGUUUGUGAAGCAAGUAUAAUUGUUAUGGUUCAAAAUAGACCCAAUCCAAUCUUUACACAAAGUAGACCAUAUUUAUGAGUUUUUAUACCAAUUUAGUUACAUAAAACACUUAUAUAUUGUAGUUAAAAUGAAAGUAAUAAAAUUUUAUAACGUAGCAGUGGCCGGUUUUAAUCAGAAUGCGCAAGUGAUGCUUAUUUGGCCCAAUUUGAGGCCCAGUCUCAUCCGCCGCAAGUGUGUGUGUGUAUACAUAUAUACUAAACAGGAACCUACCCUAAGAGUUCCUAUUUACCUUAAACAGGAACUAUUCCCAACUACCACCUCCUAUCACCGACGCGGGCGAGCGAGUGGCGGCGGAGGCCAACGCAAGGGAGCCCGCAGCGGCCGCCCGCGGCACCUCCUCCCGACGCCCCCCCGGCUACCACCUUCUUCCCCCAACACGGGCGAGCGAGCGGACCUUCUUCUCCGGCGCGGGCGAGCGAGCGGCGGCGGAGGCAAUCGGUAGUUCUACGAUAUAUUUUGAACCGCUUGUUGGCAUGAUGCAAAUUAUACGGCGUUGAAAAGUUAUGAACCAGGCGCAACUUUUUUGUUUAUAACUUUUUUGCUAAUUCUUAACAGUUUAAGAGCAGUUUCAAAUUACCGUCCGCCGGAUUACGACCAAACAAAAAACAGCGGACGGUAUUUCUACUAUAUAUUUUGAAGCACUUGUCGGAAUGAUGCAAAUGAUACGGCGUUGGAAAGCUAUGAACUAGGCGCAACUUUUUCGUGUAUAAAGGUUUUGCUAAUUCAUUACUGUUUAAGAGCAGAUUUCGAAUCAUCGUCCGCUGUUCGAAACCGUUGGGAAGUUCACAGGGUAUAAACGAGGAAGAUAUAAGCGGCGGAGGUUUAGAGACCACCGGGAAGUUCACAGUCUAUAAAACGGAAGUUCACUCGUGUAUCGAUGGAAGUUCAGAACGUUCACGCCCGUAAACCUCCUUGUUCUCUAACGCGAGCAAAAAUUACAGUCGGCGGAGUUUCAGAGACUGUCAGGAAGUUCACUGUUUAUAAAGCGGAAGUUCACUCAUGUGGUCGAUGGAAGUUCAGAACGUUCACGCCCGUAGACCACAGUUAUAGGCGUGGUUGUUGGAAAUAUGCCCUAGAAGCAAUCAUGUAUGAUGUAAUUCUCAAUGUAUUCAUAAAGAUUAUUAAGUUGUCCUUAUUUGAACAUCUGAUAUGUAUCAUUGAAUAUGUGAUUUGAUUGUGGAACUAUGUAUUCAUAUUGUUCAUACUAAAUUGUCCUUAGUCAUUGAGAUUGUGCUGGACACAUAACCUAGACUAAUGUGAAAGUUGGUUGAUGACUCGGUUCCACUUGUCAUGGGCAUGAUGAUGUCAUUCCAGCUUACACGGACUUGGCUAAAGAGUUUAGCGAGUCGGACUGACCCAUAUUGAGAUGCAACGAGUAGGUCGUCAUUUGCAUGUCUCAAUCAAUGUAAUCCUUAGACCUGAGAUUAUCGCACAAUCCGAAUCGUGGAUCACUAACUUAGAUUCUGUCAAACGUUGUUCCGUAACAGGGCAGUUAUAAAGACAGAGUUCGGGUUGACUGAGAAUCAGGCAGACUUCGCAAAAACCUUUGAUAUAUAUGGAGAAUUGGGGAUCUCAUAUAGGAGAGAUAAGUUUAGCUCACAUUUCCGAAAGCGAAGAGCAGUUAUUUAGAUGACAACUAUAGAUGUAGCCAACACCAUCGCACAUAGGUAGUGGCAGAGCCAGCCUAAUACCUGCGUGUGCAUUGCAUAGCCAUAGUUUUUGGCAAAAUGCUAGUACAUGUAUAUAUGUACUAGGAUAAUAUCCGCUAGUUUUUCAAUUUCAACCAACAUUUGUGGAUUCCUCGAUGUCUUUCCUUCCUCCUCCCAGGUCAACGCGGCUUUCUCAUGGGAUACAAAAACUUCAGGCUUAGGCCUUCUCCAAUGUAGCCGUCCAAACUUUGUUUAUUUUUUUUCUCAUGCACCGGUUCAUCACGCGGAGAACCAAAAGUCAGGGGAAGCAAACUCAAAGAUUAUUUGCGCCGGUUGAUGUAUAUGAAUCGAUCCAAGUUGUGCAAUGGUGGGGGACCUCGUAUGUCAUUGGGAUGAGAAAGGAAGAGGAAGUAUAUAGUUGAAUAAAUUAAUUGAUACUUUUCAACAACGUGGGUCCCAUUAGGUAAUGUGGUGCAUGCCAUUGUAGCCAAAUACCAAAACAAGCACCGGUGCUUCAACAUACUCAAGCUGAGAACAUUUCGUUCCAUCCAAAAUAAAUAUGGGUGUCAACACCUAAAAAUCUUAAUGCAUGCACACAGAAUAAAUUGUACAGUCAUACUAGUAAUGAUAUGCUAUGAUAUAACAUGCAACUCACGGCCCAAAACAACAGCAACCGAAUUACAUCAGUACAUGCCUGUAUUCAAAUAUUGAAUUGAAAGCUCUGGAGACAAAUGGACAGAUGGGAGUACUACCACACAUUCCAUCACAAUAUACUAGUAAAAUGCUUGAUUGCAAACUGAUUUGCAAUGGGAUCAGAAAAAAUAUUAUCCAUCUAAACCUAAGGAUUAAAAUAAUCUCAAUGGCUCUUGCUCUGAAGGGAGAAAGAGAGGAAUGCUCUGAAGCACUACAUGCAGCAGGGAACUGGGAGAGAGGGAGGGGCAUUCCAACGGCAACGGGCAAUGGGGAUGCAGAGGUUUGCAGUGGCUGAUCCUUCGGUACCUCAAAUCAACGUGAUACAACAAUGAGAACCAGAGAAGAGAUUCACGGCAGAGGAGAUCAGAGAAGAUCAAGAAGGGUUACCUUAGACCGACCGGAAUAGUGCGGGCUCGAAAUCUGGACGGACCGCCGGAGAGGCCGGGACAUCCGCGCCAGGCAACAGCAGAUGGCACGGACAUGGGGGAAAGGGCAGAGGUUCGAGGCGUCGGGGUCGAUCUAGGAUGGCGGAGGUGGCUAGCUGGAUGAGGGAAAGAGGCGGAGGUGGAGAUGGUGGGCUUGGCGUCGGACAGCAGAGGCCACGCAAGGGGUCGGCAGCGGGGCGGCUAGCCAGACAAGGAAGGGAGGCGGCGCACGUCGGGGGGUCCGCUAGCCUGAGGAGAAAGGGAGGCGACGCAAGGGGUCGGCGGCGGCAGCUCGCUCGCAGCGUGCUUCUGCGCGUGGAAGAAGGCUUGGGGAGAUAUUUUUUUUAGGGAUUUUGACUGGAGCCUUGUAAGAUUUUGACCAGCCCGGCCAUUGUUCCUGACGAUGGGCCCGUCCCACGUCGGAAAAGUCCAACUUUUCGCGCGAGAAAGCCCAAAAAACUUUGCCCGGGCCGCGCGUAGACAGCACGCGACGUGACGGCCAAAAAACGUUCCCGACGGCUGGUGCUGCCCACCGUCACGAAAGAAUACAACAUUCUUUCCUGAAGGUUAUAUUUCAGGGACCAUAUGCCUGACGUAAAUAAUCGUGAAGGUAAGUCAUCCACGUCAGGAAAACAAGUUCUUUUCCUGACGGCCCUCACAUCACCGUCAUGAAUGUACGUUGCCGUCAGGAAUUUGUCAAUUUGGGAUAGUGUCCAGGCACCGCAUGGCUUUUCAUGCCGCUACCUUGGUCUGCAGCUCCAUGUCCGAAGAUUGAAGCGCAUUUAUGUUCAGCCCCUCAUUGACAACUCGCGGCGCGCCUGCGAGAUGGAAGGGAGGCAUGCUGGCUUCGGCUGGUAGACUUACCUUGGCUAAGGGUGUCCUUUCGGCUAUCCCUGGUCUUCCACGUCACGGUGUUCCCCAUCGCCAAGUGGGCCAUCAAGAAGAUGAAUAAAAUCACUCGUUCCUUUUUGUGGAAGGGCAAAGAGAAGGCAAAUGGCGGCCACUGCCUGGUCAAUUGGUCCAAAGUGGCCUUGGCAUCCCUGACUUGGAAAGAUUCAGCCGUGCUCUGCGCUUGCGUUGGCUUUGGUUCAAGUGGAUAUGCCCAAAUAAGCCGUGGGUUGGUACACCCGCUCCGGUGAACAAGUGUGACCACACUCUCUUCUCCACCUCCACCUUGGUGCAUAUUGGUGAUGGCCGUAAGGCUAAUUUUUUGCAUGACUUCUCGCUUGAUGGCGUCGCUCUCAAGGACAUCUAUCCUAGCAUUUUUUUUCCAUCACUAGGAGGAAGAACUGCACUGUCCAUGAUGGCAUCACCGACGGGGUUUGGAUUCAUGCCCUGAGGGGCAAGAUCUCCAAUGCGGUGCAGCUUGACGAAUUCGUAUCUCUUUGGCUGAGACUUCAAGCUAUGGUCCUGUACCCUGGCACCCAUGAUUCCAUCUCUUGGCGUUGGACCUUUCAUGGCAAUUACACCUCUAGUUCGGCAUACAAGGCCCAAUUUCUUGGCUCCAUGCAUGCCCAACACACUAGUACUGUUUGAAAAGUCGAGGCUGAAAACAAGUGCAAAUUCUUUGCCUAGCUCAUUGCUCAGAAUAAGAUCCUCACUACUUAUAACCUCGCUAUUAGGGGUUGGCCACACACCCCCGGAUGCUCCCUUUGUGCCGAGCCUCACGAAACUGGAACACAUAUUUUUCUUCGCUUGCUCGCCAAGUGUGGGAUAGUGUCCUCGACUGUUGUGAUCUAAACAUCCUUCGGUAGGUCAAGCCCUCUGACUAAUGACACCCUUGCCUGGUGGAUUCCCGCCUCCAUGGCGAUUGCCAAGAACAGAAGACGGGAAUUUAAUGGUGCGGCCAUUUACAUCAUGUGGAACAUUUGGAAGGAGCACAAUCAACGUAUUUUCCAGGCGGUGGCCGCCCCAACUUCGUCAUCGCCUCAAUGGCCCGUGACGCUAUUGACUCUUAUUGGCUUGCCAUCUCUCCCGUAUCACGUAGUGAGGUCGUUUUGGGUGUUCUCUCCGUCCUGUCGGCCAUUUGUUCGGUCCGACGGGGCGGAUUUUGCUUUUGGCUUCUGCCUUGCUUUGACCUUCGGUCUCUUGUAAAUAUAUUCCCUCCGCCAAUAAAGGAUGUCUCAAUUUUCACUAAAUUUGAAUGCAUUUAUACACUAAGUUAUGUCUAGAUACAUCUAAAUUUUGACAAACUUGAGACAUCCUUUGUUGGACGGAGGGAGUACUUGUUUCUCUCUUCUAAUAUUGUAUGGCAGAGAUCCUGCCUUUCUCGGGAAAAAAAAGAUCGCACGUACGUACUGUACUAUCAAUACCAGAUCGAUCUGCAAAUUCUAUGAUUCUUAGCUAGUCACAUCAUGACUAGAUAAUCUAGUAUAAACCAGCUUCGUUUAUCGGCAUAUCAAUCUCUGUUUAGCGGCCUCAAUCAUCCUUACAAAGCAGAUAUAUAUUCUGCAUAAAUUGGAAAAGGAAAACAUGGUCCUACUCUUGCCUGCAUCUUCGGCCGGCCUCCUGAGCUAGCUCCAAAUCACCACAAAUAUUUUUUCAAAGAAAUAAAUCACACUAAUUAAACAUGAUCUUUCAUCUGUGCAAAUCAAUGGUGAUGCUUUUCUUCUCGUCUCGUCGUUGUUCUGUUUUCCCCUUGCCUGGUUUGAGAUCUUCGUUUUACCAUCAAAAUACCGAUGAUAUUGGCAGCGUGCCCAAGCUAUAUAUGAUAUCCAGUACUUUCACGCACGAUACCGUGUGCAGUGUUAUCGAUCAAAGCCCAGUAGCCUACUUCUUAUUACUAUCCCGUUUCUGACCUGCAAUCAGGAAAUUCAAGUCUGUAGUUCGAUGAUUAAAAUGAAGAGAUCUCUAAACUGAAUCAGUAGGUAACCAAUAUGGAAAUAUUCCCUAAAGAGCAACCGAUCUAGCUUGUUGGUCCGUGGCGGUGUUAGGUGAUCAGAUACUGAGAUUCAGAUUAUUAGAUCCCUAAUCGGUCUAAGCUCAUGAAUUCGAUCUUAGCACCCAAAUCUCUGCACCGUUCCUCUCACCGAAAAGAAAUGGAUUAUACUAGUGCCGCUGCUUCUGCUGGCACAUUGCUCGCUUCAGCUACAUGACUCGCUUCUUUUGCAUCAAUGUAUACAUACUACAUGCUUCUCUUGAGCCAAGGCAUCAACAUAUGAACUACGGAGUACAUUGCUCGCUUCAGUUAGCGCAUGUACGUGGCCAAACCGUAAAUGCUUUGUAUACCCGAUGCGACAAAGCAGAACACCCUCCAUUGUUUUCAAGCACUGAAGAGAUCGAGCACGACCUAUAUGCUCUAGCUAGUACGCGCGUAUUGUAUAUUUGUAUGUAUGUCUGCAUAGAGUUUUUUCACGGUACCCCAGUACUUCAAAAACAGCUAUGGGAGUACCAAUUAGAUCUGACCUUCUAUAUCAAAGGACAAAUUAGACAUUUGUCAAAGAAAAAAAAAUUCCAUCAAUUGUCCGUUAAAAAAACUCCAUCAAUUUAGGCCUGCAGUUACGGCCAGUUACCAAUUACCGUAGGCAGGUUUCCUGAUUAAUCAACAAUUCCCUUAAUCAAAGCUCAUCUCUCUCCUCCCUGUGACGGCUCCGGCGGCUCCCGCCAACCAAGGUCAGGUUGUGGCUCAACGGUGCAACCGUGCAAGCAAUUAAUGCCGACCGCUCGUCUGCUUCAAAGUUAGAAGAAGCUAAUGCUGCCAGCUCCUAUGAGAAAACUGUACCAGCGCAUGGUGGCGAUGAUGCCGGAAACGUUGGAGACAUGUCUUGUCACGUUCCGUCGUUCCGCAACAAAAUAUAAUAAGUCACACAAUUACGAUUUUGGCCUCCAAACCAAGGUACUCCGGUGAUUUCGACCCGGUACUCCGCAGAAUUAAAGAAGGAAUACCAGACCAUAUUGACCACUAGAUUAAGAUAAAUAAACGGUUCAUAUUAAAUCCGAGGUACCGUAAAGGAACUCGUCUGCAUACCAUACGUACGCUUUUGCUGUUUGCAGCAGCCGCAGACGAGCAGGGCGAUGCAGGCCACGAUGAUGUAGCGCUUCCUCUUCUGCUGCUGCGCCGCGCUCUGCAUCUUCUCUAGCGUCUUCCCCAUCGCCGAAACACGCAGCUUCCGGCUUCCGAUUCCGAGUUCCGGCCGGGAGCAAAGGUGGUCAGUUUAGUUAGUGUUGCAGGGACGACGCAGCUUCUGCAACCAAAACUUAUAGGCACGCGGAGGAUCGGUAUAAACCAGCUUCCGAACCAUCGCGUUGUGGCAUCGGCUGCCCAGCUGGACCAAAAGGGACGGACGACGGUCGAUCUUGGGCUGCAGGACAUGCAUGAAGCGGAAGCUAAUCAACGCUCGAAAUUUGCACAUCAAUGGUCAAAACUCGUCAGCAAAUACAGUGAAGAUGCCCAUCGUGGCGACGUGGCCUGCCUCAGAGCCGCUGGGACGUUUGCCGCCGCAGGACAGAGACCAGUUGAAGCUGGAUCGCCACAAGUGAAUCGUGAUGAAUUAUUGUUUUUUCUUUUAGGAAAGGAAAGUCCGGAAAAGUUUUUGGCCCCGGGUUUCAGAUUAUGCUUUACUAGCUGAAAUGUCCGUGCGUUGCAACUGAAAAACAAAAUAAAAUGGUAUACUCAAAGACAUGCUUGAAAUUUGCUAAAAAUAUUAAAAGGUUAUGUGACAUACAAUGGUGCUUAGGAAUAAAAAGAGUGGCACCUCCGUUUCCAAGGGAUCCAUAUCUGUAAGCUCGGCAACUGUCUUAACUGGAAGGUCAGCCCUUGAUCGAACGGGUGUAAAUUUCUCGACUCCAAUGCUUAUCCACUGAACCUUUUUCAGUUGGUCACCAAAUCUUAAUUAAUAGCAAAAAGUUGUCAUGUCUAUGUGGAACAUGGGAUGAUAGACAAAUCACACGCAGAGAAGAACACCAACCUUUCAAAGCAGUUCUUGAUCAUCAUAAGUAAGUUUGGAGACACCAACGACCCGAAUCACAACUACACAGGAGCAGCACAGUAAUCAUCUUAGUAAAGAUGACAGGACCAUGUAAUUGUUGCAAAUAGAAAAAAAGGGCGAUGGACCUGAAACAUUCCUGAGCACCAACCUGUGAAGGGAGAUCACUGAAUGGAACCAGAGUGUACACAUGUGUAGGAAAUGAGCUAGCUAGGAAUUUCUUCCACUUCACAGACGACGGUCCAAGGAGUGAAUUUUAUUCAUGUAUUUUGCAGGAAAGGGCUUGUAUGAGGUCUUGCUAGAGCCACCGCUUUUUGAACUUCUUUGCCUUGUUGCCUGGGAUUUCAGCAACAUGGAGUUUCCCUAAAGAGAAACAUGGUUCGGAUUUGCUCAUAAAGUCGCAACACAACACUGAUGGCAAGCAGUAAUUACAAAAGAGUACAGUAGCUCCAAUUAUCUGCAUAUAGCCACCCAUCACAGCAACAUUUAUGAUCUUAUAGACGUUCUAUACUUUCUGUAUCAAAUCAAGUUUUCAAUCACAGAGCAAUCUUUCUCUUAUCUAUUUGGUCUUACGGUCUAGUCACAUUGGCAUAGAAAGGGCAGCCAUGGCUACGAUAGACUGUAAUUUUCAUGGUAUGUAUAAAUAAAAACACAACCCUAUCACUGGCACAAGCAAGUGUUUUCUGUACCAAGAUGAAUCAGUUUCUUCAAUGAGAGAGGCCACGAAACCAAAUUACCAAUGAAAUUUGCAAGUAUUCCCCAAUUGGUGACCGUAUAAUUCUUCUACAGCGAUAUUCAUGCUCGCCAUUGAGCAAAACCAAAUGCCCAAACCAAUCCAGAAUUCUGAACUCACCUAGCUAAGGAGACUGAGGCGGCGAGAGGUGCACUCCGUGCGCCUGAUGGCCGAGAACCUGGCUGUUCGUCUUCCCGAAUCCGUUCUCCACAGCCGCCGGCGCCGCGCUCAUCGGCAAGGAGCUGUUCCUGCAGCUGGAACACUCUGGACCGCGGCCCCUGCGUGACCCUAUGCACAGCCGUCGUCGCCACAAGCCCACGACGCCACGCCGCGACCAGCCAUAGGGGCUGUCCCGCUGAGGAACAGCUUCUUGACCACUUGGUAGAACUUGCCGUCUCCUCCAGCUUCACCGGCUCACCGCCUUGCCCCAUGCCCCACGGGCCUCCUUCCUGAUCCUGCCGGAAUCCACCAUCUCGCUGCUCUCGUCAGACCUCUCCCCUACCCCUGAAGACGCUCCGUCGAUGGUGGCCCCAGGGAGCAGCGGCGGUGGCGGCGUCCCUCUAUCUCCGGGAGAGGCUGGUGGUGGGUGGGCGACCGGUGGCGGUUGGAGGAAAGAGGGCCGCGCUCCCAACCGGCGGUGGGUGGGCGGCGUGCGGAUCGCAUAUACCGGCGGCGGUUGGAGGAAAAGAGGGCGCGCGUGCGAUGCAGGUUGUUUUGUUCAGAGUCUUUUUUCGUUCGCUUGAGAGUUUUGUUUUUCGUUCGGAAUGAUCUGAUUCGUUGGUGUAGAUUAGAUCCGACGGCUCAGGGUGAGAGGUCAGUGAACCAUGGGUAAAGUGUGUGUUUAUAGUAGUAGAGCAUUUUCCUUGAUUCAGCAAGCGACUGAGCUCUCCCCCUCGACCCAGCUAGCUAGAUUCCGCUGCCGUCACCGACCAUGCAUCUCAAGCUGCGUCUCGGGAGUUGCUCGCUCGAGCAAUUCGGGAGUGAAGUCCAAGCCGCCGUCGAUCACCCUUUCGGCUCGCCGGCGAGUAAUUUGAGAGACCAUUAGUAGUGCCCGUCCUUGCUGCCGGCGUAUGACAUGGCGGGAUUCAGCGGCAGCGGUGUCGUGAUCACAGGACCGGCCCAGCUUUUCGUAAGGCUACAGGGCCAUAUACAGCCCAACAAACCGGAACCGUGGGAGUAUGCAGAGAAGACACCGUACCAUUUUUUUCUUUUCAAAAAGGAGAACAUUCCACCCGACCUAUGCAUCAAUCAAUGCACACAGCCAUAAUAUUAUUAAGUCGCAAAUAAUGAUCAGAUCAGUAAUGAUAACUUAAGAUGACAACAAGUUCGAAGAAAACAAACUCCUAGACUAUCGGUCUCGUGUCACCUCAAAUUUGGAAGCAACUACAGACAACGUCAGCACACAAACGCCACUUCAUCUCCAAAAGGAUCGUCUCUGUGAGAUUGAGGACCUUUGCAUGUCCUCAUCGCUACUAGACAAUGGCAUGGACGACACCAUCAGCUCCUCAAGCAAAGUUCGUGCCACCACCGCCAUAGCCUCCAUCGCCUCAUCCGGCAAAGCCACCGAUUCGGCCCCAACCACGAUCACAACGAGGGCCAUGAAAGAACCGGCCACGAUGACAUGUAAGACCGCGCCAAAACCAGUGUCCCCAUCUCCUUGGCCACCCACACCAUAUCAUCUGAUUGCAGCGCCCAGACCUCCAUGCUCGGUAGCUGCAUCCACACCACCACCUUCAUUGGCAUUUAUGUCUCAAAAGUUGUUGGUCCGCGAUGAGUGGCCACUCACCGGAGCGGGCCGUCGCACCACCAUGUCCUCCUACGGAUCUUUCCUACCGCCACUCCUACCCCUACUGUAAGCACCUCCUAUGUCGCGGGGGUAAGGCCGGCCAUGAUACGGCGCACGACGGCUGCCACGAACAUGCGGAUCAGAACCUCUUGGCCGAGGCCGCCGGCGUCACUGCAGCCUUGAGGCCCUCCACUGCCAGAGAUAUGUUCCGAUGGCCGCCAUGCCACCUUAGGUAUGUGUUCAAGAAAAAAAGAGAGUGCGGAGUUCAGAUCUUGAGUUCAGAAUCUCUUUGGCACCAAAGAAAUCGAACAUCGUGGGCAGUGGGGGCCUGGUGACUGUGUAGGAGGAUUACUUGGGACUUGUUUGGCACUAGUGUUUUUAGAGUUUUUUCCCCCGAAAUUCAAAAACACUAAAUUGGUAGGUAAAUAUUGCAAAGAAUUAUCCUAGAUUUUUUCACAAAACAUCUCAUUUUGUACUAAUUAAAAACAUUUCGCAUACUAGUGUUUUCCGUGGAAGGGAUUUUGAAGAGUAUUGGAUGAACACCCGAUCUCCUAAAACUAGAUGAUGUCCCGCACGUUGUUGUGAAAUUUUUUUAGUUAACAUACGUGAGCUUUGACGAAUUUUUUAGUUAAUAUACAUGAGUGAAAGAGAGCAAGAAAAGAAUAUCCAAUGAAAAUGUUUAAUGGAAUUGUACGACAGAUUACAGAUUUUUCAAUUAUGAGAUAACUUGAUGAAAAGUAGUAUGCAUGCAUGUGCAAAAAAUAUGAGUUUCCAACUAAAUAGUAGGUGUGAACAAAUUAAUGGUGUGAUAAUGUGUGACAUGCUUGUAUGUUGAGAGAAAUCAAGUAGUUGGUUUCUCCUACUUAGAUGAUAUCCAAUUCAUUAGUUAGUUACUAGUAGUAAAAAAAUACAUUAGUGACAAACAAUGCUGCUUAGCGGUCAGUGGAACAAAUUCCUCCGAUGGCCGGUGGAAACAAUGCAGCCGUACUGCCCUAGAGUGAUUUGGGUGGAAGGUUUGCGAUGAUCGGCAGGUGUAAGACAAGGUGUUCUGCAAUAUCAGCUGGAUGUGCUCGGGCCUUGGGAAUGUUUUGCAAAAAACGCCAUUAAGUGGAGGUGAAGGACGGAAGGGGCUCCACAUCUACGCUGCAGCUUAAGAAUCACUCGGCUGGUUUUGAUUUGAUUGCACGAUUGCAAACAGGUACGCUGAUACCUGAUUGCAUAGCGAAACCCUUGCUAUUUACAACUUCCUCCUCCUCUUAAAACUUGGCGUAUUUGCUUUUUGCACAUGUACCAAAGAACCCCUAAUCUCUCAAUUCUAGACACUUUUGCUUCCGGCUGAGACCCUCCUCUUCUUAAAUAUGUGCGCGCACACACCUUUUCACAGGCAGUUAAGAAAAGUAAAAGAGAAAAGAUAAUACUCACUCCGUCACAUAAUUCGAUAUUACAUGUAUCCAAACGCUUUUAGGAAUAGAUACAUUCAUUUUUGGACAAAUUUUUGAGACAAGAAUUAUGAAACGGAGGGAAUAACAGCAAAGGUGCGGACAAAUGUCAAAUCAAAAAGUAUUGUUCCACAUAUUUAUAUCUCCAGAAGAAUAGUGCUGUACUCAAACAAAAACAAAAUUUCCAACCUUAUCGACUAAUAGCUAACCCUACAUCGUCAUCAACUCAUCAUACUCCAAAAAAAUACAUGAAUCAGGAACAAGUUCCCGUCGUAAGGACAACUGCUAAAUUCCUCUUCUGAAACAAAUCAACCAUGGAUUAGAACAACUGAACAAGUACUACGUUACGAAGCCUAGCAAAGGCAUUUUUCGUCUUCUUCAACUACAUCCCAGCUGUCGUCUAGAUCAUCAAUCUCCUCGUCACCAUUGAAAUUUGAAUUUGACUCUGUGGCAGAAGACCAGCUGCUCUCGGAAGCUGCUGACUUGACAGAGCUCGACAAGAUUGGCAGUGAUCCACCAACAAAAAUCAGUUUGGAAGGUGCUGAAUCGACUGAGCCGGCCAAGCUCAAUGAAGAUCGUUCCAGUGGUUCAUCUACAUAUGCUAGUUUGGAAGGUGCUGGUUUGACUGGGCUGGGCAAGUUCGACGAAGCAAGUUGAGCUGGUUCUUCGACAGGACAUUGGUAAGUGUAAAAGGUUGCUGAGUCGACUGAGCUGGACAUGCUAGAUGAAGCUAGCUUCUGGGGUUCUUCAACAGGAAGUCCCAUAUCGACUCUGUACUGGAGCUGUGCAAUGUUGUUGAAGAUUCCCAGCAUUUCCCCACUGAAAUAAAAGGUGUGCAGAUCUGUAAGUUAAAUAUCGAAUAUUACAACAUCAUUUCAACCAUUAGUGGUAUACUUACUGCAGUGCAUCCACAACAUGGCCUCUGUCCAUCAGUAGCUCCCUCAGCUGUAUCAAAUCAAAUAAAUAAAUGCAUAUUAAAACUCUUCUUUCUUAGAUAUAUGACAGAGCCUGUCACCCCCGUAGCUCUUUGUUACCUUUGCAUUCUCCUGUGCUUGUUGCUUCAGCUUCUUGGACUCUUCCUUUGCAGCAUCAAGUAGGACUUCCUGUUCUUUUAGCAUCUGUUGAGUCAUUGUCUCCCUUCCAAUUAUUUCUGCCUCAGCAGCUGCUCGAUCUGCUUCUGCUAAAUCAAAUCUUCUUUGAAGAGUUUGGUGCAUCUUCAUAAUGUACAAGAAAAGGAUAUAUGGAAUUAAAUUAAAAUGUUGAAAAGAAGAAUCAAUUCAACAUAAAAAUAGUAUUAUAUCUACAACUCUUAUAGGAUUACAAAGCAUAAAGAAUCACCAGUAAAGUCUGCAAAACAUCAUAUUUUCAUUUACAGGUGGCUUGACCAUUAGCAAUGCCCAAACCACAUACAGUGCAAAAAUGAGUAACCACCUAACGCACAUCUUGCAUCUACUUAAUAGGCUGAAUAGCCUAGGCUAAAUAUCCUAAAGCAAAGUGCAAAUUGUGCACUACUUGUUACACCGUGUAUUGAGUAAUUAACCUGCUGUUGAUGUUGACUAGAGUACACUACACCGUAAGUCAUACUGAUAUUUCAUUAGAACAAUAGAACACAAGAGUAGUAAAGAUUCAGAUUUACCUCGUCAAUGAUAAACACGAAGCGGUUUCGUUCUUCAGAUAUGGUGGACAACCGAAACUGGAGCCCCUUCGCUUCUGAUGCUAGAAUAGAUUUUUCAGCAAGAACCUCUGCUGCAACCUACACAUAUUCCGUUAAAGGGUUUUGUUGCUCAAGUUAAGUAGCAGAAGAUAAAAGUACGAAGUGAAUUAUUGAGUAAAACCUCAUUGUUCUCUUCCGCUGCAAGCGUUGACAAUGCUUUUAGCUUUGCCACCUUUACAAGAAUAUCACUGCCAGCUUGGCUUGCUUCGGAUACAAUGUGUUUUGUUUCUGCUUCACUAAGCUCAACCUCCUCUAGCAUUUCACUUAUUGCCGCAACAUUUGACAGCAAUGUAUUCUGCAACAAACAGUUAUAUUUUAAGAGAAAUUGGCAAUGUGUAAUUGUUAAAGGCUACAACUGUAUCAGGAAAUUGUAAUGAGCCGAACCUAAGCAUCACCACAUAUAUUAUUUGGUGGCAAGCAAUAAGAAAAAACAUUUCAUUUAUUUGCUUUCUCUCAGCCCCUCGUUCUAUGGUAAGCUAUGCCAACCAAAUCCCCUUUGGCCAUUUUCAGCACAUUAACCAUUCCUUUCAGAAUCAAGGUUGGCAACAAUAAUCUUCUUUGUAACAUAAAUACAUAUUUUUACAGGAACAAAGUUAUGAAUUGGACAGGAAGUGUUAUCUUUUAUUCUUCUAGUUGAGCAAAUUUGUCAAAAUAAUUGUUAUGAAAGACUGCAUGGUGUGCAGAUUCAAUAUGCAUACAUACCGUAGAUAACAUAAUCAAAAUGUGGCAUUCUGAUUAAUAAAAAUUUGCAAGGAAUUGUGGGAUAGAAUAUCAAGUCUUGCAAAGAGGAAGGGAUGCAUAUUUUCCUCAAUCUUGCAUAGAGAACAGUGAUGUACUGUCCAUUAUCACAUUUAUUUUCAGUUGGUACUACUUUGACAAAUAUAGAAGUUUCGCAUCUAAAAACAAAUACAGAAGUUGCGUUUCCUGACUUCAAAUGAGAGGAAAGAGUCUUACCUUCUUGUAAUUUUCAGUGGAUAUUGCAUCAUCGAGGGACUCGGGGCUAAAGGAAUAGCUUGAUCCCAUGUUCAUAUCAGGUAAACCAUCAUGGUUAAGCUUCAAUUUAUUUUCAGGAAUUGGCAAUCCCUGUUUUAUCUCAGAAAAUGAGCAUUCUAUUUCUUCAUUACCUUGACCUCCAAUAAGGUGGUCAGAAAAAUUCAUUUCUUUCUGCUGGUUUUGAGGAUGAGUUACUUCAUGAUCAACAACUGAGUUCUCUGCACUAGCAACCAAAGAGUCAGUGUUACUUUCUUCAGGUAGACCGGCCUGACCAGAUGUCGAUGCUGUAGCAGGUAAUUGCAUCAGUUGUUCUGUGCUUUCUCUAUUUUCAUCUGAAUAUUCAUUGGUUGUGUCAAUCUGUACAGAUUCUGAAAGGCUGUCAUUACCCACUGGAGUAUUUACUAUAUUUGUGUCUGUAUCACCAGAUACCUGAUAUUGCCCUGCGAAAAGAAUUUUGUCAACACAAGUGUUUGAAAUUAAAACAACAAAGGUAUUGGAUAAGAGGUUGCAUGAUAGUAUUUAGUACUCCGCAGCUAAUUUAUCGAGUGCAAGGCAUCUCACACUUUACCAUGAAUGUAUAAAUCUUCAUUUGUGUUUGUAUUAUUGUCAUCUGGGAUAAUAUUUUGGAGGACAUUAUGGAUAACAUAAUCUGCAGCAGCAUCAAUGUCGCCCUUGAAUGAAAUGGCGACUUCUAUCAGUGUUGAAAAGUUAACCUGCAUAGCGCAAAAGUUGAGGUGUAGUAGCAGAAGUUAUUAAGCAUCUGUUUUGAAUUUCUAGCAAUAAAAAAUCUGCAGUUUAAUAUACUUAGAUUAGAAGAGAAAUUGAGCCAACUAAAACAACAAGAAACACACAGAAAAAGAAUAGGGAGAUUAAAUUCACUUGAAUUAUUAAAGUAAAAAAAGCAAUUACAUUCAAGAAAGCAAAGAGCAGGAUCACGAAAAUACAAAGUCUGAUCGAUUACAGCUUAACUAAUCUCCAAUCCUGAUAUCAUAGCAGAUCAUAAACAAGACAGACACGUGUUUCACGGUAGUUUUCCCUUAAUGUGUACUGGUCCACAGGUCGUAGUCAAGAUAUUGAGAAGCCAUCGCCAAAUAAUCUUCAAAUCAUGUUUCGUGAAUAAAUUAAAAACAUGAUGUGCGUUGACAAAGUUGUAACUUGGGUGUUCAUGAAGGUAAGAACGUUAAUCUUUCCUUUGAGUAUAAAAUAUUACUGUAUUGUUCUUACCAAUGGCUUUGGUUCUUAGACAAAUUUGCGGGAUAUAACUAAGCUCAGCAGACCACGAUUUCUUGGACAGAUCAGUAAAACAUUCAAACGUAACUGUCAAACUAAUCGGCAGUACAUAUAUUCCCGACAAAGAAAUAAACAACUAAACGCUCGUCAGCAAUUCAACACUUGAACCAAUCCCAAUGGGAGUCACUCAACCACGAACCUCCGGGAACACCUCCACGAGGCCAUCCAGGACCGGAUCCCCCGUCAUGCUCGCGUCCCCCUGCAACCACACGCAGACGCGUGGACGAACUACUCGUGAGGAUCAACUGAACGACCCAAGAUCGAUCGGAGCAAGUAAUUAAACAAGCGAGAUGAGAUUCCGAGGGAGGGAGUGAGCGCGGCAGCUAGCAAACCUUGAACAAGUUCACGGGGACGACGGGGUGCAUGCCCUUGCCGUUGCCGGCCGACGAAGACGGAGAGCCGCCCGUGGUGCCUGGAUUGGGCGCUUGCGUCGGGGUUUCGGGUGUGGGAGCUGAGAGGGCUUUUGGGAAGGGGGUUGGCCGAGGGGCGGCGAUGGACGAGGAUUUAUGGGGGUAGAGGAGGAGUCGGGUUGUAAUUGGAGGAGGAAUUGCUGCGAUUGGUGUGCCACUCCCGACUCCCGAGGUCGCACGCGACGCGGGCUGUGGCGACGACGGACGAGGAGGAGGCGGAGGGAUGGUGGGCCGUUGGAUCUGGAGUUUUGGACUUGCGUACGGCGCGGAUGCGUUUGCUGCCGGGCGCGGACGGUACGGACAGCAGCUCUGACCCGAGCUGUUUUCCGUUUGGAGAACCGGUGCUAGUCUGACCGGAGCUGUUUUUCUGUUGGAAACCCGAACGGCUCCACCAAGUUGACGCUGCCAGAGUUAUCAAAUUCACCUUCUUCUUCUAAUACUCCUGUUUCGCCAGCCAGCAAGGUUACUCCGGUGAAAUAAUUUAUAUGUAGUGUUGCAUAUGUUAUUAGUCUAAAUUACCAUCUCCACGUCGAGAAAUAACUUAUAUGUAGUGUCAUUCAUUGUAUCAUUUAUUAUGUUAUAGAUUCAUUUUGUCUUAAUUUGUGAUAUGUUACUCUUUUUCUUCAUUUAUUAUCUACUUAUUCAUUAAUUAUCAUGUCAUGUCACCAAAAUGUCUAGUUGACAUAUAUGUUACCACCCAAGUUACUUACACUAUGACUAGUCUACUUGUGUCCGGGCUCACAACUUCAUACAUAAAAAUUAAUUGUUGUUGUUCUACAAAACAACAGGAGUAAGGAAUAGCAAUGCUCGAUGGCACGAGUGCGAGAAUCAUAUGUAGCGUGUGUACGUCGGUCUUAUAGCGAAGAUCGCCGUACACUUGGACAAGUUGACACGUUGAUAUUUUUUGAAUAGUUUCAGUCGACCCCUGUGGGCACGACUUAGUCCUAUGUUAGGAGAGGUUUCGAGGGGGUCAUUAGCCGGGUGUUUGGACCGAACUCGUCUUCCCAAAUCACCUAUGGCGAGAGAUCUCUGGAGGCCGUCUCAGACUUGGGCCGAACUUGUCUUCCCAAAUAGCGAGGUUGGGAUACCCUCGAGACUCUAACCCGAUACCUCUACUUCGAGUCGAGGUCGUACUAGACGGCCCGGAACCUCGAAACUAGGCUUCCUAAGUCGCGUCCCCGAGGUCGAGUCGAGACUAGGCUCGACCCAAGCACUCGAGAGCGGGCUCCUUAGGUUGCUCUAGCCGUCUCCCCUUUGAUCUUAUUCCAAUGGAGAGUGAAUGAUACAUGCCCCCAUUGGGGGUAUUUAUAACCUAUGAGUCCAUGACAAAAAACCAUGUCUACCCUUGAGGGAGAGGAAAAGUGAGGACAAAGUGGUAAACUCAUCCCUACACUUUUCUUGGCCCCUACUCAAGCUCCUCUUCUACUUUGACCAUGGCAUGAGAGGCUUGACUCGUUGACUCCUUUGACCGGAGUCUAGUUGGCAUGGCUAUGCCUUGUUGGCAAAUUGACCGGUCUUUGGGAUUGGUUGACUUGGUCGUCGCCACGUAUGAUUAUGGCCCGGCCCAUGUAAGGAUUUUAUUAUAUUACAACAGUAGCCGGCAUUGGGAAUGCCUUCGGGUCAACCUCAACGUCCAUGGCGUGCUGAGAUCCUUUUUCCGACACUUGGAUCGUAGUUCUCCUUGGGACGAGCCACCGCUUAGGUAGGUUUUACAAGAAAACCGGGCCUAGGUGGGCUGCCUUUUGAGAUACUUGUAGUUUCAGAAAUUUUCCCAGUAGACUUGAGACCUUCGAGGCGUCACGUUGGGAGAGCCACCGGCUAGGUAUCUUCCCUCGGGGAGGAAGAUAGACCUAGGUAGGCUUGUUACACAAAACUUGUUGUUUUGUGAGUUUUGGCGCAUCCCAAGGGUUGCUGGGAAUUUUUCUGCUGAAAAUUAGGGCCUUGGAAUCUUCGGCAUGGAGAACCACCGGCCAGCCAAAUUUCUCGAUGAGAAACUAAGCCCAGGUGGGUUCCCUUUGCAUGGUUUUGCCGAUCGUGAAGUGUAUUUCCAAAGAAAUGGACAUUUAUGAGGUCUUCCUUAUGGAAAUCUGCGGCCUCGGAGGCUUUUCUUGCAGAAAAUGGAGUUUCGGAGGCCUUCUGUGUAUUUUGGGGAAGUUCGGGGGCCUAGGCGCUAGAUCUCGACGCCGCGAGGGCUUGGUACGAGAUUCCCGUGCCCCGAGGGGCCUUUUCGCAAAAAACCCUAGGCAAGGGCCGCCUGCCGCGCGCGUGGGCUCUCGCAAAGCGAGGCUGGUUCGGAGCGUGUGUGACUUGAAGAGCACCAUGCGGGGGAAGUCCGCAAUAUGGGUGGUACCAAGGAGCUCCAUGGGCAAUCGUGGCGAGCGCUAAUGGAGGUAGUCCCGGGUUGGAAGGGUCGUAAGCCGAGACUCCUUGGUUUUCUGGCGCGGAUCCUCCUGAUGCCACAUUGUUUCCUCUUGUAGGCUCCGAACGCAAGGUCAUUACCGGUUGUACGGAAGGUGGCGUGAAGCCCAUCGAACGAGGCAUGCCGAGUUCCGCGUCCCUUGCGGGGGCGGUAACCGUAGGUAGCCUGCCGAUCCUUGCCACCACGUCGGUGAGGACCGAGGGACCGCCUACGAUGGUUUCGAGUGCUUCGGCUCCUUCGGAGACGGCCGGGAGCGGAGGUGCGGUCACGACUUCCGUCGUAGUGCCCAUGCCUGCAGCAAUGUCUGGAUUGGUGAGGAUUUCUCCUUCCUCGGGAGGCCCCCGAGGCGUUUGAUUUCUUCGUUUGUAACCGUGUAGACUUCACGGCAAGUUGGGCACUCGAUGAAGUAGGCUUCGUUGCAGCGAGGGUUCCCCACGGUCGGCGCCACUGUUGUUGUUCUAGAAAACAACAGGAGUAAGGGGUGCCAAUGCUCAAUGGCACGAGUGCGAGAAUCGGAUGUAGGGUGUGUACGCCGGCCUUAUAGCGAAAGUCGUCGUACACUUGGACAAGUUGACACGUCGAUAUUUUUUGAAUAGGUUCAGUCGACCCUGCGGUCACAACUUAGUCCUAUGUUAGGAGAGGCUUCGAGGGGGUCGUUAGCUGGGUGUUUGGGCCGAACUUGUCUUCCCAAAUCACCUAUGGUAUCACCUAUGGUGAGAUAUCUCUAGGGGCCGCCUCGGACUUGGGCCGAACCUGUCUUCCCAAGUAGCGAGGUUGGGAUACCCUCGAGACUCUAACCCGAUACCUCUACUUCGAGUCGAUGUCGUACUAGACGGCCCGGAACCUCGAAACUAGGCUUUCUAAGUCGCGUCCCCGAGGUCGAGUCGAGACUAGGCUCGACCCAAGCACUCGAGAGCGGGCUCCUUAGGUUGCUCUAGCCGUCUCCCCUUUGAUCUUAUUCCAAUGGAGAGUGAAUGAUACAUGCCCCCAUGGAGGGUAUUUAUAGCCUAGGGGUCCAUGACAAAAGACCAUGUCUACCCUUGAGGGAGAGAGAAAGUGGGGGCAAAGUGGUAAACUCAUCCCUACAUCUUUCUUGGCCACUAUUCAAGUUCCUCUUUCCUUUGACCAUGACAUGAGAGGAUUCAUUUGUUGACUUCUUUGACCGGCUCCUAGUUGGCAUGACUAUGCCUUGUUGGCAAAUUGACCGGUCUUUGAGAUUUGUUGACUUGGUCGUCGCCACGUAUGAUUAUGACCCGGCCAUGUAAGAAUUUUAUUAUAUUACAACAUUAAUGGUUAGAGAAAAUUGUUUAAUUAUUAUACGUCUACUCCUUAUGUACUUCUAAUUUUUAUCUUAAGUAAAAAAUAUUAAAAGUUGACCGACUUUAUAAAACUUAAUACUCCAUCCGAUGCAUAAUAAGUGUCACUGAGUUAAUACAAAGUUGCAUGAAAUCACCGAUUUAAUACAAAGUUGUAUCAAAUCACCGACACUUAUUAUGGAUUAGUGGGGUAACAUUUAUGGCACUAGAUUUGUCCCAUUAGAUCUGUUUUGACAUGAAGUUUCAAAAUAUAUCCAUUUGACGGCAUACGUAUUGGUAUUUUUUCAACAAAACUGGUCAAAUCUAAAAAUGUUUGACUAAGACGUAACAACACUGGAGGUUCGCGUGCGAGUAGUUUAGUACAACAAAUUAUAAAAUGGGGCCAGGUGGUACAUUAACUUGAAUUACGAACGCACGUUUGGUCAUAGCCAAUGAAGGGGCGACAUGGGGCUUGCCGGUUGACUUGUUCAUUUUACGCAAACCCCCCGCACUGUUUCGCUUAUUCAAAAAACCCUCCGAAUUCAAACAGUUCAUCAACUCUAAAAAAUCAAAGUCGGUACGUCUAUCAGCAAUGUCUUCUACCAUUCGCUAUCACGCAAGCACAUAGGUACGGGAACGAAUCCAGAUGAGCGGAUAACGCGGCGCUGCUAAUCAAGAUGACAAUAAGCUAGUUGUUCAUCUUAGCAUGGAUCGGAGCAGCAACGCCAUCAGUUCAUCACUCCGGGCCAUCCAAUCAACGAACCCAUUGGUCACAUACGAAUCAACAUAUCUGAAGCACACAACUGCAACUAAAUAGGUAUAACCUGGAACCAGAUCAGCCCCUGGACGAUCGAGGCGACGAAGACCAUGGAUCUAGUUAAUUAAACGAGCGGCGUCGCAGCCUCCAGGUCGCCGGCCGCCGAGGCUGAGGAAUCAAGCCCAACCGAAUCCACAUAAAAACAUAAACUGGAGCUUUGAUCUUUCAGAUUUGAUGAACUGUUUGUGCCGUUGGUUUUUUAAUAAGCGAAACGUCGCGGGGGCUAUACGUAAAACGAACAAGUCAACCGACAAGCCACAUGUCGUCCCUCCAUUGGCUAUGACCAAACAUACACCCGCAAGUCAAGUUACUAUAUCACUUGGCCCCAUUUUGCAACUUGUUGUACCAAACUGCUCGCGCAAUACAAGUUCUUGUACUUCCAAUGUCGUUAUUACCUCUUUGACUUAUGACAAAACCUAGAAAUAUACUUAUUUGUGAACGGUGGAGUACAAUAGAAUUUUUUUUAUUUCUGUGAUUGAUUUGCAAUUGAUUGAUGGCUUGAAAGCUUUUCAUUUGAAAUGAUGUGAAACUAAUGGAUUGAUUUAUAAUUAGUUAGGUUUCAUAAUUAAUGGGUACCAUUGUGGGUAGUUAAAACUUGUCAGAAAACAUAACAAACAUUCAUGCAACAUGGAACACUGGAUUUAGCUGAUUGGACGGUGGGAUCUUUUGGAUUCAACACAGGUACUUUUAACAGUAGUAUAAAUAUAAAUCGAUGUUAGUUUAUAGAUAAUAUAAGAGUACUAUGUUUGCUUAGGACCGAAAUUUAACUAAAUUUCCUAGAUAUGGUGGUUUAUAUGAUAUAAAAUCACAAUCAUCAAUAACACCUUGUUUGGAUGCAGAUAUUGAGGCUUGGAAUUAGUCUUUUAUGUUUUCUAACAAGUUUUAACUACCCACAAUGAAACAUUCAUGCAACAUGGAACAUAAUGUUUUCAUUUGGAGAGGCUGUUCAUCAAUUUAUAGUGGUAAUGAAAACAUAAUAAACAUUCAUGUGUACACAUUAAGUUAAAACUUGUCAGGGAUCAACAACAUCUGUCAGCUAAGGACUUGGAGGAGACAAGAUGUGGGGGCUAGGCUUUUGGGGGAGAAAGGAGAAAGGAUCGAGGCAAAAAAGAAGAGAAAGGCGGUCGACUUGGUCACGUGUCUGUGGCACGAGAUAACAAACCGAUUUAAAAAAGGAUGUGGAUAUAUCCCAACCGUCUGAUUUUUAAGAAAAAGGCUUAAGUCUCAGUUGAUAGUAUCAGAGCUGUUGAUUAUUAUUUGGACGACAUCCCUACUCACUCAUCUCCAUCGUUGUCCUGAAUAUUAAAGCAUAGUCUAGAUUCAAUGACUGAGCAAUCAAUUUAUUUCUAACUAAAAAUCAAACAACUUAGAUAUAACAAAUCCGUUUAAAAGAACCCUUUAGAUGUCCACUUCGGAUGGACCGUAUAUCAAGUUCAGGGUCUUGACCGAGCACCUGAAUUUUUAAGACGUUGUCUAAUCCGUUCCCACCCGCUAAGUUGUUGUAUCGCGUGUGUCGUUUAGGGCCUCUUUGGAUCAUAGAAAUUGUAAAAGACAUGAAUAGGAAAAAUGCAGGAAUAGGAUGCCAUGACAUAUUGAAACCUACGAGAAUUCAAAACAUAGAAAUUAGUAGUACAAGAUGUUUGGUUGCAGCAUAAGAAAAAUACAGGAAUCUUAUUUAGGCAUUAGUAUAAGCCAUAUUUGUCAUAGACAAAUAGGAAAAUUUCUCCAAAAGGUCAAACCUCUUGCUAAAAUUCACAUAAGAAUAGGGUGUAGGAAACCAAUACAUAGGAUUGUGGGGGGUGAAUUCUUUUGAUCCAAAGAGUCUCUAUAGGAAAAAUUCUUAUGGUAAGAAUCCUAUCAAAAUCUUAUGAAAACUAGCAAAAAGCCCCGUGCAUUGCUACGGAAGAAAAGAAAUUGAAAAAUAUGCUAGCUUAAGUUUUCAAAAGUGGCGUCUUUUGCACGUAGCUACUAAUGGAGAGCAAUUCUAGCAGUUACUGAAAUUUCUGAUCGAAAAAACGUUAAUUUAGUCUACCGAAAAUGCCUUUUCCGAUAUAAUUUCAUAUUUUAUAAUUUUUAGCCCAUAUGAAAAAUAUGUUAACCCCGACGAGAUGCUGCUCUCCCUUCGCUCCAUCACGCAUCUCUGCGAUGCCAUGCCACAUAUAUUGGGCCUAUUUCAACCAUGAUCUUUAAGGAAAAUCAAGGAUCCAGCAUAUCAUCGAUUAGUCAUAUGAUCAAGUCCAAUCGGGUCAAAAAAUAGAUCUAGGAAAAUGAUAAAACUAAAAUCAUAUACGGAGGGGAAUUAAGUCAAUGGAAUUUUCAGAGUAGAUCAAUGUCCUAAUUAAAUUUAGAAAGCAUGGUCUGCAUGUACCAUCAAUUAGACCAAGAUUUUAGCAAAAAUAAAGAAAAAAUAGAGAAAAGCGUCGGUAGGAGCAGCGCCAGAACGCCCGCUAGGGAGCAGCUUCUGCGGCGGCGGUGCUGGAGGAAGGCGCCCGCGCUACCGCCAUGCCCAUCUUCGCCACCGCGCAUCGGAUCCGCAGCCGCGACGCGCCGACGACCAGCUAAGGAGGCGCCCGACCGACCCGCCGAGGAGCGGGUGCCGCGAAGGAUCUUAACGACGCAGGCUGGAUGGAGGCCGGACGAAGGAGCGGCACUGUUGUCUUCCCCACGCCGAUCCUCGUCACUGGGAUAUGGCCGUCAAUGGGACCCGGGCACUCCGUAACUGGCAGCGUGUCGUCCUACGCCUCCACCUAGUCAUCGAAAGCCACCCGGCCUCUCCCGAUCUUCUGCAGCACUGCCGUCACGCCUCCGUCUUCAGACUGCAGCGCCGCCGCGAGCUCCACCUACCUCGCUCGCGGCUCGCCCCGCCUCUUCCAGAACACACCGUCGAUCUCCUCCACAGACUACAGCCAGCCGUCCAGAUAGAUGAAGAGGGAAGCGGGCAGGGGCUCGGCGUCCUUGGUCUAGAUCGGGAGCAUCGGAGGAGCGAAGAGGGCAGGGGGCGCUGGGCCGCCAGAUGCCCAGAUCGAGUCUCCUCGGGACUCAGGAGGAGGAGACGGGGCAAGGGAUGAGGAGACGGGAGUGGUUGCGCGGGCCAGAUCGGUAGUAGAGACCGAAGAAGGACUGGAGAGAGGGCGGCGCGGCGGGGGAGAGCAGGGGCGGCGGCGGCAUGGAGAACGAGCGAGGAUGGCGAUGAAGGGAGGAGUGGGACUUCAUGGAGGAGGCGGAUCGAGCGGUGCGAGGAAGAAGAGUUCGGGGAGAAUGGAUUGAGGGGAUAGGUGCGAGAGGGAGAGGGGACAGGGGUCGGGCCGCGUGCCCGCGUGAGAGGGUCGUGCGGAAAAUAUCGAGGACGUACGGCGGUGGUUAGAAUCAAUCGGAUAAAAAAACAUUUCAGGAUUAAAAGUGGUGACAGCGGUGCCAAAUUCGUAAUUUUGGUGAAAUAACGUACAGCUGCGAUCGUACCAUCACCACCAACUCCAAUUUUAUAUAUUGUUAUAGAUCCUUGAAUCCAAAGAGGCCUUACUCUUAUUUAGUCAUCAGCUGGUCUCACGGUAUCAAAUGAGAUCUCAGGUCAAGGGAUUCCCAGCUUCCAGGGAUCAGAAGAGUGUGCAGAGCUUACCAGAGACACGCACAACAACCAACCAACAAACAGCUUACGAACUGAUCACCCAAAGAUGCCACAGCAACAGCUUUAUUAACACUGCCUGCGCGCUUUAUUUCAAAAUUAAAAACAGAAUAAUCCCGGCAACAGAAGCAUGGAUACAUAAAUUUCACAUGAACUGUAGCAUACAGUGGUGUAUACAAUAACAAAAGCGCACUUGAGAUAAUGAAGUGGAUAAGUACGUACAAAAAUUGGAACCGACAAUCGCGCAGCCUUGUGGGAAUCCAAGAACAACUCUGCUUUUCACGGGCUCUGUUUAGUUACAUAGGAGCAACCUCAACCCAGCGCUCGGCCACCGACGCAGUUCCAUCCCCGCAUCUCCUUCCAGAGAGGCAAAAAGUGUUGGCCGCGUCCUGGACCUGGACGCGGUAGCUCUCGCUCACGUUGUCGCUCAGCACCGCGCCGUCCACGGCGUCGAUCGUCCGCUGGUAGCUCCACCGGUCGUCGCUGUACCGGUACAUCUGGGUCGUCGUCGCCGACCCGUUGACCACGUCGUGGUCCUUGACGACCAUCCAGCCCUCCGCGCUCUGCUCGUCGGCGAGCUUCGCCUUGUUCUCGAAGCUACCUGACUUCACCUCCGUCUCGACGUUCAGGCUGUGGGACAGGCUCCCCGUGACGACGGACGUGCCGUUCUCGCCGUCCUCGGUGUCCAUGUAGAACCACAGAGGGUACUUGGCCUCGGUCUCGAUCUUCCCGAUCACCUUCCUCGUCUCCGACCGGACCACCACCUCCGUCUCCUGCUCCGCCCGCAGCUCCACGGUCUUGUUCUUUCCGCCGUUGCUGAACCAGACCAGGCUGCUCGUCUCCAGCUCCGUCUCCACCUCGGUCGUCAGGUUGCCGAGCGAGGAUUUCACCCAGCCGCUGAAGGCGGACUUCCUCUUGGCGCGGAUACUGAAGCUCCCGUCCAGCAGCUGCGUCGCGUACCGGCGGGUGAUGGACAGCCGCGGCGUCUUGUAACGGCCCAGCGACGCUUGCACGUCCGAUGACUUGGGGUCCAGCCAGAGGUGCAGGUUGGCGUCCACGAGCCACUCGGCGAUGCCGUCCACCACGCUGAGGCCGAUCUCGUGGGCCUUGCUGUCGACGAGGAGGCCCAGGAACGGGGUGAGCUCGAUGUCGUAGGUCGGCAGGUCGAAGGCGCCGAGCGCGGAGACGGGCUGCCAGUAGAGCGGGUUGAUGCCGCCCGUGUAGAUGACGGGGAACGGCACGAAGGAGCCGGCGAAGUGGUGGUCCACGCUGGCCACGACCUCGCGGUACGCGGCGUUGCCCCUCGGCGUUGUGAGGUUGUUCUCCUGGAUGUAGAGGUCCGGCGGGUUGGAGUACCAGAACUCGUCGUUCGCGUGGGGCGACACGAACACCUCGAGCACCGCACGGUAGGUGUUCGACGGAAUGGUCACGAGCUUGGAGCGCGAGUCGGACGAGUUCUGGAUGCGGAACCAGUAGCCGCUAUUGCUGGUGGCCUCCGAGAUCGGAAGGAUAAGGUCGGCCGCCUGGAAGUAGGACUCCGGCAGCGUCGGUGGCGCCGGGUCGGGGCUGUCAACGCGAGCAGAGGAGGAGGGUGAAGUUGUGUCGGAGAUGUAAGCCGGAGUGCCGUGGAACUCAAGGGAGACAGUGACGUUGUACACGCCGGUGUACUCGUCGUUGACGACGUUCUCGAGCAUGACCGACAGGACGCCAUCGGGCGGGGAGCGGAGGAGGGCGGAGUACCGGGUGACAUCCUUGCGCACGGUCCAGGCGACGCCGUCCGGGGUGGGCUCGGCGGUGGUGGUGCGAAGGAGCUCGGCGCCGUCGAGCCAGACGGCGGCGACGCGGUCGUACUGCUCGCCGGCGCAGGCCGCGGAGAAGGAGAGCACGACGAGGGACCAGGGCGCGGGGCACCCGGCGGGGGGCGCGUAGGCAGCCUUGGCCGGGGCGGCACCGUAGGUGCUGGCGAAGGAGUAGGAGAGCACCGGCACGGUGCACGUCUUCGCGGCGGGCGGGGGGCCCGGGAGAGGGUAGGUCGGGUCGAGGUACUCUUGAGCCGCAGCCGCAAUGGUCUCGGCGCCCGGCGGGGCGUAGCGGACGGCGUAGUGGUCGGGGGUUUCAGCGAGAGCCGGAGCGAGGAGGUGGACGAGCGGGACGAGGAGUAGGAGGAGAAGCGGCGGCGGCAUCUUGGGCUGCUGCCUGCUGCGGCGAGGGGAUAUGGUUGAUGGUUGGUCGCUGGCUCGCUGCUGAUGUCUGGCUAAAUUGCCUUUGUAUAGCGGUACUCCGUGCUGGAUUUUGGAUAUCUUUUGGGAUCUUCAGAUUGUCAGCAGCAGUGGAUGGAGCUCGCCGCACGAUCACUAACCACUCGAAUUAAGAAAGGAUGUAAAUAUUACUGACCUCGCUCUAUCAAAUAAAAAGAGGGCAUCAAUGUGCUGAUCCAGCAGGAACGAGCCAUUUAGACAAAGGAAGAGAGUGGUUAUUAUACAGUCCCUUUCUAGACUGCAUCAUCGUUCUGCACAGCUUCACACUCAUGUGCUCCAGCCCGUCAGCCCGUCUGUAUCGAUCGAGUCCACUGUGCAAAGGAGUUACGAUCAGGUCAACCGUGAAACCAAACUACCAAAUCCCAGAGUUGGGAUCUGGGAAGAAAGCAAAGCACCGCCGUUAGCAUGUCAGGGCUGUUCUGACGGCUCACUGUCAACACACGUCAGGCCGGGUGCUUUUUUUUUCGUUUUUUCUUUUUGAUAGCACAUCCGGGGUGCUUCUGUGCCGCUUGGCGCUGCGACGGGGUUCGGAUGGGCUGCUGAUUAAGCACGUUCGUUCGCUCCCCGUGUUUCUUGUUUUGCUUGACGUACGUGGCUCAUGGAUGGGGAUCUGAAAACGAAAAGUUUGGAGCGUUGGGGGCAAAGAUUGGGACGCCUUUGGAGCUUUAGGGGCAACUUCCCAUGCGCGGCGCGUGUGGUUGGAACGCAGGCGUUCAGAUCAGAUCUGGCCUACGUGUACGGCAAUCGGGUCUCUGCGGGGAUAUGGCCGGAUAAUGUUUGCCCUCAAUUUCACAGGCGUGUUCGUGCUUGGGUACUAUACUACUACACGAGGAUCCAGGAGUAACGUGUACCAUGUGUAACGUGUAGCGAGUAGCAUAUUUUUCCAAGGGCCACGUUGUGCCGAAAAUGCAAAUUUGCCAACUGGCAUUGUUUGGCUAUGGUGUUAAAUUUGGCAUUUCUCCUCAAUAUGUAUGGUGCCAAAUCUCCCUCACAAGUAGAACCCAUAACAAAUUAAAUAAACAAGAUUUCCUUCCUUAUCCUUCCUAGCUGCAUGGAGGAAUCUCUUCUGCAUUCAACCACGAACAGCUCAACACCAUCUUCUCUUUUCUGUCGAUUAAUUAUUGUUUUGUAAGACUUAAAUAUGACUGUGUUGUAUGCCUGGUUUCAUCAUGAAUGGAACUGGGGCGUGGUGCUCCUGUCGAACUAAAAAAGCACCAUAUUCUCUAAUCCCCAUCUCUAGACUUACAAAAAAAUAAUAAAUCCAGAACUCCAGCUGAACUCAGAAGUUGUAACAUUCCAAAAUUUCAAACCCUUUCAUAUGCAUUGCAUCCAUGAGCCUCAUGCCACAAUUGCAUAUUUGAAUUCAAAUUUGAAUCUCAAAAGGCUUUAAAAAGAUUUUAUUUCAUUUUAAACCCUAGGGUUUCACCCAUUUGAGCUUUGGUUCUUAAAACCAAUAAGGUUUAUCUAUAAAUGGGGUUUAUUGCAUAAAUGAGCUAUCCCAUAAUUUUUAAGAUUUUAUUUGGAGUUGAAAAAUUAUUUUAUUUAAAUAGUUAUAUAGCCCUAAAGGCAUUUAUAGGCCAAAUGUAAUUUUAUAUAUUUUAUUUUGAUGGGAAAUUACUCCCAAAAGUUGAAUCAUGAUAAAACAUGAUUUUACAAUUUUUCUGAAAUUUAUUUGGAUCAAUUUGGAGCUCAAAACAAAAAAAAAGAUAUCAAAGAAAUCAGAAAAAGAAAAAGAGAAAAGGCUAAAAGAAAAAUAAAAGGGGAGAAACGGACCGGCCCGGCCGAAUUGGGCCGAACCGGCCCAUUCCCCCGAGCCCGCCCAGCCAGCCCAGCAGCGCCCGCGCUCGCGCCUGUUGCUGACAGGUCGACCCACCUGUUAGGCGCUUUGUCCCCGAAGAAGGCGUCGGCAAUCACGCCCGCGCGCCAUCGCCGCUCCCCGUUGAUUCCGGCCUUCCCGAAGCCUCCCGCCCGCGUCAGUAUAAAGCCCACGCUCUCCCCUCUCUUUUCCCCCUUCUCGCCGUCUCUAUUGCGCCCCCGGGCCGACGAAAUUUCUCGCCGGAACCGUAGAGCCGCCGCCGCCUUCGCUUGGUCGUCGCCGGUGAACCGAGAGGUCCGUGCUCCCAUCUUCUGCCCUCUCUUCUUCUACUUCUCGUUGCGCACAUUUUGACGCGCGCCUUCUUCGUUUUCGUGGACCGCAGCUCGCAGCCAACGACGACCGGAGCACCUCGCCGUCGCCGCCGCAUCCCAAGGUCCUAGGCGUCAACGCCGGCGUCCCCAAGGAGCGCCGACCCCGUCCCCGUCUCCGCCUCGACGAGCCGCGUCGUCCCCGCCGCUUCCCGAGCCCGCAGCCUCGCCGGAACACGCUGCGCCGCCGCUCACGACGUCGCCGCCCCUCGCCGGAACCCUAGCGGUCGCCGUCUCACCCGUCCGAUCAAGAUCUACGGCCGAGAUUAGAUCUCGGUUAUGUUUUUAAACGAACCGGUACGUGCCAAUGAGGAGCCGACACGUGGCACCUUAAUAGAAAAGGUAAAAUGUAAAUUUUAUUCCCGGAUUAUUUAAAAUGGCAGUUUUGUAGAAAAGCCCCUAGAACUUCAAAUGCUUAUAACUUUUAAAUCCUUCGGCCAAAUUUGACAAAUUUUACCUUUCUGGAAAGCUCUUGACCUGUAGAAUCUUCUGGCACUAUUUAAAUUUAAAUUUGAAUAUUUGAAUCAUAGUCAAUUUACAGAAAAGCCUUUUAUGCCAUUUAAUUCAUAACUAAUUAUUUAGAAAUCCUUUUUAAUUGAAACCAGUGCCCAAAAAUUUGUUUUAUUGUCCUCUGUCCAUUGGAACAGAGAAAUAAAUAUUUUGAAUUAAAUUAUUUGGCUGAUGCCAAUGAAACUAUAAUUUAGGGUUUUAAUCAAUUGUUUUUGCCUUUUGUUAAAACCCUAAUGCAUUUGUUUUAAUUGCUAAUGCUUUGGAUCAGUUGAUCACCCGAAUAAAAUAAACCAAUUCAUGUCACAUAAUGCAUCACAUCAUAGCAUACCUUGUUUUGUCAUGAUGUGAAUUGUGUGUUUAUGUAUGUGUAUGUUUGUUUGUUAGUAUAGUUUUCUCGGAGAGCGAACCUUGUGAUUGUGACGAGUGUUUGAACUCCAACUGCUACCAAGGCAAAUUCAUUUGAUCAUAUCCUAUUACUGUUUGUUUUUAAAAUACUUAUGCAUUAGAGUUGUUUGUAGAAAUGCACUGAUAGGACUAUUACUCGUACUUAUGCUAGCUAUGAUUGACCUACUGGCUAUAGGGUUACCUUUGCCAUGAAUCCUUCACCAAUAGCCAUCGUGAUUAGUAUUGCUUAGCCAUGCUAUGUUAGUAAACGUGGGAGGGAAUCACAAUCACUGUGAAAUGAUGAUGUGGAGUGAUUUUGGAAACUUGGCAAAACAACCCUAAUGAACCAUCCUGAGUGGACUACUUUGAGAUUUUGAGAUGUCAUGCGACGUCAGGUCCAUUUCUAUGGGUCCCUCUGAGUCGAGUCUCCGUGGAUUCAGAGAUGAAUCGUCCAUGGACGUCUCUUCCGUGGAUUCGAGGAGCGCUUGCAUCGCAAAUGUGAAAUGCCACCUGGGGUAUCAGAGACUGGACUAAUUUCCUGUUUAGUAGCUUCCAGUACAACCACAAGCUAAUAUGGGCUCUGGCUGGAUGGAGUAAGAAAUAUGAACCCAAAUCCGAGGGAUUGUACUGAGGUAGUUGUGUAGGUGGGAGCGCGGGUCCCUCAGGUGGUCUGGGUGAAUAUGUUCUGAAAAUUCUUGAAGUCGAUGCCGUUGCUACUCCACCCGGAGGACAGCAAGGGAUUAACACGUCGAUUUCUUGUGGGGAAUGUGUACAACCUGUCGAGAGUGUCAAACUAAGUACUUAGCCGUGUCCCCGAUUACGGACAAUCAUGAGCAACUAGAUAUGGGGGCUGUAAGGAAGGUCUCACUCAUUCCAAUUUCUUAAAUAAAAUGAAUGGUUUGAACUUGGGUUUAUGAGCAUUGAUGUAUCUACUCGAUGUCCUUAGAUUAAUAUGAGCAUCGGUGUUUGUACCCGGUGUCCAUUAGUUAACAGUAAUGUAACAUUCAAUUGUAGUAAUAUAAACUAUGUUUUGCUACCACGCCAUAAAGCCUGAACCCCACUGUACCUCAAUUGCAUAUACUUGGUAGGAUCUGUUAUAACUUCCAGGUGAACUUGCCAAUACAUUCAAUGUAUUGACCACGUAGUGGUUGCAAUCAAUAAUGCAGGUGAAUCUGACGAAGAGUGAGGUUCGUCGAUGUUCUUUGGGUCAUGUGCUUACAUUCCAACAUGCUCUCUCCUCUGGGAGUAGUUGAGGCCCAUUUGCUCUACCUUUCCGCUGCAGUUUUAUGAUACAAUGUUUUAUGGUUUUGAAACAAUAUUUGGUUAUUCUGGCCCAAGGGGUCAUGCAAGUUUGUAAGUAUAAUUAAUUCUGGAUGAUACGAUGUAAUAAAGUACUUUUGACCUUUGUAUCUUGGUAUUACAUCUUGAAACUGUGUGUGCUACUGAGUCGAUCCAGGGACUAGCACAAAUAAGCACAGAGAUCGAACCAUGUACGGGGGCGGUCGCUUCACAAGUAAACUCAAUGCAGAUCCCCACAACGCAAAUCAUAAAUAUCCCUUGCAUAGGAAACAAAAUCGGUCCUAAACGGAUCAAAUUAAAGGUGGAACCUCUAAUAUCACAUUUUAUGUAGAAAAAACCUCAUGAUUAGAGGUCCAAGGGUUUUUUCAUAAAAUACGUUCAAGUGGUUAGAGGUUAAUUUCAUCUGGCUCGUUCAUUUGAGAUCUAAUGGUUAGCGUCGAGAGUUUUCAUGUUUUCACUGAAUGAAGGUUUUGACAUGAUACGUCCUCAAUAAUAUCGGCAGUGUUCUCUUAUGAGAAGAACACCAAAAGUAGGGGUUAUCAAUCUUUCAUAAGUUGAGUGUGACUCGUAAAUGAGUCAUGAGUGACUGGUCGUGUAUGUCAGGAUCGUCGUACACUUAACACCGGCGUUUUUAGAUAGGUUCGACCUACGAGACUAGUCCUAUGUUAAGAGAUUCACCGACGGGGGUCUAGUAGCCAAGAGUUUCCCCUCUGGUAUUUCUAGGUCCCGACAAUUGACUCUGUAUUGAAUGGGUCUUUCCCGACAUCGAGGCCAGGGCUUGAAGGAGUUCUAGGCUUGGCCCUCGACCUUAGAUUAAAUGAGUCUUUUGACUGUCCAGACUAGAAUUCAAUGGAGUCCUACUCUCUCCCCUUGAUCGUCCUACUCUCUCCCCUUGAUUUCCUUCAGGGUUACAAGAAGUGAGUCACAAACCCAUGAAGGGGGUAUUUAUAGGCUUAAGGUCCGUGACAAAAGACUAUGUAUUUCUUUUAGUAGGAGGGCAAAAUGAGAGAUUCCUUUAUCAAAUUACUUGGAGGCUCUCCCAGUAAUAUAACUUCUAAGGUUGGAUCCUUUCUCUUGCAAUUUAGCCCCUUUUUUUGUGUCAUUUCAGACCCUCGUUGGCGACUUGUAUUGUCUUGAUUUUCGACACCUAGGAUUCAUGGUCCAGUCGAUAUAUGGUUUUUAUUAUACCCUCACAAGACCCCCUUUGAGCCGACAUCAUUUGAAAAUGUUUUCGGGUCAUUUUCUUCUUGUUUAUCUUGUCAUUACUUGAGGAAGCCUCGUCCUUGGUAUCUUUAUCUUAUGCAAUGAUUCCACUUCUUUGACUUGCUAGUUUGGUCGAGGGAAUCAAGGACGGGAGUCCGGGACCUUUGAGUUUUGGAUACAACACCAAAACACAAAUGCAUUGGGAAGGUGGUCUGUUAGCAUAUUGUGUACUAAGAGACAACAUCUAAGAAAUUACGCAUCAAAAGAGGGUUAACUCUGAAAUUUGGUGGAGAAAAGAGUAGUCUCAAAAAAUUUACAUAUAAACAUAUUCUUAGUACUCCUUCCGUUUCAUAAAGGUUAGCACGGAUCUGAACUAAAGCUCGUGCCAAUCUUUAUGAAACCGAGGGAGUAUAUUUUCGAGGUCUAUGUUUCAUUCUCUACCAACGGGAGUUCUGUUAAUUCUAGAGUACUUUACAAAAUGAAGAACGUCAAAUUAAUACUCCCUCGAUCACAUAUUAAGCGUCGCAAUUUCGUCUAAAUAUGCAUGUAUCUAGACAUGUCUUAGUCUGUACAUACAUACGAAUUAGAUAAAGUUGCGAACUUAGUACGGGACGGAGAAAUAGUAGAUAAUAACGUUGUGAUUAUGAGCUUAUGGCAAUUCCACGGUGAAACAAACACCUGUGUCAGACUCGGCAUCAGGUGCUCCGCUUCCGGAUCUCCCGCCGACCAUGCCGCCGCCUCCACCACCAGCCACCGCGCGCUCGUCCCUCUUCUUCCUCAAGCCCAACCGCCACCUCCGCCGCCGCCGCUGCUGAGCCUGCAGCACUGCAUGCCUCCGGCGCUGAUCCAGGACCUUGCCGCACGAGUCGCAGGAGAAGAACUCGCCCUCCAUCCUGAUGCGCCGGAGCGGGCCGCAGUGGCCGCACGCCAUCAGGACCAUGGCCGUCGCGUCGAUCCACCCCGCAACGCCGGGCACCGCAAGCGUCAACUUUACAGUUGGGGCCCGGGUUCGUCAAUGCAUUAUUGCGAUCGGUUGCUGGGUUCCCGGUUUCUAGAUGAUGCCUAUAUAUGAAGUAUAUGCGCAAUGUCGUGAACCGAGUCAAGGUCGGGGACAAACAGGUUUUAGCUUCAGGUUCCUUGGCAGCCAAGUCCUCCCGUGCUUCUUUCUUUAAUUAGAUGUGGUGUCGAGUAUAUACAACUCAUCAGAUGUAGAGCUGGGUUACAGACGUAACGGUGCUUUUUAGCUAGCAGAGAAAUGAGACGUAGACGAAGAGUAGACCGCACGUAAUCUAGGAAUAUGCUGCAUGCCUGCAUAUCGAUCGGCCCAUAUGGAUCGUCGUUACAACGCGCGCAACACCCUCUAGUUAGCAUUUACUAUGUGUGGCCGAUACUACUCUACAUGUAACGAUCGGCCGCCAUUCCAGAAGCCUGCAAUACCAAUGUUCAUCAUCAUUUGCACUAGUUUGAAGUUUAUGAUUGCUAAACGUAAGCACUCUCAUACCAAUGUUUGUUGAUCGUUAAAUUUUAUAAAGUUUAUGUCAAAUUGAAUCUAGUGCUCUAAUUUGGCACUGUAGAUAUUUUACAUUGUUUAUUACUCCCUCCGUCCACCAAUAAUGAGCAUAUUAGGAUUCGGUUGACCAACCCUUUGACCACAAAUUACUUCAUGAAUAUGUGACAAAUGUGAUCAAAAUCAUGACCAUAAGCAAAUAUUCUUGAAUACGAAUAUAAUGGAUAUGAAUUUAUGUCAUAUAAUUAUAUAUUAAUAGAGUAAUUUGUGGUCAAAGCAUUGGUCAAAUGAAAGCUAAUACGCCCCUUAUUGUUGGACGUACUAUACUAUCUUCGUUCCUAAAUCUAACAAGUCCUAACUUCUUCCUAAGUCAAACUUCUUAAACUAGGAAAAAAAUGUACCAACACCUAUGUAUCUAAAUUAGCUUUAUUAAAUCCAUCGUGAUAUAUAUUUUCAUAAUAUACUUAUUUGAUAUUCUAUAUGUUGAUGCAUUUCUAUGAAAACAGAAAGUUUGACUUAGGACAAAGAUAGGAGACUUCUUAGUACAGUAUAAGUUUGGCUAAACUUUAUAAAGUUCGACUGUUAACAAAAAUUAUAUGACUUAUAUUUUAAAACACAGGGAGCAGUAGUUGCUACUGUUUCAGCGAUCAACAGAUACAAAAGUUGCAAGAACAGCAACUAAACUCUACUACCAUAAUCAACAUCCAAAAGAACUCAACACUGAGUCACUGACGUGACGUUCAUGACAAGGUUCAAGUUACUCCUGAUGAAAUUUACAACUGAGUUCACCCAUAUUUACUGCUCACUGAAUAUGAGCUAGAACAGAAAAUUGUCUCAACAUGCUUCCAUGCUAUAUUUAUGCGAUAUAUCAACAUUACCUCUUUUCCAGAAGAGGUUCAACAAGAUUCACCUGUUUUGACGGGUUUGAAUCACCUUCAGUAGGCUUCUUCAAAAUUCCAGUAGGCUGUCCUUGCCUACUUUGUGCUCCCUGAAAGGAAAGUGAGUUUACAUCUUGCAGCCUUUCAGUAAGAAACUUACUGAAACAGAGAAAUGUUAAUGAACCAUAGGAGUAACAAUUAUUAAUUAUUAUAACAAGACUUUGUUAUAAAUUCUUGGUGAAGAUAGGACUUAGAAACAGUAUAUUGAGCGAAGAAUGCGAUAUACCUGCAACAGUAUGAGUUCGAGUAAAACUUAUACAGAUUUUGGCGGCAAGUGUUUCAUAAUGGAACAUGCCAGUCAUACAUCAUAAAUACGCAUGAAAUCACUCUCCGCAAAAAUUCGGAGUGACAAGGAAAAGAAUAUACAAAAUAAUAUGGUUAAAGGAUGAAAGAACAUUAACAUUGUCCAAUGUCAAUAGAACAUUUAUCACAUCUGCUGUUGUAAGCUACAAUUAUCACAUUUACUUUUGUAAGAUAGCAGUAUUGCGCAAAGGUAGCUAAAAGACUAAAAGCAAAUGAACUCAAAAUUUCAAACCACCUAAAUCAAAUGAAAAAUUAUAAUUUUGUACCCUGAACUUCGCCUAAAGUGAACCUUUCGUCCUAAAACGAUAUUUAAUGUCCAAUUUACUCCCUUGACCAAUUUCGAGGGUGUUUUAAAUGGAGAUAAGUGCAUAUUAUACAAUUAAAUAUUUUGUUUCAUAAAAGACCAUACACUAUGGAAUUUUUUAUACGUAAUGAUAAUUUAUCAUGUAUCUGGUAUCAUUGUAAAUUUAUUGGUGUAGGAUCCACACAGGAGAGGACCACCAACACUUCCAUAAACCGUACUAAAAUGUUUGUAUAACUGUAUCAGAAAUGGAACUUACUGAGGCCUUUUGAGCAGUUAAUCUCCUAACUGAUGGAGCCCUUGCAACUGAUGAUGCAGCGGCAGCAGCAGCUACCCGGAUUCUGCAAGAGGCAUAAUUCAUUUGGUUGCAUAUAAUAUACUUAGCAGAAGUUGAACAAUGCAACUUCUAGCCAGUAGUACCCCUAAGGAUGAGAGAUGUACCUCUUGUGAACAUCAACAUAUUCAUCAGUCUCAUCCACUAUCUCUUCCUACCAAACAGAAACUCAAAAUGGUGAGAAAUUCAGAAGAUAUAUGAACUAAAAUUAUGAACUGCAUAAAUACGCCAAGGCUAGAACCUUUUCAUAAGAAACAGCCUCUACAAAUUCAAUAAGACUUAAUUCAAUGAAACAGCCGAGGCAAUCUGAGUAUAUGUAGGUGGUUAAGUGGUCAGUACCAGGUUCUGCUUACAGCAAAUGUCCAGAUGAGAUGCAGAGCAAUGCAUGCCAAAAUUGUUUCUGCACACAAGUUUUUCAAAGUUUUCUGCAGAAUUUUUGCAACUACAUGUAGUAUACUCGAUGCAAGUUGUGUUUUUGUGCUCAUAAACCGCAUACUGAACUCUACACGGCACACGAAAUAGACAAUGCUACCUUCCAAAGAAACACAAAUUAGCCUCCUUACCUGCAAGAGUUCUUCAAAUACGUCUUCGAGUGUGAUUAUACCAAUGACCUCACCCUCCUCUAUAUCCUCUGAUGAUCGAGCUACUGCAGUUGACAGCUUAUCGUUCUGCUGCAUUGAGUGGGGUUUGUUUCCAUUAACCUGCUUGCUCUGUGGUGCUUCAAUGUCCACAACCACAUUUUCCACCCUUUCUUCAACAUUGGAUAGUAAGGGCGUAGUCAGCUGUGUUACCCCAGCAGCUGCCCUGUUUGGUUCAGGAGGUGGUGCAGUCUUGGGCUUAGCCUUCACAACAGCAGCCAUAUGACUACUCCCUUUCUGGAACUCAUUCAGUAUGUCAUACAAAGGCAUGUCCGCCGGAACCCUGAAAAGGUAAACAUUGAUAAAUUGUUUGUCAGAUUACAAGUAUUGAUACAGCACAGGAGAUACUUCAACUACUGGAACGAUUAUGAUUUAACUGCUCGAACAAUUGUAUCACAUAUUAAAUAAAAAUAUAUGAAGUACUCCGUACAUAAUAUGAAGGGGAGUAAAUUGCACAAAACCACAGAAAAUGAGGCAAAACCAUCAAUAUAAUCACCACUCCUGCAACUUUUUUUAAAAAAUCCACCAUUCUUGAGACAAGUUGUUUCAGAUAAAACUGACUGCUGAUUGCUACUCCCUCCGUCCCAUAAUAUGAGGCACGCACGCAUCCCAAGGUCGUUAAUUUAGCUAACCAAAUAUAAAUUAAUUAAUAAAAAAAUCAUAUCAUUAGAAAGUUCUUUUGAUAAUGAAUCUAAUGAUGUACUUUUUGUUAAGAAACAUACAUAUUUAAUUAAUCAAAUUGAGGAUAUAGGGAUGCGUGCGUGCCUCAUAUUAUGGGACGGAGGGAGUAACGUUUAACAUCGAGUCUAAAUGAUGGGGCUCACCUGUCAGGGUUGAUGUUAAAACAUUAACUGUUCAGUCAGUGUUAUUUGAAAAAACUUGCCACAAGAAUGGUGGGUUUUUGAUAAAAGUUGUAAGGGUAGUGGUUCCGUUGAUGGUUUGUCUCAAUUGUGGUAGUUUUGAGCAAUUACUCUGCAAAGGGUGUAUACCUUGGAAUCCUUCUAAUGGAAACUGCACUAACUGGUGUCUCUGUUUCAGCACGAACUGUCAAAAGACUUUUCACCUAAUGAAGAUCAAAAUGGUUAUGAGUUAGUGAAGUACAUACAAAAUAAAUCACUCUAUAAUACUUCAGGGACCUACCAAUAGGAGCCCAAUAACAUUUCUAGGGUUUCCUGAGUACACAGGCACACGGCUGUGGCCCCGAGCAAGAAUUUUACCAAUUGCUUCCCUGCAAAUAUGAGUGAACAGGAAGUUUACACAUCAUUGUGUCUUACAGAAAUUGCUACAGGUAAAAUAUGUGCAAGCAUGUCAAUUUCAUAACACAGUGCUCUAGACAUACUAUAAAUUUUGAUUAAUUAUUUAUUAUAUGAAGGUCAAACUGCAAAAGAUUGCAUCAUUUAAGUUUUGAUCUACAAAAAGAAAAACACAGAGAAACUCCUAUGAGGAUUCAGGAGUUAUUGGAUGAGCUUGAACCUUGGAACAACAGAAGGGAAGUACGAAAUGACACAAGCAGAUAACAAGAACUUCUAAUUGGAAAAUUUGAGGUGAACAAGUGAAUGCUAAAAGAAUCUGAAUCUAACAAGUUUCAAAGUAAUUUUGUUCAUUGCAGUUGAUAAGCAAAAUGCCAUCAGCAAAUCACAGCACCAAAUCCAAGCAAGAAUUAUCUUUACUGCUAUAAAGAAGGCAAUUGGUGGCGGUGGUCCGUCACCAUCCCUUCUCACAUCCUUGCAGAUGGGACUAAUCGUUUCAUACUUUUGAGUACUUACACGCUGCUAUGACCCAAGUGGGAGUACACUAUGUUGUUCUCAUCAGUCUUUUGUCUGCCUAAUCAUCCCUCCCAGAAUUCUUACAACUUGUUUAUCUGAAAGCUUGUAUAAAACCGCACUCUCACUAAAGUUCUAUAGCAACGCACAUACCCUUUGCUAGUAUACACAAUGGCACAACAAAAUCAAUAAGUAAAAUGAAUGCAAAGAAAGAAGCAAACAAUAACAAAAGUGCCGUAAAAUAAACAUAGUAUGAACAAUAGCAGGCAAAGGACAUAAGUGGGAUUAUAAUGUACUAGGUGGAACCGUAGAUUUACCAAUCCAACUUGGAGUCCACAUCUAAUGAGAAAGUUGAUUCAAUAGGUGUCAUAGCUUCUUCAGCAGUCUGCACAUAUAAAUAAUAAUGAGAUAUCUGCCUAUUCAAAUUAAAACAAUUCACGUUCUCUAGUUCUUAGUUUAAUCAAGCAACAAGCUGUUUCUUUGUCAGCACUAUUCUGUGAAAUAAGAACAACCAUUCACUUCACUUUCUUCAAAGAUCCUCACAUAAAGGAAAGACUAAAAUGUACUGUAAGUCCUAAUAGUAUAUCCAGGUUGUAAGUCCUAAUAGUACGAAAGUGCAUAACUAGGUCCCAGGAGUAUAUAAAUGAGUCAUCGCAGGUCACAUCCGGGCCAAAUCAGCACUGACUUGCACACAAGGCAGGUUGACCGCUGCCACGUAACUUAAAGGCCAUGUAGACUAAAUAAAAGACAUAAAUUUACAUAUUAGCUGAGCAAGGGUUGGUAGAUACUGGUCAUGGCCGCAUGGCAAGCUGCAUUGUGGUUAGGCUCAAUGGCCUGUGGUGCACCCUCAGCCUUUCAGUUGGCCUACAUGGACCCUCAGCCUACGAGGCAGCAAUCAAAACAUGCCACACAGGCAAAUUAACACUGAUUGGGCUUGAAUGGGACCUGCAGUGACAGACUCAAUUGUAUAUUUUUAGGACAAAAAUAUGCAUUUUCAUAUUAUCAUGACUAACUUUACACCCCUCAUAUACUAGUAGGACUUCCGAUGCAUUUUCCUAGAAAUAAGAUUGUGAAACCUAGUCCUAAUUCCUAAAUACUUCCUCCUUCCUAAAUAUAAGAAGUUCUAGGUUUGUCCUAAUUCAACCUUCAUCAAGUUUGACCAAAUUUAUAGAAAAAUCUACUAACAUCUAGGACUUCAAAUUAGUUUUAUUAAAUCGUCCGUUGUAUAUAUUUUCAUAGCAUAUUUAUUUGAUAUUGUAGAUCUAAGUAGAUUUUUCAAGAAACUUGGUCAAACUUGAAAAAGUUUGACUUAGGACAAACCUAGGACUUCUUACAAUUUAGGAACGGAGGGACCGAGGGAGUACCACAUAAAAGAACCGUCUUCAUUGCUCAAGACUUGCAACAAAGAUUAAAAUUCCAAUGAAUCAACAUUCUGUGAAGCUGGGGGUCCUUGAACAACCAAACAAAAGUAGCAAGGGAAAUAUAAUAAAGCAUGAAAUAGGUCAAAGGCCCAUACAAGGAACCAUUGUCGAUCAUAAGAGACGAGAUAAUCAUAGCUCUCUUUGGAAAGCAAAAGGAGGCGGUCAGCGAGUCACUAACAUAUAGAAAAAAAAUAGUCGAGCAACGUCUAACUUCGUACCACGUUCUUUUGAAUUUCGCAUUCGUGUCACAGUUAUGCAUUAUAAACAAAAUUAAAGGCAAACUAAGAACAUGAUGUAUACCUUUUCAGUCAAGUCCAAAGCUCCACUUAUGAUUGUAGUCUCAUCAUGUGUAAGCUCUCCACCCUUACCAGCCUGCCAUGGCAAAAGCAUUUUACUAAGACAAUCAUGAUAGAAGGUGUGAACCUCUUAAGACAUUACAUGCUAAGAUCAUGUCACCUCUUUGCUAUGGAUGGAAACGAGAGCCUUCAAUUGAGCUCGCCUAAAAAGUGCUGAUUCAUUAUGCCCAAGAGCGCAAUCUAGAAGCUGGGACAACAUCAAAUUGAACCACUUCAAUAACCAACGCAACAGUCAGAUAAAUUAAAAUUUGAAUAUAACAGCUAAAAUAUAUUUUCUAACUGUUCUUUCUUUAUCAAGACAUCUAGCAACCCUGCUUUUAACAUAUAAUAGUGAAUAGCUACUAAAAACUAAUUGUUUAAGACUAUUAAACUAUUAGGUGAGCAUACAGAAAGCCAGAUUGGAACUUACUAAAAUAUAAGGUAAGAAAUGAUACAUAUUUACAUUUAUACAUUAGCUAGACAAUUUCCCAAUUACGAUUGUGUAAACAAAAAUACCACUUUGAUCAAUUGCACCACGACACUGAGCAGAGAUGACUUGGGAGCACAAGCAUUAUAAUAAUCUAAUUCUUGGGAGUUCAAAGUAUAUGCCACUGUAGAAGUUCCAUAGAUUUUGUAAAGGAGAAACAAUGAACUCUUGAAUCAGUCACGCGGAUUCGCUGAUUUACCUUCCCAAUAGGGUAUGCAAUAGGAUAGCACAUGAUCAUGAGGAUUCGUACAAGCCAUACAAAGUUAGCACCCACCGCCAACCCAUACCUGGUACAGAUUGCUUGUGGUAUAACCUGGUUUCAGAAAUAGGAAAAUGAGUCAGACCAUCGGUAAUACUGUAGAGGAAAUAAUAACUUUUGGAAUGCAGUACCUCUCCAAAAGCAAGAACAAAUGUCACUGACAAGACAACAGCAACAACAGGAUGAAACAUUCUGUCAAGGAAUAUAGGAAGAGCCUGCAAAGCCCACAAAUAUAGAGUCACUGGCUAAAUCAUAGCAUUAUGCAAAAGAUACGAGCGAAGAAUGCAUUUUCUAUCUACCAAUGGCUGUACGAUUCUGAAAUUUAGACGGUCAAAACAAGUAACGUGUGUGCAUGUCACGUACACUGGGAGAAAGAAACACACAAGAAAGCUUCCAAAUACAGAGGCAGGAGAUCCUUUCUGCUCAGUUAAAAAACAAUGUACGUACAGGACAAGUAAGGAUGUUGGGACGAUAAGCUAUGACUUAUGAAUCCCCUCAGCAAUCUACCAUAUUUAUAUUGUAAUUUCUGGUGUUUUAUCUCAUACCAUCCUCUUUCCAUACAAUGAAAAUACAUUGCAGCAUAUCAAUUCCAUCACAAAAGGAAAAAAGACUAUCACUGUCAAUUUCGUAAGUAAAUUUAUAUUGGAUGCAAUAAGCAUAGCCAAUCUUCUCGUAUAACUCCGCAGAAGGCCGAAGCAGAAAUAAAGCUGCAGCUGUGCAAUUUAAAAAGAACAGUUCAAGUAAAGUGGUUUGUGGAUUCCAAUGCUGUGCUGUCAUUGGAUCCAUGGGUAUAAGUUAGUGUAAAAACUAGUUAUCUUAACACCUCUGUUUCUUUAACUCAUGAAGUGUUCAGAUACAAUAUAAUGAUGUACAGUGCAAUACAGUGUGGUAAUGAUAAAACUUGCAACAAAAUUAUAUACCUCCAUGGCAACUGCAUUACACAGUAGCAGGGUGACAAGAAGCUGGUGCUGCUUUUGAACAACUGGAAGGAUAGUAGCUGCAGGAAGCAAAACACAUAAGCAACCGAAACACGAGCUACAACAAAACCUUCAAUCGAAUAGUAGCAUCAGCUUAUGAUUAUUAAACAUUUAAAAUUGACAUGCUGAAAGAGGUGACACUGAAUCGGUAUGACUUGAUAAGCACUUAAGCCUAACACAUGAAGAUCUGAAUUUCUCAGUCUCUCAUUUCCGAUUAUGACACAGCAUCUCAGAAGGAUAAACAAAAACACCAAAAGUUAGAGAAUACUCCCUCCGUCCCAUAUUGAGUGCUGAAAUAUUACAUGUAUGAUGUAUCUAGACCUAUUUUAGUAUAUAGAUACGUCCAUUUUUAGACAAAUUUGAGUCACUUAAUAUGGGACAGAGGGAGUACAUUUUACGUGACGAAAACCACAGUUGGGUGACACCCCCAGAAACAAACAUGGCGGAUGCAGGAACCUCCAGCAGACAUUUUCGUUGCAUAAUACUUCUAAUUCACCCUCCACUGACGUAUCAUUGAUCAUUCCAUACCUUCUCAGAUAGAAGUCAAAUCCCACCUACACGCCUUUUUCUCACUUCCUUACUAGGAAUACCUUUUUGUUUGAUCUGCUUCCACUCCACAACAUUUCUAGCAACAUGACGACGGAAAGUUUUUUUAUUAUCAUGAACGAAAAAAUUUAGAUGACUUAGCACAUGAAAAGCUACGGUCAGAACCACAAAAUCCUUCGGAUUCGUAACAAAACAGAAGCAGUAAGUCCGAUUCUUAAAACAGCAGAAAAAUAAUAAACGAUUUAAUAAUGAUACUCUCAAUCCCCAUUGUAACAUAGCACAAUACUACCUCAUAAACAUCACUUCUAAGACUGGAACCAGAUCGAGCACACCGAGAGGAAGGAUAGAAAAGGUUAGGGUUUCGGAUCGGACCAGCCUGAGCCUUCUCCGAGUCGGUGCCGCUGCGCUGGAGGAUCUCCAGUUCGACGAGGCCGAGCGACAUGAGCCCGAGUGUGAGGCCCGACAUGAUCCCGGCGAAGAGCACCAGGAAGCAGGAGGUGCCCGCGUACGCCCACCACCCCAGUGACCCGAAUGGCGUGUCCUCCCCCUGCACGACCAGCGCCGCCACGCUCAUCCCCGCCGCCGCAGCGGCACUCGAAGCCGGACGCGCCGUCGCCGCCACGGCCCGCACCGCCGCCGCGAGGCUCGCCCCCCUCGCCCUCCCCGCUCCCGCCGCCGCCGCCAUCGCGCUCCCGCCGCUCCGAUGUGUCAGAGCCAAAGCCCCACGGCCCGAUGCGCUGGCACCAUAUAAGGAUGUGGGCGAGAGGGUAGGCGACAAGAUCACCGAGAGUGGGGAGAGGCGCGGGGGCCGUAGGAUGCGGACGACGUGUCCGUUGAUCGGACGGCUGACAAGGAGGUGGCCCCCGCCUUCGGAUCCCGCUGCGUCCGGGCAGUGCACGUCUUUGGCGUUUUGGACCGUGGACCGGAGAACAAGAGAGGGUGGUUGCGAACGUGUGCUGAGUCAUCGUUUUUUUUUUUAGCUAUGUGUUGAGUGAGUCAUCGUACAUUUGCAUACAUGGGGCAUUUUGAGCUUAUCGGGCAUAACGGCAUACGAAAGAAGGUUUUACGUCGACCAAGUUUUAUGUGACUGUUAGAUCCUAGCGUUCAUCUAGGUGUAGAUAGCUCCAUUGUGAUACAUCUGACAGAGAGAAAAGGGAAUGCAUACCUUCUCCCUGGGACGGCGAAGAGCUCGAAGGGGCAGCCAUGGCGACGGUGAGAGAGCGACAGCGAGGAAGAGGUGGUGACGUAGCUGCUGGCAAGGCUUCCCGUUACUGCCGCGCCGACCUAGAUCGGGAGGGUUUUCGGUGGGGUGUGCGGCACCGCGACCAACCUCGUGUUGCGUGCCGCCGGCCCCCACCUCUUUAUAUGGCGCAGUGUAACAAGGGCCGCCAACCAUAUUGGGUUGGGCGCCCCCGAUCAGGGCACUGUAGAUCUAAGGGCCCACUCGGGAGGAGAUCAUCGUCCUAACAGUGACAUCUAAAAAUAAGUUUUAUGUGAUUUUGAUAUUCGCAUUAGUGUGCUUCGGAUGUUGAAUACCCUACGGCGGGGCGGAAAGACAUUGGUCAUUAGUUAUAAUAGUAUAAUGUCCGUGUGUUGCCACAGUCUCUAAAUAUAAUACAUGCAAAAAUUUACGUGUAUCGGAAAAACAACAAUAGAACAGUGAAUUUUGAUGAGUCUAAUAAACAAUAAUACAUGUGCGAUUGUAGUUGUUUUUAAAAUCUUUUUUGCUAACUAUUUUUAAUUGUUUGAGGAUAUUCAAAAUCUUUUUUCUGCAAACGAGGAUAUUCAACAUAUCUUAUUUCUUUUAGAAACCUUAAUACGAAACGUUCAAUGAGAGGUUCUUCCCCUUGAACUUGUGCAAUUUGUACCUAAUGGAAGCAAAAUCAAAAGAUACACAAAAAUGCAUGGAAAGAACUGACAAAAUAGCAUACAUACACAUACUAAUUGGUUUGAGAAGUGUUGGCAAAUGGACGACGAGAAACCUAGCAGAGCAUCAAUCUCAUGCAUUACAAAUAACAUACAUACGCAUACUAAUUCCAAUCUCUACACUAUGCUAUGCACAGAUUUUUUUCUUUCUAUUUUGAUGCUAUAUACAUACAAUGGGCCUUCAAAUUUCCAUGCUUUUUUUAGGCGAAUACAGUAGGCAUUUCUCCAUGCUCUGCACAUACAUACAUGGUGCCUUCAGAUUCUCGUCCGCUGCACAUACACACAUGGAUCUAGCAAUCACAGAUGCUAAUGCUACAGACAUACACGGGUCAGUCACAGAGAAGCCAAGGUUGGGGGAAGGACGUGCACACAAACCUGUUGUUCGAUUACAACAAGACCACACAAUUUUUUGUCUUCAAAUAUCAUUGUUCAAAAAUGAUUUCAACAUGGUACAAGUUAUUUUAAUUUUCCUUGAGAGGAACAGAUUAUUUUAGUUAGGACAAUUUUCAAAAUUACAAGCAUACAUCCGUAGGGAAUCCAAAGCCCAAUGUGGGAAGACCAGGUCGGAAGCAAUAGAACCAGUAAAGCCCAGUUCAGUUUUCCUCUAAAACCAGAAACAAUUUCAUGUCCACACAGAUUAAAACACCAAGAAAUUGUUACUGAGAAUUAGACGGACCCUAAAUAUUUAGUCUACCUAAAGAUACAAUGCAUUUGCAUAGUUGUGUCUAAAAUUUUGAGAUGCAUUCCCUCAAAAAAAAAAAUUUGAGAUGCACUAAGAAACAAUGCAUUAUGGCAUAAGAGACAUUGCAACGGCAGAGACCAGGAAAGUGAGGAUGCAUACCAUCUCACUUUAAGAUAUUUCAGACCAAAUGCUCUCAAACAGAACUAUGGCUGUAUGGCAUAAGAGACAUUGCCGUCCUCAUCUUUGGUCAUCGUCACUGCCGCCGCAACCAUCCUAUCGUUGUCUUGCUUGGUCCCGGCGACCGCGCGUACAUCAAAUUGCAUCACUAAUCAUCUUUCCAAGGAGACGUCUGACGGGGCAAGAAAUUUGAUUUGCAAAAAUACAGUGCAUGAAGAGGUUGUUUAUGUGCUCUGCUUGUGACAAAAUGGCUCUACAUGCUUUCAUAAGGUGUAUAUAUGCGAAGCUUGUUGAAUUGUUCCAUGAAAAUUCACUAGCUUAUGAAACCAUCAGUCGUAAAAUCAGUGUUCAGAAAAAUUACAAUUGUUCAGACUUGUCAGGCAAAGAAUGGCACCAGUUUUUUUCCUAGUUUUCCCCUACGAUCAGAGCUACUAUUGAAUGAGAAUUCAGAACAUCUUUACUGGGAGCGGCUAUGGCUCAGUCGACUGAGAAAAUGUGUUUCUCAGUCGACGAGUCUGUACAUCGGCUCGCUCGCUCGCUCGAUCGAUCCGUUCUCCUUCCCUAUCCUGCUCGCUCGAUCUGUCCCUGUUGGCCUUCAGAGAGAUCCUCCCGUCCCUAUUGGCCUUCAGAGAGCCCAUAGCAAUGGGCUUCCUUUUGUGUGGGCUUCCUUUUGUCUGGGCUUUAUGAGAUUCUUUGUAACUUGUAUUUGGGUCUUGGUCUUAUAAAAGACAAAAAGUAAUGUAGACUCACGUUAAAAUAUUUAACUUCAAUACAAAACUUUCAAAAAUUAACAUCUAAUUAUAUAAUUUAAAAUUUUCAGGUGCAUUUAAAAACUUACACGUGAAAAUUAUGUGCAAUUUUUUUAGGCUGAAACUAUCUAUCACACAUUUCUAAAAAGAAAAAAACAAAGCAUUAAUGGUAGAAGGUUUGAGAUGAUCGUACAAUGGGCCUUGGAAUCUAAUCUUUUUUCUAUGGUUGCAAGACCAAUACAUAACACCAAAAAGUUACAAUUAAAAAUUAAUAGUUGCACCCAUUGUGCAGCUGAAAAAAGUAUUACAGUUGCAACCUCAUGAACGGGAAAAUUAUAGGUGCAACUAAUUUUUUUUCACUUGAAACCUCAUCCAACAGAAAAAAAAUACGGGUGUGAUUUCAAAAAUUGCAACGUCCAUGUAAAUGAGAAACUACGAUUGGAACGACGGUGACAAUUGGAUUUUUUUUUUGUCGAAAUUCUUGAGCAACCAAAAAAAUUGCAGUUGCAACAUCCACCUAACUCAAAGAAUUACAGUUGCAAUAAGAGAUAAAAAUUAAAGUUGUAUAUAAAAAGAAUUAUAAUAAAAACUAGAAAAAUCAAGAGAUGAAAGAAGAAGCAAAGUACAAAUAAAAACAGGAAUAAUAAAGAGAACAACAACAAAAGGAAGAAAAAACUAAUAAAAAAACAGGAAUAAUAAAGAAGAAGAACAAAAGGAAGAAAAAACUAAUUAAAGAAGGAACAACAACAGAAAGAAAAAAACAAAUAGAUGGCAAGCAUAGGAAUCGAACUCUCGACCUACUACUAGCAUGCAACCCUGGUAGCCACUGCACCAAGGAAAUCGACAUGUAAUAGUGAUGUCGUUAAGUUUUAUAUAUAUACCCUCGAUGCGACUCCGAACUAAAAUAAAAAAUCAUUUCAUUUAGGCUUUUGCUAAUAUUUAUCUUUACUAUUCUUUAAUUUCCAGUUACGUCCGUGGUAGCCCGUAGGCUUCUUACGUCGUCUCACCCCCACCCCGACGAUCUCCCGAUCGCCCGAUCGCUCUCCUGAUCCAUCCGGAAAAUCAGGAUCGAAAAAUCUCCCGAUCUCCUGAUUGCCCGAUCGCUCUCCUGAUCCAUCUGGAAAAUCAGGAUCGAAAAAUCUCCCGAUCUCCCGAUCGCUCUCCUGUUCCAUCCGAAAAAUGCGGACCGAUCGUUCUCCUUUCCCGAUCAGGCUCCUGUCUCCUCUCUCCCGAUCUGUCUCUCCUGCAACCCCCGAUCCCCUGAUUUCUCUCCUUUCCUACAGCACCGAUCAAACCAUCCAGAACGGGAGAAAAGACAUCCUCCGCGAUUAUCUCUGCUCGCCCGGAAACGAAAAAACAACUGCUGCAGUAUCUAGCUUUCAAACCUGCCUUCUUCCUCGCGGGAUACCAUUGCUGGACGUGCUGACGACCUGCCCACCUCGCUACAGCUCCAGGCGAUGACGACCUGCCCACCUCGCGACCUCCAGGCGGUGACGACCUGCCCACAACGAUCAACAACCGGUCAGUACAGAGUCGAACCGGUGUUCUUCUGGCUUAUGUUCUUGUAGUUUAAUCACUUGGAGUAGUACAAAACGGAGCAGGUUAAAUGUAUUAAACAUGAUUGACAGUACUUGCAUUGAAAAUCAGUUACUUGCAUUGAAAAUCAGUUAGCAGAAGAAUUGCCAUUUGCUCGAGACCAGGCUCGUAAAUGGUAUAUGUGGGCCGUUGCUGCCCUCGAACACGGCUUAGCAUUCUCCAAGUAUAAAUCGGAGGUGACUAAAGAUAUUUCAUUCAUCUAUGUUGAUGAUAUCUUUGACCUUGCUGGUCCAGUAGAUAAACUGUCCUUGUUCACAGAUAAAAGGUCCAUGAAAGCUACUCACGUAUAUUCAAAUAGAUCAUUUUCUAGACGAUCAUUUUCACAGUUGUUUCAAGAGGUAUCACUUAAUCAGGCAAGAAUGGUCCAAGUAAUGUACACUUACGGCAAAAAGAGCUUCCAAUUCUUAAGGAGUACACAAGUUCAUUUAAUCAGGCAAGAAUGGUUCAACUUCUUUUCCUUCGUGUGUGUAUGCUGUUGAGUUAUCUAAUAGCAAUAUCGUGUCACGUACAAAUGAUCUACGGCGAUCCCAUCAUAAGAAAAAUAAAUAAGGUGAUGUAGUAUAUACCAAUCUGCAUAAUGUUGAUUCCUGCAUGUACAAAGUUACACUGAAGAAAAUUGUUGGAACUUGUAGACACCUAACUGCACACCAUUUCAUAUUAGAAGUCACAGCGAGAAGAUGUUGGCUGUCAGGUGCUUGGGAAAUUGGGAGAUUAGAGGAAGAUCGCACACCCCCACAUGACAUUGGAAGUUGAAACUUGCAACCAGGAUUGUACCGCAAACAGGCGCAGGGUGAUCAAUGGUACAGGGCCCCCCAAAGUAUGGCCCUAAUCUCUGAUGUUUAAAGUUGUUAGAUGUUAAUUUGUUAAGUUGUUCAUUUUAUCCUCAUGCAUAUUCAGUAUUCUUGAGUUUUGAACACAUUUUUUCUUUUGUAUUUACCUAUUUAUUAUCCAAGGGCAUGGUGUUUUUUCAUGCCUUCUGGAAAUACUAGAAUACCUCUUUUCUAUAAAGAUAUUAGAAAACAUGAAUUCUUUCACUAAUGCAAACUUACUGUAUAUAAUUUUACUGACAUAUUAACUGUUGCAGUGAAUAUGGCAUUGUGUGAGAGAAAAGGAACUUUUCCCAAUUAGAUCUGGCCCAAGAAGAUAGAGAACUCAGCCCCGAAAAGAGGGAGCUUUGGAAAAUGAUGAAGACCAAAUUCAGGUUCAACCAUGUCUAAUCAAGAUAACGAAAAUUCAGGUUUCGAAGCUAUACAUUUUUUUAAUACCACCUCAACCCUGUCAUUGUGCGCCUGAUUUAUUUAAAUUAACAUGACGGUGUAAUUUCAGUCAACAUCAUGCCGGAAGAUGGUCGAAAAUCUGAGCUAUGUCCCUGGUGUCAAAAAUCGAACAUGCAGUAUGAAAGCUUGGGUUUAACGAAAAAUAAAAAUGGAGUAUCAAAGCUUGGAUUUAACCAUCCUACAUAUACAGAAGAAUAGAAAAUUAACACUCUCUAAUAUGCAAUGCAUAUUGACUUGAAGAACUUACACGCCAUAUACAAUAUUUUCUCUGCAUACAUGCAUUGUACAUACAUCCGUUCGGCUGUUUAAAAACAUGAUAGAAAAUGUAUUAUUAGUAAGAGGCUCAGAGGAAAAAUAAACUAAAAAUUCAGAUUACCCACAGGUUUGUGAUAAUAAAAUUCAGAUUACUGGACAGGGUUACUGUUUGUAUGAUAAAAGCAAAAUGAUCUUAGUGAUCUUAGUUUGAUUAUGUAAGGUGUAUAAUAUUAACUUAAAUUAAGAUAGUAAGGCAUCAACGUGCAUGCAUAAAGUCAUGAAACUGUGAACAAGGAUUCUAGGAUGAGACUUAAGGUACAUACUUACAUUUAAUUGAGAUAUUUUACAUACUUACAUUUACGGCAGUUACCUAGAAUACCAACUGAAAUGACAGGGAGAUUAUCUGAGUUUACCUAGAUUUCAGGAGAUAGAGACUGAAAUCGGCAAUAUGUUUUCUUUUAAACACUAUAUACUAUUGAAUGGUAUAUUCACAUAGAUUUGGACAAAAUUAUCACAAUUGUGCAUGUCGAUCUGAUCUGAUAUUUUCUCCUAAUUUAUACACACAGCAGGUACGUGACAGGUUCAUCAUCACACUAAUUGUUUGCACAGAAAUGUAAGAAUAGGAAAAUUCUUUUCUGCAAUAGUAGGACGUGAACAGAAAUUACUUGAUAAAACAACACAAUCUGUCAGACCAAAACAGUUAGAAACUGAGAACACAAUCAAGAUUUGAAGAAGUUGAGCUUACCUCUUCUUGAUUCUGAAUAAAAAAAAUACAUACCUCCAGUAGGACCCAGAGAAGUAUGGCUGGAAUUAGGAUGGCUUAAACGUACAAGUAGGCAUACUUACUUUCAGUGCUUCCAAAUAAGUAAACUUUCUUCCCAUAAAGCUUCCUCUCUUCUUCUAAAGCUUUCUGUUCAUCAACAGUAAACCAUGUACUAUGAUGUAAGAAAACUUAAUAUUAAAAAGAGGACUAUGAAACAUAUAUGCCCAAUUUUGAACUCCUUGAUCUUAUCAAUAUUUUUCCCAUUGCAAUUGACAUAGCUAGAAACAGAUAUAUAUUAAAACUCCUUCGUAGUGAAGCACCUAAUGAACUCAGUUAAAAAAGCCAAAUCAUUACACACCUACUAAAAAUUGCCACCGCAGUAAACAAAUGAAAUAUAGAGAGUUGCGGUAAAAAAAUCUGCUGAUCAUUGACCAAACAAAAUAUUUGUCUCAACAGCACGUGAUCCAGGAAAUAAGCAUUUUGUAGCGAAAUUAAUUAAUCCUAUGCUCCAACCAAAUCAUGAUUCAACAAGAUAGAGUAGUAGACUUCCAAAGACUUUAACCACCUGCUCGUUCUUCUUUGAGAAGCACGUUGACAUCAAAACCUAACCGCCUGCUCCUUCUUUGAGAAGCACCUUGAUACCAAAGCCUGCAACCAGAGAAAGAACUAGAGAAGAUAAAGUACUAAUCAGUGUUGUACUGCAAAAGCCGACACAACAAUCAUUCUCUCCUCAAAACAAUGAUAUUUAGCCGUAUGUAGAGAAGUGUAGUCUUGUAACAAUGGAACACCACACUUUCCAACUAGAGUACGUCAGUUUUAAUUAAAGAAACAUAUCUAUGAAUUAUGAUAGUAGAUUUCAUACAAGAUCAGAAUUCAUUAGCCAAGGCUUUCCUGAAGCAACAGCAGGUCAAUCAGAUGGGCUGCGAGUAUUUGAUCUUAUGUAAUAGCUUAAGGCACAUCACAGAUCCAUGCGUAUAUUCAACCAAACUUAGAUUUUGAUUUGCCUUGGUGGUUGAAAUGAAUGCAACGGGGACUGCAGAUGUAAUGGUGGUCCAGGCACAUCCAUGACAUUUCAUAAAGCUAUUCCCAUACAUGUAAAGCUUCUUGUUUACAUUAUUUUGCUGAUUUGGGCAACAACAUGAUCAAUUGAAGAUGCAGGCUCCACAAUUACUUCUACCGUGCCUGAAAAGAAAAACGACUCAAAGCCCCUACAGGUUACAACCAAGCCGAAUGCAGGGACGACGGUUUUAUCAAAAGGUACCUAUUGCCUAUGCUUUUGUUGACAAUGAAUGUUUCGUAUGUUAUCUCUUGACAACUUCAUCAUGACAGAAGUGGAGUACAUCGAUUAUAUCAAAUCCAAGUCCUCAGCAGCAGAAGAAGAACUGAUAAAGAUCCAUGAUUUGUCUUUGAAUUACAAGAUUUUGAAGUCUCUUACAGAUGACCGAGCAUGGAUGGAAGGGGAUGUAAGUGUAGUUGUAUGAAUAAUCUAUAUAGCUGUUGUUUAAAAUUUACCGCCUAUCUAGGUGGCUUUUUCUAUACUAAUCUUAUUCUUUUUAUAGGUUGUAAGUGCGUACAUAUACCACUUAAGAACUAAGAACAAUAUGCUCACGCGAGCUGGUGGAAAGGUUUUUCUAGAAACCUCCAUUGGCAGUGGUUACCUGAAGCGGGAUGGUGGAAACAAUGAGGACGGAACGGACAUUGAUGUCGACCCAUUAGAUAGAAAACAGCAGUGGAUAGUAAAUAUGGUUAUCGAAUAUCUCGACAGUGACAUGGUUAGUACACAUCAAUACCGGCCAGUUAUUUUUUCUGUUUAAGUUUUAUUAUCUAUUCUAGCUAGGACUGCAACUAACAGAACACUUAUUUUAGGUCUUUCUACCAAUUAAUAUGAAAGACUCGCAUUGGUACAUGGCAAGUAUCAAUGCCCAUACAGGUCCUAUACUCCUUUGGUGUUACCAUGAAUCGCGUUGACCUCCAUAAGACCGUAAGUAUUUGCUACUUCAUUAAAGUUCAGAUAUUCUUCCUCUAAAACUAACCCUGCAAACCUUCACAGCUAAAAGGACUGACCAAGUAUAUCGAAAUAGCCCAACAGACAAUACCAGACAUAUCGUGCAAUAGAUGGCCAGAUAUGGAAGUUUCAGUGGGAAAUGGAGGAAAUGCUACAGACGAAAACGCAAACAGAUUGGUACGCUCAACACUCCUAGAUUAUGACCACCUUGUCAGAUAAUGGUCUUGAUCGAUAUUUGAAAUCCUACAGCUCAUCGUGCAGUCUAUUCAUGUUGAACUACAUGGAGCAUUUUACUGGGCACGAGUUCUCCGAACCAGUUGAACAGGUAUUUUUCUUGUAUCACAAAGUUUCAAGGCAUCAACAAUAUUGCAUUCACACAUUAAUUCCCUAAAAAAAUUUGUUUCGCAAAGCGAUAUGUCAGCUUUCAGACGCAAAAUCCUGUUGAUAUUAUUCAACACGGAACUGAACACAAAUCCAAGAAUUUUCCUUGAAUGUGACGAAGGUAUGCGCUAUGGUUGCUUUUUAAAUCAUUGUUUAAUCACUAACGUGUUCUAACCUUGGUAAUUAGAUCCCACCCCCGAAAUAACCGAACCAGUUGGCACAACAAAAGGAACGAGCAUGGGAAUUGUGACGGGCACGUCCGAAAUAACUGACCCAACGUUUACAACAAAAAAAUGUAUCUCUGGAGUCUUCCCGGGCAUCUCAGAAGUCACAGCGAAGCACCUUGAAGACGGUUUGGAGCCAGAAAAGGUACAGCCUAAACUUGUGUGUUAAUUUGUGCUUCUGAGAUGUCCAUGAAAUGAUAAUUUAACCUUCUUGUUAAAUUGUUAAAUUUGUAGAUUAUUGUCAUUGGGUUCCGAAGAAACCUUGGCUGGGGAGAAGGAUAUGCCCAUUUCGAUAUUGAUGAUUGCACCAGCACCAUAGUUGUCAGCUUUGUCAAAUGGUAGGGUAGUAUAUAAAAUGAUAUGUAUAUUAAAAUUAGACAGUCAUAUCAAUAAUGAUGUUUCGAUCUAUUGUAUAGGGUAAAGGAUGACGCGGAUGAAAAACAAGCUGCUGCACUCGAGUAAGCGACUAUGACCUGCAUUAUUUUGUGAUUAUUGUAAACUACUAACAUGUUUUUUUUGUCCAUUUCCUUAAACAAGGGAUGAUAAGUACUUUUCCGUCAUUGCCAACUUCACACCUAGGAAGACCAAGGGUCAUUCUACUGCCAUCUUUGUCAGGUAACCUUCCAAACUGUGAUGCUGCUAAGGCAUUUCAUAAAAUUAUAUGCACGUACAUACAUGCAUACGCGCUCCCGUGUAUGUACCUAUUACUGAUUUUAAUGAAGUAAUACGUACUAUCCUUGCACCUUAUAAAUAAUACAUACUAUCCUCGCAGGCCUAUUACCGAUUUUAAUGAAGUACCCCUUCAUUUCCUGAAGUGCAUAAAAAACGAGGUCGAUAGAGGCCGAGGAAAACAAUAGGCCGUGGAGAACCAUGAGAACAAGUGAAUGGCGUGGACCUUCUUAAAUUUAAUAUGUGCAUUAAAGUAUCACAAGUCUUAUUGUAUUACUCCUUUUGUAACUUUUUAGUUAUGCUAUAUUGGCCUCUCUGUUUUCCACGCAAUUGCGUGGAACACUCUGAUUUCUAUGGUCGAUACACUUGCUAAUUCCAAUCCUAUUAGCAAUGUCUAACAAAUUGCUAAUUCCUAAUUCCUAUCCUAUUGCACAUCUUCAGAUGCCUUAAUUUUUUACCAUGCAAAUAGGAUAGCAUGGUAAAAAUUAACUUUUAAGUGCCUUAAUUUUGGAAGCAAGUCACGAGUAAAUUUUCUUUAUAGAUGGAACCACCAUAACCCUCGAUGAAUGAAAAACCCAACAAGAUUAAGCAGAAAACUCAACUCUACAGCUCUUUUUUUCUUACGGACACAACUGUCUAAUUAAAAGAUCAUCCUACUUGCGCUUUAUCCUAUUAGACCUGAGUUAACUAAUGGAGAAAUGUUGCUGCUUUGUAAGAAAUUUCUGUCUUAGUGUUUGCUUCUGUUUUACUACCAACAUUACCUGUUUUGUCAAAUAAAACUUUUUUGGGAAGACAACGCAUCAGAACCUGCAGGUUGCAGCCAUCACAUCUUCUCUCAAAGACAUGUAUGUGCUAAUUUUUAUUCAGAAUGGCAUGCCUUCUUAGUUCCUACAAUGGUCCAGUUUUGAAUAUGUCUUCCAAAUAUAAAUUGUCCUUGUUGCUUUGACUAUAUUAGCCAACUACACGUAUACUGAUAAUCUGUCUUUCAUAAUUUUAAUUGCAUACAUGACAAGUGUUCUUAUUUCGUUUCCUGGCUGGAUGGACCAACUACACGCAUACUGAUAAUGCAGCAAGUUAUUUCCUAUAUUGUGUCUACAUUGACAAAAUCAGUUCUCCGAAGUUCUAAUGGUGAUAAGUCUAAAUGAGAAAUCCACUUUGAAAAAGAUCAAAUAGAGAGGAAGACCACUUUGAAAAGGAUCAGAAUGAAAGGUCUUACUCCGUACCAUUUUUUACAAGUCCAAAACACCUCAUUUUGCUGCCUUUAAAUGUUCCCUGUUACUAUUUUCCAUGCAACCGGUUUUUUGUGUUUUAAUACUUGCAUCGACGCAUAUGUGAGGCUACCCCAUGUCUUUUCACUGAUAUAUUUUUCUAAACUAUUUUUAGUAAUCAAAUUUUUAAAUACAUCAUAUGAAAUUGAAAUUUAGCACAAUGAUAUCUUCAAGCUUUGCUUUAUGAUUUAACAUGGAGCACGCGCUACUGCUGUGAGAAAUGCUUAUGCUUGCACAGUUCCCUCAAUUCACUCUCUAGGAACAGCUACAAGUGAGCCUUGCUGAUCAUAACAACUUAGAUUUACAAGUCCGUAUAUAGACAACCUUUCACUUUUUUCUGUCAAUAUAUCCAUUUGAGAAUCAUGAUAUUCUUUUCACAACCUAGGUCUAGAUCUGUAUCGACCAUGUGAUGAACCUAAUUAUAUCAUGGAAGGUUGCUUGUAAUGGAUUGCUUCCAAUAUUUUUAGUUUAAGUUAUUUUAGUCAGCAUUUUUUCAAGUUUUUCUACAUUCUUCUCACAGUAAGUGGCAAGAAAGCCUACACGUAUCCAAAUUAUCAAAGGGCAACCAAAAUAAAAAAGGAUUGAUAAGCAAUCCCGAACUCGUCGAGAUGGAGUGAUACUUAUGUAACAUCCCAAAAUUUCAAACCCUUUCAUAUGCAUUGCAUCCAUGAGCAUCAUGCCACAAUUGCAUAUUUGAAUUCAAAUUUGAAUCUCAAAAGGCUUUAAAAAGAUUUUAUUUCAUUUUAAACCCUAGGGUUUCACCCAUUUGAACUUUGGAUCUAAAAACCAAUAAGGUUUAUCUAUAAAUGGGGUUUAUUGCAUAAAUAAGCUAUCCCAUAAUUUUUGGAUAUUUAUUUGGAGUUGAAAAACUAUUUUCUUUAAAUAGUUAUAUAGCCCUAAAGGCAUUUAUAGGGCAAAUGCAUUUUAUUUAUUUUAUUUUGAGGGGAAAUUACUCCCAAAAGUUGAAUCAUGAUAAAACAUGAUUUUACAAAUUUUCUGAAAUUUAUUUGGAUCAAUUUGGUGUCGUCGCACGGUGCUCCGACACCGGGGGCGUGCGGUCACGGCCCCCUUUUAGGUUCGGCAGGGGCGUCGGGGUUCGCCCCGGCGAUCGCCGGCACGGCCGAUGGGCCUUGUGGGGGCGGCAAAAUGAUGUACCAGGGGUGUGCGCUAAUCAAAGAACACAUGCACGCACGUUUUUACCCAGGUUCGGGCCACCCGGAGGUGUAAAACCCUACGUCCUGCUUGUCUGAGCUAGUAUUGAUUGUGGAUCAAGUGUUUACACCUUGCGGGGGAAGGUCCCCGGGCUCUCUCUCUUUCCUUGCGAACGCUACUUGGUACCCUCAGACUAGGGCUAGUUGUGAGCUAUCCAACCGACCAACCUUUGGAAACUUGGAACCUGGAACCUGAACUGGAAGAAGGACUGGACCGGAAGUAGAACCCCCUGACCGCUGGCGAGGGUCCUCCUUUUAUACUCAAGGGGAUGCCACGGUGCAUGGGCUACAAGUGUCGAGCGGGGAGGCAUACAACUCCUCCUUGGUGAGCUGGUGGCGCGCAUGGACACCACCUUCGUCGCUAGGGGUCUAAAACCCUAGACUAGGAUUGGACAGCCACUAUUUACUUGAUCGAACGGGUAACGUCCCGCCUGUCGGCUCAUUUAAUGAGCCGUGCGCCUUACUCCUUGCCCCGGUGGGGCCGCGCACCCCACGCCCGCCACGCGCCCGCGUGGCGCUGUUGAUCUGCUCACUAGGCCCCACCCUUGAGGCGGGAGCCUGCCCCCAGGAACCCCCUAUCCCGGCAAGUCGCUCCCCGGGAAGCGCCCAGGCCCAACGCACCCGGGAACCUCCUCCCGGGAAGCGGUGCCCAGGCGGGAAUAUUUCCCGAAGCCCCGCUAGCCCUUCCGGCCUGGUAGCUUGCCGGGCUGCUCAUAGCCGCUGCCCGGGAUGGAACCUUCUCGGGAACUCGUGGACGGGGCCCACGUGUCGCGCAGCGGUGGUACCCCGGGUGCCACUGGUGCGACAUUUGGAGUUCAAAAUCAAAAGAUAUCAAAGAAAUCAGAAAAAGGAAAAAAGGAAUAGAAAAAAAAGAGAACCGGCCCGGCCCGGCCAAAUGGGCCAAACCGGCCCAGCUUCGCCCGCGCCCGAGCCGGACUGAGCCGGCCCGCAGUGCGCGCGCCCGCACCGAGCCGCUGACAGGUGGGUCAGGGUCUCCGCCGCAAGGAAGGCGGCCGGAAAUCCCGCGCGCACAAUCCCGCCGCCAUCUCCGCAGCGCCGUCGCCUCCAUGCUCCCUGCGCCUUGCCGCCCACGUUAGUAUAAAGCCCGGAGCCCCCUCUUCCUUUCCCCUUUGUCAAUUACGCGCCCACGCCGUCCUAAUUUCUCGCCGCCGUUCGCUCUGCCGCCGCCGUCCGGAGCUCGCCGCCGACCGUACGGUACGCUAGGGUCGACGAGACCUCGCCAACCCCGUCCCCGUCUCCGCCUUGAUGAGCCGCGCCUCCCCGCAUGCUUCCCCGACGCCCGAGCUCGCCGGAACUGCCCGCCGCCGUGUCCCCGUGCUCGCCGGAGUUCGCCGGAACCCUAGUGCCGCCACGGUGAGCCCAUGCUCCAUCUCAGCCGUUAGCUUGAUCAACGGCCGAGAUUAGAUCUCGCGUUUUAAUUUUAAACGAACCAGUACGCGCCAAUUAGGAGCUGACACGUGGCACUGCUUAAUAAAAACGAAAAUAUAAUUUUAAUCCCGGUUUAAAUUUAAUGGCAGUUUUGCAGAAAAGCCCCUAGAACUUCAAAUGCUUGUAACUUUUAAACCCUUUGGCCAAAUUUGACAAAUUUUACCUUUCUGGAAAGCUCUUGACCUGUAGAAUCUUUUGGCGCUGUUUAAAUGUAAAUUUGAAUAUUUGAACCACAGUAAAUUUACAGAAAGGCCUUUUAUGCCAUUUAAUUCAUAACUAAUUAUUUAGAAACCCUUUUUAAUUGAAACCAGUGCCCAAAAAUUUGUUUUAUUGUCCUCUGUCCAUUGGGACAAAGAAAUAAAUAUUUUGAAUUAAAUUAUUUGGCUGAUGCCAAUGAAACUAUAAUUUAGGGUUUUAAUCAAUUGUUUUUGCCUUUUGUUAAAACCCUAAUACAUUUGUUUUAAUUGCUAAUGCUUAGGAUCAGUUGUUCACCCGAAUAAAAUAAACCAAUUCAUGUCACAUGUUGCAUCGCAUCAUAGCAUACCUUGUUUUGUCGUGAUGUGAAUUGUGUGUUUAUGUAUGUGUAUGUUUGUUUGCUCGGAGUGCGAACUUUGUGAUUGUGACGAGUGUUUGAACUCCAACUGCUACCAAGACAAGUUCACUUUGAUCAUAUCCUAUUACUAUUUGUUUUUAAAUACUUAUGCAUUAGAGUUGUUUGUAGAAAUGCAUUGAUAGGACCAUUACUUGUACUUAUGCUAGCUAUGAUUGACCUACUAGUUAUAGGGUUACCUUUGCCAUGAAUCCUCCACCAAUAGCCAUCGUGAUUAGAAUUGCUUAGCCAUGCUAUGUUAGUAAACGUGGGAGGAAAUUCAAUCACUGUGAAAUGAUGAUGUGUAGUGAUUUUGGAAACUUGGCAAAACAACCCUAAUGAACCAUCCUGGGUGGACUGCUUUGAGAUUUUGAGAUGUUAUGUCGUGUUCGUCGAUGUUCUUUGGGUCAUGUGCUUACAUUCCAACAUGCUCUCUCCUCUGGGAGUAGUUGAGGCCCAUUUGCUCUACCUUUCCGCUGCAGUUUACGAUACAUUGUUUUAUGGUUUUGAAACAAUAUUUGUUUAUGCUGGCCCAAGGGGUCAUGCAAGUUUGUAAGUACAAUUAAUUCUGGAUGAUAAGAUGUAAUAAAGUACUUUUGACCUUUGUAUCUUGGUAUUACAUCUUGAAACUGUGUGUGCUAGUGAGUCGAUCCAGGGACUAGCACAAAUAAGCACAGAGAUCGAACCCUGUACGGGGGCGGUCGCUUCAACUUACCUCGGGCUUUGCAGGGGAUACGGCGGCCUCCUACGGGGGAUCGUGAGGUUUUCUCGCAUCGUCAGCGGCCGGGAGGAAGCCCUCGUCGGGGUCGUCGAAGUAGGUGUCCUCAUCUUCUUCCGGGAGGAGGCCGUGGCUCUCCAUCCACUCGAGCUCCUCCGGACCUGGCAUCUCCAUGUCCUCCAUCUCCGUCGCCGGCUCCUGGAGGACGCGGAGCAGACCGGGAAGUCGGGGCAGAGCACCCUAGGACGCGGCGGAGCUCCUGGACGGCCGAGCCUGAGGGGGGAGGGGGUAUGGCGUCGGCUGUGACAAGACUACGCCGGUGGGGAGGUGGUGAGAUCCUGGACGAGACCGCGAGGGAGGUGGGGGAGCUGAGAUUUGGGCUGUGGCAGGAGCAUGCCGGCAGGGAGGAUCGGUGAGAUCCAGAACUCGUGGAUAGCGAGGGAGGUGAGGAGAGGGUGAGGAAGCUGAGAGGGUGAUUGAGUGGACAGCGAGGGAGGUGAGGGAGCUGAGAAGGGAUAAGGUUUAUUUAUGCUUUGUCUUUUUUCCCUACAUCUUUAGUUGUUGCUAAUCUCGUUAUUUAAUUAAUUGUUGCUAAUCUCGUUCUUUUUGUCAAAAUAAUUCUAUGCUAAUUCCCUUGCUAAAUACAUACCAUAAUUAAAACAACUUUGAUAAGGUUGGAUGAUUUAUCUUUUACGCAGAAAAAACAUGAUAGCCCGUAGUUUGCUAGAUCUUUCAUAUAUACGGCUUCCUAUUUAAGACACGUGUUACAACUAUGUUUAGACAUUUUUCUCUAUUGUCAAUUUUGAAAUGAUAUGUUUCCUCCGUCUGAUAUUAAGUGACUCAAAUUUGUCUAAAAAUAGACGUAUCUAUGUAUAUAUUCUAAAUACAUGUAGUAUUUCUUCCGAUUGACGUGUCUGUAUCUCCUACGGCUAAUUUCUAAACAAAAUGCUUAAAUAGCAGUCAAAAGUAUCGGAGCCAUUGGAUUACUAUUUGUAGGCCAUCCCUACUCUCUCCUCUUCGUUUUUAGUCCAAAAUCCCUAUCUUAGUACAUAUGAACCAGAUCCGACGGCUAAGCAUGCAAUCAACUUAUCCCUAAAUAAAAAACAUACGACCAAAACUGUUUGACCAUAUCUCAUGCGACUGUUUUUUAAGUAAGAACCUUAAAUCUCUGUCAUUCGAUUAACAUGUCCACGAGUCCGUAGCAACGCACAGGCACUCCACUAGUGGCAAUUAAUUGUUGCUUUACUCAAGAAAAACUUGUAAAUAGGAUCGUAUGCAAAGGCACACUCGCACAACCAGGAACCAUUGCUAGUAGUAUUUAUGUUUAUGCUCUCCGCAAAAAAGAAUUAUUUAUGUUUAUGUAUUCUUUAAUUUGCAGUCUGCGUACGUCGGUCGUCCCUCGUACGUCCCUCCCACUUCCGCGUCCUCCCGAAAGCACGCGUUGCUCCGCUCAACGCCUCGAGCAGUCCAGCCCUCUCCACCCAAACCCGCGUAGCCCCUCCUCCUCCACCUCCUCCCAAAUUCCAAACUUCCUCGAGCAGUUCCAAGCCCCCCAAUCCCCCGAUUCCCCAAAUUCACUUCUCCCCCGUGCGGUUCCAACCCCAAAUUCUUGUCAGAGCAGCGGCGGCGUGGGUCAUGGAAGGGGACGAACAACGCCGGAUAGGAGGAGGGAGCGAGAGAUGGGGAAGAUCCAGUAGGUGGCGGUGGCGUGGGGGUGCGAUGGUGAUGCUGGGCGCCGUACGUCGCGCCCCGCACCCAACGCUGACGCGCUGGCCCCACGCACCCCGCACGUCCUGCCUCCCUCGCCCCCUUCCGAUCCAGAUCAAGAACGAGCGCCUCUUCCCCUUCGCAGCCUGCAGGGGCGUUGCUGCCCUCCGGCCGCCGCCCUCGCGCGCCACACUGCCGCCUCCUCCUCGUCUGCCCGCCGCACCGUCACGGAGACGCGACGCCGACAUGGGCGGGGUGACGUCCACCAUCGCCGCGCGCUUCGCCUUCUUCCCGUCCACGCCGCCGUCCCCUAAUCCCCGAGAUCUCUUGGGUCCCUGCACGCCGCCGUAGGCGGGAUGGCAGCGGGGACUCCUCGUCCAGCGUCGCCCAGGAAGAGGACGGCACGGAGGUGGUGCGCCUCCGCACGGGUCGCGGGAACAAGGUCGUGGGGGUGUACGUGUGCAACGCGCGAGCCUCGGCCACGCUGCUCUACUCCCACGGCAACGUCGUGGACCUCGGGCAGAUGUACGGCCUCUUUGUCGAGCUCCGCCGCCGGCUGCGCGUCAACAUCUUCGGGUAAUGCUCACUCCAGCUCGCUCGCCUGUUGUUAGGACUACUUUUCCACUUCUCUAAGUUGCAUAAAUGGACAUGAAUGUAUCUCGUGUCCCAUAUCAAUUUUGUUACAUAGCAUGAUGCAGAGACAUUGGACUCAUCCUCUGUAUUACCUCCUCUUGGCACCUAUUUAGUGGUUAAUCAUCUCAAAUUUGAUUGCCGUUUAUCCUGACUUCUCAGUUCUCUAGAUGGUGUUAUCCAGAAUGAGUUGGCUACAAGGAACCUACAUUAUAUCAAUGGUGUUCGUCUAAUCAAUUGCAAGCAUCAGGUCCCUGCAUUUGUAUUGCAAGUAUCAGAAGCCUGUAGGUUUUCUUGUGAGAGUGAUGGUAAUUAGUUGCAAAUUGUUUAGCUGAUGUUUGUGAUUGAUUAUGCCAAUUAAGGACUCCUGUUGUGCAUUUUAUGUACUGUUGGCGAGCUUGCAAGCAUAUGAAGUUAGGCGCCAGGUCUGAAGUUUGGCUACUUUAAAGUUAAUUUGUUGCUCUUGUAUCGGAUAUUUCUUUUACACUAUGAUGCAGCAAGGCCUGACCAUGCGGUAUACUGUUGAGACUUGAGAGAGGCCUUAUUAAUUAUUUCUCGUUAUCAUGGAUUAAUGUUUGCAACAUUGCGUUCAUUUGUUCCGUCACUUGUUUUUCAGUCGUGUGGUACUAUCAUAUGCACUUCCAUGAUUAGUGCCAUGGGCUGCAACUGUACAAUUACAGGAAACUAUAUAUAGACCAUUUCAUGGAGUAUUUCUCAAGCUAAAUAUGUAUAGGAGAAAACUUAUGCCAUAUUGACAUGUAUAUUAUAUUUUGUGUCAUCCUGCUCUCUGCAUAUGGUGGAUCAUCUACUAAUUGUAGCCUCACUGGAAAUUACAGAUCAAUAAUUAAAACCUUCUUCCUCCUUUGGUUUUGUUUCAAUAGAGUAGGAAUUAGUCAUGAAAACUUAGCAGCCUGUUAUUAUAUUGUUUGUCCCUUUUCACUGUUAAAUUUCCAUCCCGCAAACUGUUAUUUUUCUUUAUAGUUGCAACAACCACGUCUAUUUGCUGCUCUUUGGGUACGCUGUUCGCUAUCAUUCUUUUAGUUACUAUGCUUCAUUAAUACAAUCUAACCAUAUUUCAUUUGUCUAUUAUUAGGUUUGUGAUUUCAGUCUAUCAAGAAUGAAGAACAAUACCUUCCUGUCGUCAAGAUCAACAGGUGGAACAAUAAGCUUGCAUAAUCCCUCAAUUUUUUAUUUCUUAACUUUUCUUGCGUUAUAGUGUCUGUUUCAGGAAAACAUGGUUUUGGUGGAUGCUUCUGAUGGACUAAACCGGUAUACUAUAUAUUGGAUAGCACCAUAGUACAUGACAUGGGAGUUACUAAUUUGUUUUUAAGGUACUUUCUGUUUCACUUGCACAACAAUUUUGCUGAUGAUGCCUGGUUAAUGAUUUUUCUUCCGUGUUCAGAAGUGCUUACUGUUAUGAUGCUUUGCCUCCUUUCAGAAAUUAAUAAAUUAGACAGUGAUUAUUCUAUUCCUUUUUCCUUUUUGGUGACCAGAAAUUCUCAGGUUCUGCAGUGCCAAUGGUUCGUGUAAUCAACAAGUCGGCUGCAAACCAUUUGUUUCAGGAUAACAGUUUGAAAAUUUUAGUGGGGUUUUCAGAAAACUUGUAAACGCAUGUGCAGCCAGUGGUAAAGGCAUUUCUGAUUUAGAUGAGAGCGGGCAAUAUAGAGGUCAGAGGCCUUGAGCCAAUGCCUCAAACAAAACGACGGUAGAAUGUAGACUAGGUACAGGCAUGCCAUCAACAGAACCCCGGUAAUUCUGCUCUGAGAAUUACUGUUGCUCCAAAUGUAACAUCAAAGGUUGUUGACUCUUUUCCAAUUCAAUUAUAUUAUCCAGAGGCAAUUGGGACAACUCCUGGACGCAAUAAGCAUUUAAAAGACUAGAGUCCUCAAAUCAAUGAGCAUUAUAUUAUCCAGAGGCAAUUGGGACAACCCCUGGACGCAAUAAGCAUUUAAAAGACUAGAGUCCUCAAAUCAAUGAGCAUUGGCAAUGGACUUUUGGACUAUUGACUUGAGAGACGCUGCAUUGGCUCUAGCAAUGAUCAAUGGGGAAGACAUAUCUGAAGAUGUUCUGAGUAGCAUAUCCAGCAAGUUCUGCAUAGGAAAAUGAUACCGUGUCAUGUGGAUUCUUGUAGUACUCUUCACAUGGGAUGAUCUGCACAAUCGAAACCACUUAAUGUUGCAUUUUUCACUUAAUUUUCAUUAUUCAUUUGUAACGAAUGAAAAUAUUGAACUUUUCUAUCUAUGACGAUGGCCUGAUCUUGGCCAAAUAUAUUUAAGUAAGUGCUUAAUUUUCAAAUGUAGAUUUGAAACAUGCUAACAAUUGUUCCAGCUGAUGCAUGCAUUCAGUUUCAGGAGGGUGAUAAGAAGAUACUCACCAUGUCAAAAAAUAAGAGUGCUAUUCCAAUCGGUGACUGGCCAAGAAUUCACGCAUGAGCAGUUGAGGCAAGAUCACUCAUAAUUGUUUCAGAUAUUUUUAAAAUCAGAGAGGUGUUUAAAUAAAUUAAUAAUUGUACUUCCCAUUAUUGGACAAAUCUGAUUUUUUUCCCAAUGUAGUAUAGCUUUAUAUUAUGUGCCUACAUAUUUUCUUCAAAGAAUACGUAGAUUUUUGUUCUAUGCAAAAAAUCACAAUCCUGUGGGUCUAAAAUAGUAAAGCAUGGAUCUAACUAAAUAUUUCGUACUACACAAAAGGGAUAUUUGGGAGGAGGAUGUCAUUUAGAAACGGGGCAGUGAAAACUCAACGAGAGGGGCGUUCAAGGGUUGAUGAAGUUAUAAAAAUGUCAUGAUUGCGAAUAGUGGCAAACAAUGAGAGAUGGCACCAGAGAUGAGGAAAGGACAGGGUGGGCACAAAAAGGAAAGAAAGGAUCAUGUGAUUCUGAAAAGAAGAAAAACGACAUCACAACCGAAAGAGAGCGGGUGGUGAUCGGAGAGAGAUCGAGAGGAGUAAGAGGUAAUUGGAAGAUAAACUAGAAUUGCACAACAAAACAUAUGAGAAGAUCAAAAGAGAGUGAAGAGAUAAGAGUGGGGACAAAUAUAAGUGUUUGUCUUGCCAUGGUCAGAAGUCUUCCAAUCUUUACCGUGUGCAUAGUUCUAUUUUUUCGUUGCAGCACACGGACACUUAACUAGUAGUAUUUAUGUUUUAGGGCUUCCACGGUGUGUGCCAAAUAGAGGUGUCAAAUAGCUAUUUGGCAUUUGGCACCUCUAUUCAACACUGGGAGACCGGUGUCAAAUCUAAUUUGGAACCGGAGCAACCAGUCGCUCUGGUGCUAAAUCUGGCCGAGGAAUAAAGAAAUCGAUCGUCCCUGCUUCCCAUGCCUCACGCCAUGGCACGGAGCUGCCGGAGACCGAGUAAAAUGGAGGACGCGUGGGGUGCAGCGGCACGGGGCACCGGCCACAGGCAUGGGCGGCUGUGGACGGAGGCGGCGCCGGCCGAAGGCAGCGAUGGGAGGAGGAUCAGGAGGGCAGCAGCAGAGGGGCGGCUAGAUCCAGAUGGGGAGGAGAGGGGAGGAAGAAGACCCUCGUCUCAGUACUGCCUAGCCUGGAAAAACGUUUCCCAGGUCGCUCGCGUCGCUCCUACGGGCGGCUCGGGCGAACCCUAGCCGUCGCCGCCCCAGGUCGCUCCCCCCACCUCGUCCUCCCCUCUGGCCGCCGCCGGAGGAGGCCAGGGGACUAAGCUCUUGCGGCGGACGGCGGCGGCGGGGGGAUUCGGGCAGCGCGGGCCUCUCCGGCGGCGCGAGCGCUCUCGGCGGCGCGGACUCUUCUCCGGUGGCGCGGGAUCUGGGGUUUCUCGCCUGGAUCCGUUGGUGGUGGCCGGUGGAACCUGCAGGGUGGCGUGGUGGCCGGACGGUGCCGCUCGGGCGUUGCGGGAGCGUGCGGCGGCGCGGAGGCGGGGUUGCGGGCGCUGGGCGUGGGAUCUGGGGCUUCUUGCCCGGAUCCCUCCGGUGGUGGCCGGUGUAAUCCUGCAGGGCGGCGUGGUGACCCGGGUGGCGGCGCUGGGUUCUCCGGCGUUGCUUUCCCCGAUGGUGGUUCGGAUCCGACUGGUGCGGGCAGGAAUUUGGGUCAUCACCUUUGUGGAUUCUUCUCCCUUCGGCGGUGGAUCGCCGGCAUGGUCACCGUGGCAGUUUCUGUAUGGAUGCGGAGUUCGUGGUCAUGGGCCGGGAGAAAUCCUCAUGUGGCUGUUGCUAACGCCGACGAUUGAUGACCGGGCAUCGUGACCUUGGAGGCAUCGUUGCGGCUUGCGGCUUGACUAGGACUCCUUCCUCCUCUGGCACCGGAGGAAACCCUUGGCGCUCAACGUUGUUCUCCUCUCUUGAGAGCGUUGUCUUGGUGGCCAGGGAGCCCUUCAGCGAGCAUGUGGGUGAUGGUGCCAGUUCCAUGCCUGGGAUGCUGGACUUGUGGGCGCGAUGUACCCCUCGUCGACGCAACUUGGCCAAUCUCCUUAUUCAGUUCCGACCUACGGCUACCCCACUUGCCGAUCUUCUCUCUUGGCAUGAUGGUGGGCUAUAUCGUCCGGGGCGGUCCUGAUGUUGCGGUGAUUCUUCAAGAGGCUUGGUGGCGGGCGUGAAGCGGUUGUUGGGGUCCUAUGCGCGACUUCUUCGUCUUUUAGGCUUGUUGUUGUGCAGGGUUUCUGCGGGGGUUGUGACUAGAUUCUGGUCCAAACUAGAUAGGGUCAAUGGAGUGGUUUCUCUUUUGCCAUUUGUUGGCGUUGUUCUUGCCAUUUCGGCGUUGUACUAUCCUUCUGGCUCUUCUUCUUCAAUCGAUGAUGCACCGCUGGGUUGCAUUCUUGAAAAAAAAAAGUACUGCCUAGCCUCACCGACCAUGAUGCUGUAGAGCAGAUCUACGGCCUCGUCCACCACGAGCUUCAGCAGUCCAACUUUGUGAUUUGGAAGCAUAAUUUGGGAAGAGUCAAGUUGGGGAUUUGGUGUGGAGAGAGGUCGGCAGAUGUCGUAGCCCGGGACGUAGACACCGGGGGUGUGCGGCACCCCCUUUAGGUUCGAUAGAGGGUGUCGGGGAUAGCUCCGGCGAUCGCCGGCGAGGCCAAUGUCAAGCGUGAAGAUGCACACGAUCGUUUUACCCAGGUUCGGGCAACCCUGAGGUGUAAAACCUUACGUCUUGCUUCUGUGUUCUUAUUAGCCAGUGAACAAGGCUUUACAGGUUGCCGGGGGAGUUCCCGGGCGUUCUCUCCUUUUCUGCUAAGGGCUACUUGCUAUUUCUAGCUAAAACUAGUAAGGAACCGAACCCUUUGACCGUUGGCAGUGGUCCUCCUUUUAUACUCACUACAACAUUUUUGGAGGUCCAUGACAUUCGCCCAUUGUCAUAGAAAGUGGUAAAAAUGUCAUAGAGAGUGUGGUCCAUGACGUUAUCUAUGACAAAAAAAAAACGUCAUGUACCUCACGUCAUAGACCUCUCCAUGACGUUUUUCCCCGUGUAAUGUCAUAAAGUUCUAUGACAAACUGUCCCAAUUCGAGUUAUGAGCCCUUACAUAGUGAGGAACUGGCACAAUUCGUCAUAGUUGAGUGUAUGUAUGCUUACAUGGCAGCCACGUGGGCUUGCUUGCAUGCAUGACACGUGGUGGGUUGACAUGGCGGACACAUGUAUAUUUUGCCGGCGUGGCGUCCACGUGGAAUAAAUUGAUGAUGUGAAUUUUCAUAUGACGUGGCAAAAACAUGGGCCUCGUCCAAAGGCCCGGUUAUUUUUUUGGCCCAUUUAUUUCUUCAGCUUGAGCCCUUUUUUUUUCCUUGAGGCCCGGUUUUUUUUUAAUCACCAGGCUCUUUACAGGUUGUUUCUUUUUUUUUCCUGCUGCAUGGAGGCCUUUUUUGUUGUUUUAAAAUACAACACAACCCAUGUGCUCUUGGGCCAAAUGUUUUAAAAUACCACACGGAAAGAGAAAUUACAAUGCACAGAAGUAUGAGCCAACAUCAAAGCAUAUCACGAAACAUUCAGGCCAUAGGACCAUAAGCAUCAAAGUGACCAUAUCACAUAACAUUCAGCCCACAGGCCAUAAGCACCAAAAUGCCCUCAAUAUGCAAAGUACCCUUAUAAGCACAACAUCUAAUAAUUUUGUAACCUUCUCAUCACAUGAUCAGAACAGAAUUGAAAGGAACUCUCAACAAACACACACGCACACAAGAGGUUUUUACUGGGCUUGUAACCUUCUCAUCACUUGCCGAAGUAGGGCUUCAUCUGCUUCAAGUUUCUUCUUCAUUGCUUGAAUCUCUUCCUCAUUCUUUACUCUUGCUGCAUCUGCUUCUUCCUUUGCUUUCCUAGCUUCUUCUUGUGCCACCUUAGCUUCUUCAUAUGCUUUUUUCAACUCUUCAAUGGUACUACGCAACUCAGCAUUCCCAUCUCUUUCAGCUUCUAGCUUCUCCAGAAGGCUACUCUUGGAUGUUCUACUCGAAGGGAUUGGCGGCAAACCAAUACGCUCCAAGAAUCUGUUAUUCUUAGUACUCUCAUUCAGCACAUCGGAAAUGACCUCAGCAGCAGAUUUUGGUUCUCUCGUUAUGAAAUUUUCCAUAGAAUCCUUGAAAUUAUCACCAAAGCAGAUUUAUCAUAACCAAAGUAAAAAUGAGGUAACAAGAUGCUGCAGGAAAUAUGAUUUUUCAUUCAACAACAGAAACAAGAUUAAUCAUUCACAUGGCAUAAUUUGAAAAUAAAGAAGAGGGGGGGGGGGGGUUUAAGGCUGUAGUAACUAACUCCUACGUAGAAACAACGGGAAAUAAAUGUGGCGACUACCUACAAGAAGUUACUUGUUGUUUAGUUACGUAAACAACACUUACAAGUUUCUACAAGUUUGGUGACACAAACGACCUCAUCAGAAUUACACAAAAAAUAUACUGUUGGAAAGAUAUCAACAACAUCUACAACUUUCAUAUUAGUAACAUCUUCAAAUUUUGUACUGAUAAGUACCAGUUUAAAAAAUAACAAGAAUAACACUUAAAAAACAGCAGUAGAGUUUUUCUGCUCUAAAUUUCAGACCAAUCAUCGGAAUUAGACAAACAAUAUACUGUUGGAAAGUCAAUGACAACAUCUACAAGUUUCAUAUUAGUUACAUCUUCAAAUUAUUUACAGAUAAGUACCGGUUUGAAAAACAACAGGGAUAGCACUUGGAACCGACAGCAGCAGGGUUUUUAUGCUCUAGAUUUCAGACCAAUCAUCGGAUUUACACAAAAAAUAUAUCAUUGGAAAGAUAUCGACAUCAUCCACAAGUUUCAUAUUAGUUCCAUCUUCAAAUUCUGUACUGAUUAGUACCAGUUUCGAAAACAGCAGGGAAAGCACUUGAAAACAGCAUAGAAAACACUUGAAAACAACAGAUAUGUUCCGGUGAAACAACAACAUACAUAGCAGAAGUUAAUUGCAUGGUAGCUUGAUAUGACACCAGUUUCAGCAAAGUGUUCUUUAGAUUACAACAGUUUCAGUAAACUAUUUGUCAAGCACAAUCAGAUAACCAUCACAUUGAAAUAAAACCCAAAGUUAUCAUAUAUUGUAGAUUGGGCUCUUCAGACAAUGGCAAAGGCAAAAAAGGAGGACUUACAAUUGCAGCUUGCGCAUUCUCACUAAAUCCUCUUUUUGUACUAAAGUGGGUCUCCUUGAACAAGUCAACUGCAUCUGGAGGUUUAUCUUUGUACUUCUCGCUCAGAAACUGUUUUUGCAAAAAAUAUUGAUUACGGUCUAAUUAUGAACAAAGCUAUUAGUGAUUUGUUGUGAAUUGACAUACCACUUCUUGUACUUGCACCUCAUAACUGCGUGAACCAGUGGCUUGCUGGUACUUGACCAUUGAUCGGCUCACCUUGUUCUUUGCACAAGUAUCCUUCACAAAAAUAAACAGUGAUGUAAAAGAUACAUCAGUACAUCAUAUUUUCAUUAUGAUAAGGAGCCUCGCCCCAAAUACGAAAAGUAUAACUUGACCGGUUUCUUAGGAGUUAUCCAGGAAUCCACAAGAUCACACCAUUCCUUGUUGCUCAUGGAUUUCAUAGGAGAUAUCCUUGACACUUCGCUCAAUGGCAUAGGAUCAAACCAUUUUUGCUUCAGCUUGUGGCGUUGAUUUGUGAGCGUGUUCCAGGGCAGCUACAAGCGCCCGGAAACCAUGGCGGAGCUGCACACUGUGGUGCAGAAGCCGGAAGAGACGUUGCGGAGUUUCGUCAACCGCUGCUCUAGUCUCUCCUACUCCAUUCCAGAGGCGGAGGCUGCUGCCAUCAUCAACAUCUUCGCCAUCAACGUCCGUGACCCCAAGAUGCGGGAGAAGCUGAGGACGCACCGGAUCCGGAUGACGCAGGAGCUCUACGCCUUGCCACACAAGUGUGCCAUGGCCGAGGAAGGGCGCCUGGCGCCCGAACUUGCAACGGGAAGCAAGUCCUCGCCGCGGAGUCGGGCGCUGCCUUGAGGCCUGCGAAAAAGGCCUCGCCCGCUGGCGGGUCUGGCGGCAAGCCGGGUGACGCGCCCCGCUGCCCCAUCCACGCCAACGCCACCCAUGACGCACAGGAUUGCCACAUCCUGCAGGGUAUCAAGCAAAGGCGCGAGCAACGCCACGAGGAGCGCCGAGCGGCCGGCGCCUGCUUCAACUGCAGGGACAUCAGGCAUCUCUCCCGGGAUUUUCCGAACGACCCCAGAGCGGGGCCGAACCUGCCGGCGGGGAUGCCGGGAGAGAAGAAGCCCAGGAGGGACGUGGCCAAGCCCGUGCCGGCAGGGAGCGGCCUCCCCGGGGACGAGACAAGGCUCGCGCUGAGGAGCGGCGUGAGUCCGACUACAGCGAGGGCGACGAGCCCGGCUUGCAGGAGCCCCGCGGCGUCCCCUGCAUCCAUGGGGGAGCUUACGUUCUCUCAUCCCAUAGCGCGGUGAAGCGCCUUACCCGCGAGGUGUUUGCGUUAUUGCCGGACAUGGAGGCGCAGCAGCCGCUGAAGUGGUCGCAGGUGCCGAUCACCUUCAGCACCGACGAUCACCCAGCCCGGCAGCUGGGUUCAGGGGUUCUGCCGUUUCUGGUCUCACCCAUCAUCAACAACAUGACGGUGACCAAGGUGCUGGUGGACAACGGAGCGGGGUUGAACCUCCUGUCCGCCAAGUUGGUGGAGAAGCUUCGGCUGCCGUUGGAGCAGUUGAAGCCCACCGACCCGUUCCGGGGAGUGAACCCCGGGAUCAUGCGCCCCCUGGGGCGCAUCACGCUGCUGGUUACUUUCGGGGUCUCGGGAACCGUUUCGGACUGAGCACCUCGUGUUCGAUGUGGCUCAUACCCCGUUGCCGUACAACAGGAUCCUUGGUCGGCCGGUGCUGAUCAAGUUCAUGAUGGCAACUCAUUGCGCCUACGGCGUGAUGAAGAUGCCGUCCACAUACGGGGUCCUCUCCAUCAGGUGCGAUCUCAAGAACGCGGCCUGGUGUGUUGGCGAGGUCGUCAGGGCCGCCACCGCAGCUGACUACGGUGACGAAGGCGUCGCCGGAAGUGAAGGCUCGUUGUCGGGCGACGGCCCCGCAGUGAAGAAGGCCCGCGCUACCCCGCAGGAGCUUGCCGGGGGAGGCGCCGGCUCGAGCCCAUGCCCCGGCAAGGGCCAGAAGCUCAAGGAGGAGGCCGCCAAGGUGAAGAAGCUGCCCCUCCAAUCCGGCAACGAGGAACGCACCGUCACCGUGGGUGCGAACCUCAAUGCCAAAUAAGAAGGCGCCCUUGUCACUUUCCUCUGGGAGAACGCAGACGUGUUCGCUUGGGAACCGUCGGACCUUCCCGAAGUCCCUAGGGAGGUGAUCGAGCAUCGACUCGUGGUGCGUCCAGACGCCCGCCCUGUCAAGCAGAAGAUCCGCCGGCAAGCACAAGAGCGCAAAGAUUUCAUCAAGCAAGAAGUGGACAAGCUUAAGGAUGCGGGGGCUAUCAGGGACGUACUGUACCCCACUUGGUUAGCUAACCCUGUAGUAGUACCCAAGGGGGGGAAUAAAUUUCGCAUGUGUGUAGAUUUUACUAAUCUUAACCGUGCGUGUCCUAAAGAUCCUUUCCCUGUACAUCGCAUUGAUCAAAUAGUAGAUUCCACUGUCGGUUGUGAUCUGGUAUGUGUUUUGGAUGCCUUUUUCGGCUACCAUCAAAUUAAGAUGGCAGACGAAGACGAAGAAAAAACGGCGUUCAUCACCCCGGUUGGCUGCUACUGCUACACGUGCAUGCCUUUCGGGUUGAAGAACGCGGGCUCCACAUUCCAGCGUGCUUUACGCGAGUGUUUGGGAUCCUAGCUAGGCCGAAACGUUGAGGCCUACAUGGAUGAUAUCGUCAUCAAAUCCAAGAGCGGGGACUCGCUGAUUGAUAACCUGCGGGAAACGUUCGAUAACCUCCGCAGGAUCAAGCUCAAGUUGAACCCUGAGAAAUGCACCUUUGGCGUAGACUCGGGGCAGCUUCUGGGCUUCUUGGUUUCACACAGGGGGAUUCAAACCAACCCAGAGAAGAUAGAAGCUAUCGAGAAAAUGGAGGCUCCCCACAGGGUGAAGGACGUGCAGCGCCUCAACGGCUGCGUAGCCGCGCUGAGGCGCUUCAUCUCGAGGUUGGGCGAACGCGCCCUGCCUUUCUUCAAGGUAAUGAAGAGGAAGGGCCCAAUUGACUGGACCCCCGAGGCUGAGGCGGCGUUCCAGGAUCUCAAGCAGUACCUGAAGUCGCCGCCAAUCCUCGUCGCCCCAAGCCAGGCGAGCCGAUGCUACUCUACCUAGCAGCGACUGACCAAGUGGUCAUCUCGGUGCUAGUUGCCGAGAGAGAAGAAGACCUCCCGGGGGCUGAGCUUGCGGGGCAGGGGGCUGAGCCAGCCCCGGCAACUGCCUCGGACCUAGGAACAGCCGUCGAGCCGGCGGCGUCAACACCGCGCAAGCGGCUCGUGUAGCACCCGGUGUACUUCGUCAGCACGGUGUUGCGUGACGCCCGCACGCGGUAGCCGCAAAUGCAGAAGCUCUUGCUGGGGAUUCUGCUUGCAUCACGCAAGCUGCGCCACUACUUCCAGGCGCACCGCGUCACAGUAGUAUCAGGGUUUUGCCUUGAGCAGGCCCUCACCAACCGUGAAGCCACCGGAAGGGUGGCCGAGUGGAGAAUGGAGUUGACGGAGUUCGAUCUACACUUCACCAACACCAAGAGUAUCAAGAGUGUUGCUCUGGCUGAUUUCUUUGCAGAAUGGACCUCGACGGGCAUAGAAGAAGAAGAGCCGGAGACCAGCCUGCCCGCCAAGCUGGAUGAAGGCCACUGGAUCAUGUACUUCGACGACGCGUUCAGCCUGCAGGAAACUGGCGCUGGAGUCGUCAUCGAGUCACCUACAGGAGACCAGCUGAAAUUUGCCAUCCAGCUCGACUUUCCCAACUCCACCAACAACACAGUUGAGUACGAAGGAUUGCUCGCCGGGUUGCGGGCGGCGAUCGCCCUUGAUAUCAAGCGCCUGGUUGUUCUCGGGGAUUCCCAACUCGUGAUCAACCAGGUUAACAAGGACUACGACUGCCCACAGAUGGCAGCGUACGUGGAUGAAGUCCGCAAGCUGGAACGCAAGUUUGUGAUUCGAGCACGUCAAGCACAAGGAUAACUUCGCGGCAGACGAAGUGUCCAAGUGGGCAGCAGAGCGCUGGAAGGUUCCGGCGGGGGUGUUCUGGCACAGGCAGACUGCACCUUCGGUCGCUCCCAAGCCGGCUGCCGGGGAAGCCCUCCCGGCAACCGAAGGAAACCCCACAACAGCGGAGAUUCAUGCCGCUGACGUGGCGGCAUGCGUAAGUAGGGAAACCCCACCUUGGGCAGCAAACAUCACCCGCUACCUGAAAGGGGAAGCCCUCCCGAAAGAUGACGUUGCCGCAGAGCGUGUAACCCGGCAAGCCAAGAUGUACGCUCUGGUAGACGAGGAUCUCUACCGGAGGCGUGCAAACGGAGUGAAGCUCCUCUGCGUGCGCCAAGACGAAGGGCGCGCACUUCUGGAAGACAUACACCGAGGCACAUGCUCGCACCAUGUGGCCUCCCGGGCUUUAGCCGGCAAGGCCUUCAGACACAGCUUCUACUGGCCUACAGCGCUAGCCGAUGCUGAGCAGCUUGUCAAGACAUGCGAGGCGUGCCAGUUCCAUGCGAAGAAGAGUAACCAGCCGGCGUAGGCUCUGCAAGUCAUUCCAUCUUCCUGGCCGUUCGCUGUCUGGGGGCUGGACAUCGUCGGCAAAUUGCCAAGAGCGGUUGGUGGCUACGAGUAUUUGUUUGUGGCCAUCGACAAGUUCUCCAAGUGGAUGCAACUGGAACCAGUGCGGAAGGUGACCGCUCAGGCGGCCAUCAAAUUCUUCAAGGGCAUCGUGUGCCGGUUCGGGCGUGCCCAAUGGCAUCAUCACCAACAACGGCACGCAAUUCACGAGCGCCGUGUUCCAAGCCUACUGCAAGAGCAUGGGCACCAAGAUCCACUUCGCCUCUGUCGCUCACCCAAGGAGCAACGGACAGGCGGAGCGAGCCAACGCAGAGGUGCUACGGGGGCUCAAGACGAGAACCUUUGACAAGCUCAAAGGCCACGGGAAGCACUGGGUCGAAGAACUCCAGCCCGUGCUGUGGUCAAUCAGGACCACACCUGGCCGGACAACGGGCGAAACUCCUUUCGCCCUUGUCUACAAGCCAGAAGCGGUGAUGCCCCUCGAGCUCAAGCAUGGAUCCCCUCGGGUACGCGCGUACAGCAAGCAUAGCCAACACGAGCAGAGAGUUGACGAUCUUAACUUCAUCGAAGAACUUCAAUGCCGGGCUGCUGUCAGAGCUGCGCGCUAUUAGCAGGGACUCCGCCGUUAUCAUGACAGGCGGGUCCGUCCCCAGGAGCUCGAGGUCGGAGAUCUUGUCCUGCGCCGGAUAUAAGGAAAACUGCUCGCGUAGGUCUGCCCAUGAGGCUAUGGACCCGGCAGGCAGGUUGAGCAACCAAGUUCUCGCCCAUCAUUUGAGGACCAUCGGGAACCAGUUGGCCCUGACCUUGUCGUCGGUGCCGAUGGCGUGCAUCCCCAACGUGUAGGUCAGGAGGAAAUCCUUCGGGUUCAUAGUCCCGUCGUACGUCCCAAGCGUUGGCGCUCAGAACUUGCGGAGCCAUGUUACCUGGCGCAGCUCGCGGGUGAACGCGGUGCAGCCGUCCUCAGCGCCGAUGGGAGCAUCCUCCUGCUCUUCUGGACGUGGGCGCUCUGCCUCACGCCGGCGCCGACGCUCCAGGCGCGGGCGGAGGUCUUCCUGCUGGCGGGCGUUCAGGACGCCCCGCGUGACGGUAGGUGACGAAUCCGAGGACCCCAAGGGAUCCUCGCCUCCCGGUUCUCCCUGCAGGGGAGGGUUUUCUCGCUGCCUCGAGACGCGUGGCGCAUCUCCGCGUCCUAGGUUCUGCCCCCGGCCCAAACCGGCCGGGGCGCCCUCAACUUGCGGUUGUUAGGUGACGAGCGCGAGGAGCGCGUCCAGCUCCGCACUCCACUCGUGCGCUGGCGUGCCUUCCUGCGACUCCUAGCGCACCAUGACCCGCGCGGCGAUGAUGACUUCUGCCGGGGUUUGGGCUGGAGGCAACCGAUUCUCCGACCGGCUACCCUCGGCCCUAUCCCCCGGCGCACCCGGGUGGGUAGGGUGUGAUCCUGACGGCAUCGCUCGCGACGCGGUGUGUUCGUGGCGCAGCUGCCGCUGCGCGUCUUCGGCCCGCGAGUGAACUCGUUGGCCAUCACGGACGGCACCGUGGCCGCUCGCGCGAUUGGCUCUGGCGCUGGGAGCCGCUGGCCCCCUCAGCCGGUUGUCCGCCGACGGCCGAGGAGGCGGGGGUGGCAGCUGCGACUGCUGCACCCGAGAGGGCUCAGGGUUCUCCUGACCCUGCGACGCGGGUUGCGCGUCGUGUGACCGCGUGUGCACCAUUGGGGCACCACGCGGAUCGAUCCGAGAGUCACCGGCCCGCUUAGGAGGCAUGAUGGCUAGUCCUGUCGGCGAAGAAGACGAUGCCGAUGUAGCUGCAGACGACGGUGCCGGCGGUCUCCGGCGAGCUAUCCACACGCGCCCCCUACCUGGUGCGCCAGAUGUCGUAGCCCGGGGCGUAGACAUCGGGGGUGUGCGGCACCCCCUUUAGGUUCGGCAGAGGGCGUUGGGGAUCGCUCCGGCGAUCGCCGGCAAGGCCAAUGUCAAGUGUGAAGAUGCACACGAUCGUUUUACCCAGGUUCGGGCCACCCUAGGGUGUAAAACCCUACGUCCUGCUUCUGUGUUCUUAUUAACCAGUGAACAAGGGUUUACAGGUUGCCGGGGGAGUUCCCGGGAGUUCUCUUCUUUUCUGCUAAGGGCUACUUGCUAUUUCUGGCUAAAACUAGUAAGGAACCGAACCCUUUGACCGUUGGCAAUGGUCCUCCUUUUAUACUCAAGGGGAUACCACAGGUGCCUUGGUGCAUGGGUGACAAUUGGCGAGCAAAGAACUCGGGCAGCUUGCCCUCGCUUUGCAGGCUUGCAUGCAUGGUGAGUAGCACAUGGUGAGUAGCCCUGCAGCUAGGGCGCUACGUGCCUAGAAUUCACAGCGGGCCAGUCGCUGUGUGCUGACUAGACGGGGAAUCCCCUUUCUGUCGGAGCAUUAAAUGCUUGCUUGUGCUUCACUUCUUACCCUGACGAGUCCUGCGCACAGGGAGCCCGCCGGACGGCCACGUGGCGUCGAUGCUCUGUCCGUUUGGUACCGUCCUUGUAGCAAGCGCCCGCGCCCGGGAACAUCCUCCCCGGCAAGUGACCUUCCCGGGGAGUGCCCAGACGGGGAUUCCUUUGUUGCCUUCCAGUGCAACUCCCGCAGCCUGGCUAGCCCUGCCGGGCUGGUGGCUUGCCGGGCAGCUUGUGUGGUGCUGCCCGGUGCGCUAUCCUUGCGGGGAGCGGGUGAGACGACCCACGCGUCAUGCAACGGUGGUACCCCGAGUGCCAUUGGUGCGACAGCAGAGACAUGGGAAAGAGCAAGGGAAACGAUGGUUAUUCUAUUCCAAAGUGGGUCCCGCUUUUUACGGAUUUUGGCCUUGCCAACGCUGUGGAGAAAAUGGCAAUUUGACACUGGUGCUAAAUUAGCAUGAUAUGGCAAAUUUGGCUUUAGCACAUUGUGGAAGCCCUUAGUGUGCCCAUGCUAGUCUUAGCAUACGGCGCUUGCGUGGGGAACAAAAAUUACGAGAUUCAUUUGGUUGGAAAUUUUUGAAAUCUUUUAUCUCCUAAACCCGGCAUCCAAUUGACGAUUUGUUUUCACCGUUAGCUUAAUUGUGUCGAGAUCUACAAAACUAGAUCCUAUGUUGAUAUGUUUUGACAAUUUUUUUAUUUCAUCAAAAGUUAUCAGGUUAUUAUCACCAGAUUAUGACCACGUGGUUACCAGGUUAUAGUCAUUUUGUUUACCGGGUUAUAGUCACAUGUUUACCAAGUUAUUGUCACAUGUUUACCGGGUUAAUAUAACUUGGUUACCAGUUUGUGGGCAUCAACGUACACCUAUGUAAAGACUUGGAUCAUUGUACAUAUAUGAUCUGAUGACAUAUUUUGUUAAAGCACUUCAAUACCUACCUUCUGAGUUUGCCUAACAUCACAAUAUCUCAAUACAUGCUUUGUACUUGAUAGCGGUGUAUUAGCGAUGGACCGAUUAUUAAUACGGUAAUCGUUCAUGACUAACAUGGUAAACAUGAUAGUGUAAUCUGGUAACCGAUGGUGCCGAAAAUAUAUCGCCAAAACAUAGUACAACUUGUCUUGUUUUGAAGCGCUCGUCAAGACAAACUCAACCGUGAAAACGGAUGUUUAAUCAGAUUAAUAGUUUAUGAGAUAAAUCAUUUUGAAAAUGAUCAUUUUGGAAAAUGAAUUUCCCAAAAUUAAUGCACACAUUCAUGCUUCACGUUCCCUAUACGGCAGCCCCACUGGAACCACAUGCCGUACGGGAGAACAAGGGUGGGCACGUCCCCAAAUUAGAUUUCCCGUUAUGUAUUUGCGCAGUCUGGCCUUGCGAGCCACGCUCAAUAACAGCAAACAGCUGAAGCUGAAGUGUACAAGCAUACGAUGCAAUCUUACAUAGCACGUAGAGCGGUAGAGGACACGAUGUUCACAGGCAAUGGGUGUGUGCACCGAAUCAAUUGAUGCAGAGGCCAGCCAUCCUUUCCCUUUUCGGAAAAAGAAAAAGAUGUUCACAGGAAUGACUCUGAUCAAUUGCUUGAUGAAGGCUCUCCCUGGCUCAAAUGUAAAAUCAAGUAGCUCACUGUUGCUUCACUCAAACCUAGGACUAGGAGUCACAACACAUCGACUGGGAACAUAUAUGAGAAAUCCCUGAAGGCACUCAACCAUCUGGUAUUUAUGGACCUGCAUUUCUGUUCCAAAACCACACAAAGAACUUUGAACACUGGACACAACAUAACAUGCUGAAUUUGUCUAAUGCAUUAUGCCUCCUUAAAUGGUAAUGGUAUAUAUUUACAUGUACCUGAUUUCCACCCACAGAUGGCUCUGAUCGAACUCGAUCUUCCUUGCCAACUAGAGAAAGAUCAGACCAGCAACACAGCUGAACUAUCAUAUGUCUCACCACCAUAUAAAAUGGUUCAGCUAAGCCCCCAAUAUCUGUUGUACACAUGAGCUGAAACUACAAUUUCAUCUCAUCAAGCACAUUCUCCCCCGCCUAUCCUACUCAAGUUUCCACAAUUGAGUUGCACAAACUUACAGAGCAUGGAACCAGCAGAGAUUCAUCCGUUGCAGAUGGCAUUGAGGAGCACAUGCCCCAGCAUGAGGUCCACGAAAUACUGGUGACCAAUCUUGCCAUCCCGCCACACCAACUUCGCCGGUGCACGCCCGUAGUGCACACCGUCGUUACAACGGUUGUCGUAGUGCCAAGGGAACGUCAUGUCGAAGUUGUCUAUCACUCCGCCUGUGAGCACCCCGUGCUGCCUCAUCUUCUCCACGAGCACGCCAUUGAAUAGCUCCAUCUUAUUUGGAUUGAAUGCCAGGUCCCGAGCAUAUCCACCCGUCGCAACUGUCGUCCGGUAGAACACCCUCGGCACAGUGAGCCCACGCGACCGCACUUUAGCCAUAAGUCCAGCCCAGAACUGCACAGCAUACUCGGUGCCCUGCACGUAAGAGCGAAGGCUGCUCCAGUAGCACCCGUCGUGAAGGCCCGAGUUCAGGAUAACAACAUCCGGGACACGGUCAUCGCCCAGGAAGUAUGACCGGACAAGCUGCCGGAACCCCUUGUGCCGGAGGGAAUGCAGGCCCAGAUAGUUCAUGCUCAUGUUCCAGUGGCCGUUGAAGAUGCUUGUGAUUCGCAGAGUCCCUGCCUGGCCGCUGGGAUUGGUGAACACCGCGUCAAACCGGCGCGUCACGGCGGAUGUGUCCUCAACGCCAAGAACGAAGGUCAGCAGGUUCCGGAUGGUGUCGACGUGGUUGGAAUCGCCCCAGAAGAAGAGCCACUUGCCGUCAAGGCACCGCCACGCCGCAUCAGCCGUGAAGAGCUUGAACGAGCAGUGCGCCGAGUAGACCCACCCGUUGCUCUCCAGCACGCCCAAUGGACCGUUGCACCACGGUGCCUCACAUGGGUACUCCGGUUCUAGGCACCGGUACCGGCCGGCGCCGUCCACGUCAUCGCAGUUGUCGUUCUUGGCGAGCCUCGUCCACCGGCCGGACCAGACAUCACGGCCGAAGUCGGCGGCGCGGCAAGUUUCCAGCGCGGGGAGCGACGCGUUGCCCGGCCUGAAGAACAGCGGAAUGCGGCGGAGCUCGGCGCGGUACUUGAACCUUGCGGAGGAGAACUUGAGACCCUCGAAGCUCCGGAAGAGGAGGACGAUAGUGAGGUGGAAUUCCUCCGUGGCGAAGCGGGGCGCAACCUGGAGGCGGAAGGUGUAGGAGCCGUCGCCAUGGUCCACGACGGGGGGGCGCGACUUCCAGGCGGACCCGGAGAGAUCAAUCUCGAAGAAAUCCCCACCGAGGCAGCGCCGCAGGCCGGUGUCGUCCAGCGCCCAGAAGGUGAACUCGUGAAUCUCGGUGGCGCUCAGCUUGGUCACGGCGUCGUCAAGAACCGGGAUGGAGAUGUUGGUCGUGCGGGCGUCGCGGCACGGCGAGCCCCCGGGCGUGAGCCACCGGGAGAGCAGGUCCCCGGUGAAAUUGGAGGGGUUCGGCACGGAGAGCCAAGAAGGUGGGGCGGGGGCACCCUCGGCGCGUCCGCCGCCGCCGCCCCCGAGGUAAUGUUGGUACUGGUGGCGCAGCCGCUGGUCCGCGCCAGCGCCGGUGAGGGAAACGUCGACGGCGAAGAGGACGACGACGCCGAGGAAGGACCCGAGAGCGAGCUUCGCGGCGGAGGGGCCGCUGCUGCCGGGCUUCUUGGGGUGCUGGUGGUCCCCGGCACCGCAGCAGGAGGGGAGCUUCUUCGUGGGUUCCCCUCCGUGGUCGGUCUUCUUGGGGUCCCCGGCAGCGAGGCUGGCGCGUGGCCCGUGGGGCGGCGGGAGGUGCGCCGACAUUGCCGGGCGGGGGCUAGUUCCGGCUCCUUUUGGUGCGGCCACGCAUCCGUCCGCGUGUGCGGGGGAGCUGGUUUGCGAGGUGAAAAAGGGGUGGGUUUGUUGGGGCGGUGCUGCGAGCCGAGAACGAUUGAUUAGUUUUUUGGACGCAGACGACACACGAGCCGGCAAGUGAAUGCAAAUGGGAUCUUCUGCCUAGCCUCGUCUCUCCUUUAUUAUAUAAGAGAUAUUUUAUUUUAUACUUUUUUCUUCUCGUCCUACUGUCAUCAUCUUUUCUAGUCUUGGUACCCGCGUAGUAGUGGUAUCUUGCAGAAAAAACUAUCUCUUCAACUUUUGCUCCACCUCAGCUCAAAAAAUAGAAAAAUAUAUAUAACUACCUGCUAAGUACCCUUGUUGGAGAUACCCUAACAAAAUGGAGAUGCACUGGGCACCUAUUCGCUCAGUCCAAAAACAAGUGGACAUAUAAGAGCAUCCUCAGCAGCCUGUGGAUAUGCUUGUCUAUAUGAUUUAGAGGAUACGAGGAAAAAAAAGUCUCUCCACCAGUUUGUGUAUAUGCCUGUCUAAAAGUAGACGUCGUCCAAAUCCUCCUCCAGGACGUCCACAUAUCCACUGCCGAGCGACGACGUUCAAAGUCACAGCGCGCUCGCUCCCGCCCAUGUCGGGAAAGUUCCCGCCCCAACCGUUCCAGCCGAGGCCGCCCGUGCUGCCGUGGAGAGGUCGUCGUUCGCCUCCGCCGGCUGUCUCAAGGUAUUUUUCCAUCCAUUCGCAGAGAUAAAGAGAGGAGACGAGGCGCAUGCGUUCGGGUGCUGGAUUCGCCACCGUCGGUGGAGGGAAGGGGUGCCUUUGCUCGAGGGUGGAGGAGGGGCGCCGCUGACGUGGGAGAUGGAGGCGAGGGGCGCUGUUGCUGCUGUUCUUGGGGAGAAAGAAGGGGGGCGCUGCCGAUGGGGGAGAUUGAGGGGGCGCGCUGUUGUUCGUGAGGAGGAAGAAGGGGGGCGACGCCGAUGGGGUAGAUAGAGGGGAGGGGCGCUGCUACUGUUGUUCGUGGGGAGGAAGAAGGGGGGCGCCACAAGUGGGGAGAAGGAGGGACGCUUCUGCUGCUGCUCUUGGUGAGGAAAGAGGGGUGCUGCUGGUCGUGGGAGGAAGGAGAAGAAGGGUGCUGCUGCUUGAGAAUUCAGAGGGAUAAAUUCGAGAUGAUCUAUUGCACCGAACUUUAGCAGCAUUUGCAGUUAUUUGUAGCUAGUAAUUUGCACUUGUAAAUCUGAUUGCGGAUGGAAGAAGAUCAAGGUUUCCUGGAGAUGUUGAGUUUUGGUAAUUAUAAGAUACUAUUAAAAUAUAUGAGGAAGAAUAUAGAUAACCUGUAUAUAGACAAGCCGAUGAAAAACUAGAAAAUGUUAAGAGAGAAUCUUUUUAGACCAUUGUCUAUAUGAAGACAAAUUAUAUAACGGGGUAAACAUGUAUUGAGAAGGUGUCAACCGUCAUCUCUCUCGUCUUUAUUUCCUUCACCUCCUAUGAGCUAACUGCAUGUACAAAAUGAGAAAAAUGUUAUUGAAUUUGAUUUCCGUGUGAUCAAAGAGAAGCAAUUUUGAGAGGAACAAUUUUCUUAUUUUAAAAUGUUUUCAAAGAGAGGAGUGCAUUCUCUUUUGUGAACAAAUUUUAAAGUUAAACAUCCACUUACUUGUGGACGGAGGGGUGUGCUUUGCUUUUGGAUUAGCAGAGCCGCCUGAUUAAGGGCUCCUUCCAAUCAUAGGAACCACGGCAAUAGGAAAAUCAUAGUAUUAAAGUCCCAACAUGUUAAAUGUUACGGAAAUAAAUAAAAAUGCACCGAGAGUUGUUUGGAUGCUAGAUAGACAAAUUUAAACUAAGUGGUAUCUCUAUUUUCAAAAGAUAAAAAUCAUGAGGUUAGGUCCCGUUGGAGUGUACGAUGGGAGAAACACACUAUUAUAAAAAUUUCAUGAAUUAGACGUCAUGUUAUGUGAAUUCCUACCGGAAUCUAAAGCAUAUAAAUUAUAAAAUACAACUUUUCGAAUGAUUCAUGUGAACUUUACAUGAAUCUAAGAUAGAGACGAGGGAAGGUACAAUCAAAUUGCAUUGGACUUCCGAAAGGAAAAUCCCAGCAUUUACCUUAUGGGAAUUUUUAAUCUUAUUUUGAGUUGACUUUUUUAAAGAUGAUUGUGUAUUGCACAUAUGUAAUACCAUAAAUACGACCUUAGUACAGUGGUUGGAAAAUUCUCCUAAUUCAUUUUUUUUAGGAAACACAUAACAGACGCUCACAAACACGCACCCACACUCACCCCUGUGAACGCGCACUCGCACGUCCUAUCCCUAUGAGCAUCUCGAAACUGGUCCGGCACAUCAUCUUGAGAUUGACGAAGUCACCACAGGCGCCUCAUAGUUGAUGGGUACGUCACUCCCACACUACACCAAAAAGGCCUUGUAGAGUCUUUUUUUUAAAGACGCCAAUAUACUUCGUCUCAACGCUCAACAAUGAACACCAUAUAAAGAUGCUUUUUGAAACGUUUUACAUUACGUCACAACAGUCUCUUACAAACCAAGAAUUGAUUAAAGAAAAUCAUAUUCACGUUUAACAUAGAGACUAUAUUUGAGACGCUAUAUAAAACGACUCUUAAUUUUUAUUAGCAAUUAAUUAAACAAUUCUAUUUAUGUUUAAGGUAAAGAUGACAUUUGAGACGCUAUAUAAAAGAUGAGUCUUAAUCUUUCUACUGCAAGUAAUUAAAUCUCUUUGCCGCACCCAAUUUUUUAUGUUUGCCGCCCUCAUUUUUCUUUUCUUUUUUGAAAAGUUUGCCGCUAAUACGAACUCACCGCAUUUUUUUAAGGAAGAAAAUACCCUCGUAUAUAUCCUAGGCCCUGUCCCGAGCCUCAAUCUUUUCCUCUCCCAUCCCCUCCUCCCCCUUCUCUCCUCCAGCUGUCUCUCCCUUCCCUCCCCUCGCCAACCACAACCACGCCUUGCUGCUCUGACGACCGUCGGAUCCCUCCCCUAGCCAACCACCGCCGCCAACCGACCGGCCCCGCUGCUACACCGGACCUCCUCCUCCCUGCCUCUCGCCGCAGAUGCCUCCCCUGCCGGAUCCGGGCGCGCACAGCCCCGUCUCCCCCGGAUCUGGGCGCCCUCGGCCUCGUCUCCACCGGAUCCGGCCGCCCUCAGGCAUGUCUCGACCGGAUCCUGGCUACUUCGGCCCUGCUGCGUGCCGCCGGAACUCGGUACAUUUUUUUCGCUCCUCUCUUGGUUUUCUCUCUUUCAUUCUCUCUCUUACUCUUUCUCUCUCUCUCUCUGGUGGCUGACCUGCUCCCCGGGAGGAUGGUAGCGGGCGUCCGGCGGCGGCCAAGUACAACUACGCCACUCUAGCCAUCCCCGGCUUCUCCCCCGCCGGAUCCGACGUGUUUAAGCUUUGAUCGAUGUGCAUGCUCUGUAAUUUAUUUGUUUUCUAGGUUAAUCAAUGUGUAUGCUUUCUAUUCUCUGUAAGACUCGACAUUUGCUUGUUAAUAAAGCUCGAGAUUUGCUUGUUAACAAGUACUCCGUAUGAAUUUAUUUAUGUGUAUUCUCCACCAUCGUCGACAUUGAAGUGCAAGCCCGUGUGGCCUACUUAUUUUUUUUAAUUCCUCAAAUCAUUACCAGUGGCGGUGCCCACUGCUGCCUCAUAGCACUAGUGGCGCAGGCUUAGUGGCGGGCGGGUCCGCCGCCACCGGUGUUGAAAUUGGCCUGCCACUGCUGACCACUUCUGUAGCAGUGUUUGUACUCUGAUUUUAAGCUGCUAACUGACAUGUGAGUAUGGUUUACCUCUUUGGUCAUCAACCAUUUUUCUACCACUUGAUAUUAUGUUCCUGUUGGAUCUCACAUGGCUUAAUUGUAUGUUAGAUAAUGCACUACACUGUAGGAUCUUGUGCUUAGAAGUAACGGCAUGACUAUUAUUCUUUAACUUGAAAUUGCAGUAGUGCAAAUAGUUCUAAAGAAAUGCAGAUCAUAUGAUCUUUGGUUAUGCACAUAAUUACCUGUCAUUAGAUUGUUGUCUGACAUAUGUUCUUCGCAUUACUGUAGUGAAGAUAUUAUGGCAAGGCUACCUAGAUGGCUACAAAACUUGAAUAUUCCAUUAGAGGAUGCAGAAAAUGUGGAAUCAGAUGGUGGAAAUUUACAAGGCACUCCAGAGAUUUUCUAACAUUGGAGAAAUGCAGCCGUAACUACAGAAAAUAAUGAAGUUAGUAUUUGAACUCCAUCUCUAAUUCUGCAAAUAUAAUUUGUUCUUUAUCAGUAUACUAUGAUCAUGUUCUCAUUUCAGAAUGCUCUCUAUGAAAGAGGUGCUGGCAGUGACAUCCCAUAUGAAUCAGAGCAUGAAGUUUAAGCAUCAUAUCGCAAUCCUCAUGCUCCACCUAAUAUUGUGCAGGUGUUGUUUGUAGUCUAUUUUUAGGCUGUGUUGUUUGUAGUCUUUCAACGCUGGGUCUUUUGUGUUUAAAGAAACAUGAAGUUGAAGAAUUAUAUCGCAAUCCUCAUGCUCAACCAAAUAUUAUGCAGGUGCUGUUACAAAAAUUCGAAACAAAAGAUUGCCUAGACCAAAAUUUUUUUGUCAAAUGCUACAAGAUGCUAUUGGUUGUGUUAUUUUUUGGCUUUAGUCACACGUAAGUCUAUUUUAAUUCAAGCAUGAAACAACUUAGUAUUGUCAUAUCUCACAGGGUAUUGUGAUGUACAGGUCAAAAGAGUUCGUAAGAGAAUGACUUCAAGCCAGUCAACAAACAACAAGGUAUUUUAAUUUCAUCACAAAAUUAAACAUGUCAUUCUACACUCCCAAAAGAGCUUAUAUUUUUAUGUAGUUUACUCAUUUUAUAUGCCUACUUUGCAGGACUGUUGGGACCAAGAGGCAUGGAAAGAUGGAUGAGCAAAAAAGAUUUAGUUCAGCAAAAGCUUAUAGAUAUUACAACUAUUUAGAAAGAAAAUGUAUAGAUAUGAUCUUUUCUUGAUGUAUUGCACCUUCAUCUGCAUGGAUGUUUGAUUCAGCUGUGAUUUGUGGGCUCUAAUAAUGUAUCAUAUUUGUUGUUGCAGUCAAUCGAAGGCUGUAGUAUUUUCCAGUCUUGUUAUGAGAAUAUGGUCAUAUAUAUGAAAGGAAGAUGCAGAUUAUAUAUUACAAUUGAUUGUGUGUCCUCGUACAACUGAUUGUGUGAUUGCCCUGUGAUUGCCCGUCAAAUUUAGAAAACAUCAUUUUCCUAGAAAAUUCAAAAUUUUAAAAUAGGCUAUUCAAAAAUAUUUUUACAGAAAUGGGCUUGGCAUGUGCCAUGAGUUUUCAAUUAUGAUGGGCCGACAGAAAGGUGGGCCCAACUACAGCCCAACCCAACCCAAUACUGACUCAUAAGAUGGGCUAGGCCAAAUUUGUAAAAGCGUCUCUAUUUUUGUUGUCACGCAAAUUGAGCGUGUCAAAAUGUUGAUAGCGAGGUGAUUGGAACGUGUCAAAUAAAACGUCCUUACAUGUAUAGACACAAAUUUGAACGUCACUAUGAAACGUCUCAUAUUGUGUAGUCACGCUUAGCGAGCGUCUCUACGUAACUUGACACGGUCCCAGAAGAGACGCUCCAAAGACGCUUUGUGAAAGCGACUCUAUAAUUCACUAGAGAUGAAAUAUCAUGUCUUUAGCCUGUUAAUUCAGCGUUUCUACAGGCAUGUUUUGUUGUAGUGCCACUAAAAGCACGACGCCGGUUAAGGCCGAAAUAAAUUCAGAAAAAUGCGAGUACCGAUGCAAAGUCGAAGACUUAAACCUGAAUGGGCUGGUUGCACCAUAAGAAAUCAACCACCUGAGGAGGUUAUUGACUUUUGCUAUCUCCAAGGACAAAAAUAUCUUAAAUUCAAAAAUAUAAAAAAUAAUUUGUCUGGUAUGCCCAUUCUUUGAGGGAUGGAAUAGGAAAUGACCUUAAUGGGCGGUAACCGAACGUAACGCAAAAUCCUGAUUCCUGACUCUAUCUCUACAUGGUGCAUCUCACUCACACUAUUAGAGGAUAUAUGACGAGUGUUGUGAAAAAUGCAUGCAACAUUUUACUACUGAUUAAGUGAUAAAAUUCUACUCCCUCCGAUUCACAAAAAAUGUCACACACUUAGUAUAAGAUUUGUACUAACUUAGGAUAAAAUGAACGACAUUUUUUAUAGAUCACCGAGGAGUAAGUACAACUUUUGUGGUUGAUAAUUUCUUUGUUAUCCAGACAUGUAUAUAUUAAUUUCAUACUAAUAUAACUGAGUAGUAGAUCAUUGAUCUGUUUUUAUUUUGUUUUUAAAGGUGGUUGACCAUAAAAUAGGGUAAGUUAAAUGUCCUAAUUUAUACAGUACACCUCAAACUUAUAAUUGGAGCUUAAGCUGUAGCCGUCAUGGUAGAAAAAUAGCUGCGUCUGCUCUGUCACGAGCGCAGAGGAUCUUGUGCUAGAAUAUGGUGCUGUAUUUUUUUAGCUUUGCCUUUUUCGGCUUUCUAGGUGGUGUUGGGCUGUUGGGUUCCGGCUCGGUGCUGCUGGUGCCGUUGGGAAAUGUGCGGGGAAUGCGAUGCCCACUAUUCCACGUGGUCCAGCUGACCAGGUUAUCUCCGUACUUUGAGCCUCCUGUGCUCGAUGGGUUGGUGCUCCUCAUCGAUCAUUCCGGCGCAGUAAUGGGGGUGCCGAGAAAUGUGGCCGGCACCGGCAGUACCGUAUGGAGUGGGGUGGAUUCAUCGGCACGGAUGGGACGACGACGUCAAUUGCUGUCAAAUUGAGUUGUCCUUUCCGUCGCUAAACAUUUUGGUGAGAAUUGAAUGUGCUUACAGCGUACUGGCAGCUCUUACAUACAUCUAUACGACAAAAUUGGAUCGAAGGGAGUAGCGAAUUUUAUACACACGUACUGUAUCUGUUGGAUGGCAGUGUCUUGGUUCGUUACAGUUAUAGAUAUACCAGGUCUGGACAUUUUUGUCCGGAAUUGUUUCCGGAUCAGGCUGAAAAUAGCGUUUGGUUGGUCAUUUCGGGCUGUGCCAAGACAAUCGUUUUCUCAUUUAUACAAGCAGCUCUUUACGGGUCGUAUUGCUAGUCCAUGCCUCCAUGGAGGACCGCAUGUGAGGAGAGGCCCUCUCCACCUUAACUAUUCUCUACGAUGCAAAAUGAGUCUUUCGGUUUUGAACUAAUCCUAGUUCAAACACAGUUUAAAACUGCGAUAUUUAUUUUGAAUCGAAGGUAGUAUAACUUUAACUUUUCUCUAAUCAAUUUGACAAAAAUGCUUCUAACGACCAUCCAAAAUGUAGAAUCGAUCAUACAUUUUUCUGAUAAAGGUAUAGAUGAGUUUUCAAAUUUUGAGAUGGACUUUUAUAUGUUUUCUUUUGUUCAUUGUAUGACGUAUCUUGAAGAUCAGGAAGAUUGAGUGUUUCAGGCUUGGAAAUUUGGCUGGUACGUACUUUAUACUGUCUAAAAAGAAGGACAUCAUGACAUCGUCGGUGCAGCAAAACACUAACAAGAAAAAUCAAUGACUGUUAUGUUAUCUAGUACGAGGCCAUUGGGGCGUUACACUCUCGCUAAGCUGCCCAUCACCCCAGGACUUCUCUCCGACUGUUGACUUCAGAUUAGAUUCUUCGAAGACCAACUUCGCCGUUGGCUUUAAACACCCUUUUUUUAAUUGUUGCGGUCGGUUGGUCCGGGUGGAAGCUUGAAUGACCACCGAUCACACAUGAUUGAUGCGUUGCGACGAGCAAGAACUUGUCCCCUUAACCAGAUUUGCUGCCACCGAGCAAUUAAGAAGAAGAUGAUUAUGGAGUUUGAAAAACAAUGGUUAUAAUGGGUUCGGGUUCUUGCAAGUCGCAAGCAAAGCAGACACCGCGCCCUCGGUUAAAGGAAACGCAACGUUUACGAGGUUUAAUUGACACUAGCGGAUAGGAGUAGCUCUCUCCUUGCACGCAUGUCUACUGAAGUCACUCCGUUGCAUCAUACUGUGGGACUCGGUAUCUCAGAUUCCUUUUUCAAGCAGAACGGCAGAUCAGAUCAUAUCUAUCCCAAAGGAGGUCAAUCUUUUCGCGAUUUUUCAUUCCAUAAGUGCCUAGACGCACAUCAGGGUACCCUUUCCCGGUUGAACGAUUAGACGCUGCUCUUUUGUUUUGGAAACACAGUGUACGCGAGCGAUUACGGGAUAAGCUAUAUAAGGCAAAGAAAACAGCGAAGCACGGGACUGAUUGCAUUGAGGGAGCGGGGGGAGACAGCUGGUAAUGGUAUCGCGCCGCUUUAACAGUACACGUUGCUUUUGCCUGUUUCGCGACCCGCCCCGCGUGGUGGACCACCAGGUUACGGCCUUCGCCGUAAUGAUGCUCGCGACGGUACAAUGAAUACGGUCCUGAGUAGUUGAUCCGCAGCGACCAACGGCCAAGGCAUAAUGAUUUUCUUUGUCUGCAAGAUACUGCUGCCGUGUGCUGCGUGGUGUACGGUACAACACGCCUGUGUGAAUAUAUAGGUCGGCCAGUAGACCAUUUCCCAUGGUUGUACGUGUACCUGCAGCUAGGGGCACUUCCCACUGAGCUGGGCCGAUAAUCGAAAUCAUUCACUCCGUUUAACGUUAAAGACUCAAAUUCGUUAAAAAAUGAAUGUAUCUAUACAAAAAACGUCUAGAUACAUGUAAUAUUUUGCUACUUGGUAUGGGAUGAAAAGAAUAUAAAUUAAUUCGGUGGCAAGAUCGGUGCAAAGAUAUUUAAUUUGGUUGUGACUAGGCAGAAACCGAAUACACAGAUGCUGAAGUAACGACAAGUAUAGUUCCACUAAAUGUGCGAAGGCCCAUCCAAGCAAAGACCACCAGGCCCAUUUCCAAGUCUGCAUUCUAGUAUAACCCGCCUGCUUAGGUGGCUUACAUUUGCAUGCUAAACGACCGAGCACACACGUUUCCGCGUCGAGGCAUAAGAGACGUCACGAGAAAACCCGAGUCACCUUCUCUGCAGGAAGGUUUGAUCUCCGGCGGUUCUUCUCGUCUCUGAUAGCUCAUUUGGUGUUGAGUGGCGGGAGAACUACAGUUCAACUUUGUCAUUUAAUUUCUACCAUUUUUUUUUAUUAGGUGUGUGUGAUUUUGGUGGUGGUGUUUUAACGAUGGAGACGUUUUCGUCUAAAAGAUGAUGUCACGGCUCCAUUCUUGUCCUAGUGCGGGCACUGCUCCAUGCAAUCAGCAGUUCUCGCAGUUUGUCAUGCUGAAGGAAAUGUCACUCGGUCUGACUUUGUCUAUCUUCUUAUGUAUCGGUACUCUCUAUAGACCGGUAAAAAAAAAUAAAAAUACAAGAAUCAGGACUAUACGGGUAUCCCUACACGGCCCAUAGUUCGUUGCUGAAACUCUAUGGGCUGCAACAGUAGGCCCGAAAAAUGGCAUAUAAGGCCUCCGACACGAGUCCAGACGCACAGUUUUAAACUAGAAAACUGGUAACCUUACCCUUUUUUUUGCGAGUUUUUUUUAGGGCAUUUUGUUUUUGCGAGUAAACAGGUAACGUUGCUGACAAAGGAAUUAGCAUAUGCCAUGCACUUUGCGCUCAAACCAAAGACCAGCAAAGAAAGCUCGACCCAAAAGAGUGGGCCAGUCUUCUCCUGGGCCAAACAACAGCAAUUAUUCUCCCAAAAAUGCCUCUCGCUGGUCCUGAAUGUUUUGCCAGUACAGGAUCUUCUUGUGCUAAAACGGCUCACAUAGUCAGAUUGUCACGUUAUUACCCUAGAAAAAAGAGAGUCAGACUGACACAUUUCCACGGCGCGCACCUUUGCUACUACGAAAUCUGAAUACCUAUUCUCUAGACAGAAAAUAAAAACAAAAACUGUAUCAGCCUGGACUCGUUAGAACGAAGUGGUUUCUUCCCUCCCAGCCCUUUCGACAUUGGCACGUUGCCCACAGCUUCUGAACAAACGUUUGCUGCUGCGCGCACGAACGGCCGCUCAUGCUAGAAGGUUGCCCACCACUCUGGAGAUUCUGCCUGUGGGGCAUGGUUGCGCUUGCAUGCACAACCGUGCCUCGACAAUCCGUUACUGCAUGCAUGUAUGUAUGUGCUCUGUACUCCGUAUGUAAUAACCAGUCUGUAAUGCCUCCCGACAUCAGUUGACCUUUGCCUAAACCUAAAUCUGCCCGUAUCCACACAGCACAGGGCUGACAGGGCGCAUCCCGAGUUCAAGCUGGAGGUACCUUAAUCAGGCAUUGGAUGGACAAAACCUUGAGCCGGCCGGAACCUGAGUUGUGGGAGGGACACCAACUACCGCACCGCGCGAGAUCCCAAACGUAAUCUCUCCAGUCCCCAUGUUACACGAAGGGCCUAGGAGAUUCCAGAUCUACCUACGAGUUCCAAGGCCUGCAUCUAUGAUUCCAUUCCAUGAACGACAGCGGAAUCCAACGGAGAAAAUAAUGCAUCCGCAGCGCAAGGCAAGGCAUCCACUCGCAUCAAUCAUUACCCGUUUCAUUCUUUAAUUAAUACAGUACAACUAGAAUAGAGGAGUACUAAUGAGCACUACGUUUAGUAUUAUCAAUCAAUCUUACAGGAAAAAAAAGUGAACAGAGAGAGAAGGAAAAACACAAAAAAUAUUUAUUAAUUAAUACAGCCAAGAAAACCACGGCAGCACCACAUGGACGACAGCAUACUAUACAUACAGUUCAAUUUGGGAGGGGCAGUACUCUCUAAAAACAGCUUAUUAGUGUGGUGCUCCCGGCUCCUCCUCCCCUGCCUCCCUAGGGCUCUUACAUUACACACUUAACCCUGGGAGCAACAAUGUUUAUUUACCCAUAUAAUAAUGUAAUAAUGCUACAUAAUUAAGCAUAUUAAUUAAUUAAUCCAAUCCCUUAGAGAACUCUCUGCACCUGGAGCUAGUUAAUCGGUUGCUUUUUUUUUUUUGCCUUCUUGAUCAUUUUAUGAGUAGCUAGUCACAAUCAGGCACGUCUCUUUGCGGACGUGCCUGCUGCGACAGCGGCGGCCUCCGUCUGCGCUGCCGCCGCCGCCCGCGCCUUGUGGGCGGCAGCCUUGGAUCCGCCGCUCCAGUUUCUGCCCUUCCUUUUAGAGUGCGCCGAGCCGGACGUGGACCGGGGGAUGAACACGCCGGUGCCCUUGCUGCCGCACUGUUGUUGUUGUUGCUGCUGCCACGCUCUGCCAAUGUCACCGGCGGCGCUAUUGUUGUUGUUGUUGGCGGCGGCGGCGCCGUAGCUGGCGGCGUGGUGGAACAACGUGUAGGCCGGUGGCGCCAACAUCGAAGCCCCCUGCGGCACAUGGGGCGCCAUGGAGAAACCCUGCGUGAUUCCAAUCAGAUAUCGCUAGCUGUUAGCGUCGUUAAUUGGUCGCGCUGAUGCAGGGGGGCGCACAUGAUGUGAUGCGGUGGGAUCAUGCAUCUACAUGCAUGCGUUUGGCGCGCAAACUUUAUUUACUUGAAAGAAAUUUUGAAAUCCGCCGGCACAUAAUAGCUGUAGCUAGCUAGCGAGCUCCUAGGUGCUAACUCAUGGCAACUUGCGUGCAUGCAAAGAUUUCAUUUCAGCACUGACGCCAGAUCUUGUCUGACAUAGCAAAUCAUAUAAGGAAUAAACAUAUUACAAACAUCGUAUAUUUAGAGUGGACAAAAAAAAAAAGAGAAACAUGGGAGGUACGAGUGGCAUGAUGAUGUGUUUGUGUGCAAGCAAUAAGGAUUGAGGAAGGGGGUAAGCAAAAGUCCAAGCAACAUCGAUCACUUGGUCGUCUGCAACAUGAUAAGUGUUCCCAUCGAUUGGUAGUUUAAAAAAAAACAAUUUGAUUGUUGGCAAUCAUGCGAGGGGAGUGACGACGACCAUGCACAUAUAAUUAGCACCGUGUACGUAUGGGCGACGGUAAAUAAAACAAUCAAGGAUUAAUUACUAGAGCUGUCAGGGCAUCAUCCGGCCUGGGGGUUAAUUGAUCUUGAGCGUCGAUCUACGUACGGGUUAAGCACCGCCUGUUGUCACGCGGAGGACACGUACGUAGCGAGGGGGACAUCGGUAGAGACGCGGAUCGUCUACAGCCAUCCAGUGGUGGUGGGGAAGGCGUACCUUGCAAGUUUCCACUUCAGGAAUGGCUAAUGAGAGGGACGUGGUUGUGGUUUGAUCUGAUCUCUGAUCGAAUAGCACCACUGCACAUAUUAAGGUAAGGUGGGCCCUUGCGUAGCUAAGCUACGCGUCUGGAUUAGAGCAGUUCGAGUAAUUAGUCGUUGUUCUAAAUCUGUGCUCUCACUGCAGGCGAAGGCGGAAAGUACGUGCUACACUCGUAAUCCUAGUCGUGGACGCAUUUAAAUGAACCUAGUUUUGUCAUUUGUUCAUCAAUCUAGCCGACUUGAUUAGGACAUGAUCGGACCCGGAACAAACGAAACUUUACCACAAGGAAACAGUAUAUAUCUAUCAAAGUAUAUCUCUUUGAGAAUUUUGGUGGAAUUAAUUAGUGUUAGCUUGUCUACCUUCGCCGGCCUUAGGGGCCCACCGAAGCAGACCUUGGCAAUAGCAAAGCUAACUUGUCUAAAUGGUCAAUUUCAUACAAAAGGUCUUUUGUUUCCUCUUAAUGCACCGGCUCCCUCUGACGUGUGCAUGAAAGAUACACAGGCGCCCAUGUAGCUUCUGGCUGGCUGAUGCUUAUCCUCCAAAAAUUCUGCGCGUACGCACAUGCAACUGGGCAAGCGACAGGCAGCCACUCGAUCGAUCAUCCUAAUUAAUUAGAUUAGUAUCCUCCAUUCCGAACCAUACGCCACGCAUAUAAUGGAAAAACAUAAGAGUAUGUAUUAUGCAUGUAAAAAGAAUAAUACUAUAUGAGAGAGUAUUUUAGAACAGAGCAGUAAUUCACAGCGCGGAAGGAACAAACAACACGCAGCGCCUGUGCGUGGUGCCAAGAUGCGAAUUAAUGAGGUUGCUAGCUGGUAACACUAAUUGAAAUCUUAACAUGAAGACCAGCCAACCAACGAACAUGGAGAGACUGCUGCUCGCAAGAUGGCCUUGUCUUCCUCAGCAGCUGUUGCGCUUUCAAUCGGGUUAAAAGGAAAAGGAAGUUUGGUUUGGUUCGAUUCGAUUUGGUCCUGCGCUGUGCGUGUGUGUGGUCGUGCUGCAACAACCAAGUAGUUAUAGUACUAGUACCAACUAACUACCGAGAUCGAAGAAAGCCGCAAGAAACCUAAUUACAGAAGCAUAGCUAGCUCAUAAGUCACAAAGCAUCCAUGCAUGCAUGCAGGCGGAGAAAAUGGGCAUCAGAUAUAGCAAGGGAGAAAGGGAAGGGCGGCUCACCGGAACGGGCAGAGAGGCGGGGAACUGCGCGGAGCCGAAAUCGGCCUCGUCGUCGUCGGUGAUGAGGAGCGAAAUCCGCUUGCUGAGCUCCGCGAAGAAGACGUCGUCGUCCAGCUGCAUCUCCACCUCCAUCUUCCUGUUCUCAAUCCGUCCUCUUUUACUGUAUCUCCGUUGCGUGUUUGAGCUAGCUUGAGAUGGCCGGGAGCUGGAGAGCGGUGGCAACCAGCAGAGGAGAGUAGGAGCAGGGAAAAACGGAACAGAUUGUUUGCGUCUCUGCUGAGCUCGGACUCAGAGGAGCCGCUUUAAUAAGAUAGAUUUUUGGUGCAUGUUCGGGGUUUGGGGAUGGCUGGGUGGGACCGGUAGAGCAGUUGGCCAAUCCCUGCUUGGAAAGGUCGUGGGUCCCACGAAUGCACAUUUCUUUCUCCAAUCUGGUCUCUGCGGUGGUGAAGUGCGCCCCCACAUCACGAGAACACGGGGGCCCGCCUGUCAGCACGUGCAGCUUUCUUCCCUCUCUAAAGGUAGGGGUCGAGUUUCAGAGAGAGAAAAGAAGAUGUGGGGAUCAAGUUUCAGAGAGAGGAGCUGCCGGCUUCCGAGCUUAUCACAAUUGCCGAUAAGCUACUGAGACUAGUACUAGUACCCGUUUCUGGUCCGACAGAAAUGACGGAUAGUACGAAACCCGAGCCGUAAUCGUUUCGUUGUCGAACCAACCAUUCGAACGCGCAGAAUCCAUCCACGGCCGUUUAUCAGAAUCCAGAAAAUUACGACGCGAUGACGUGCACGAGGACCGGACACAACUAAUCCCCACUGGGCUUGCUUGCGAGAGAGCGACCGGGUUAUUGUUAAGCGCGACGUUAUCCAUCCCUUGCCUUAGCUAGAGAGAGAGGGGAGAGAAAGAAAGGAUGAGGAGGCUCCGGCGCGGAGUCGGCCACCGAAGCCAUCGCGAUUUUUGGGGUGCCCAGCCCAGUCCGGCCGCGCGCACCGCAUCAUCCGCUGGCUCUGCCUGCCCACAUGGCCGCCAGGGUGGGCGGCGUCCUUGCUUUCAGCUCUCUGGGGGCACGUACUGGGGCCCGGGGCUCCUUGUCCCCACCCGCUUUCCUUUUUCUCUCUGCACCUGCGAAUGACUGCAUCUGCAUCAGCAGCAGGCUGUACUGAUCCAAACGCAGCACUAUUCCCGAAAGGCUGGCCAUGUCGCAUGUCACGUCUGGCUAUAUCUCCUCCUUUCUUGAUAGCAUUAUUAAACGGAGGCAGUACUAAGUACACCCGCCAGAGCGCAUUUAGGUGUCGUACUACUACUGUUCUGUUUUUCAGUUGCCAGACGAGGUGGUGCUGCUAAUCAUGGGAGAGGGAGAUGCGAGAUCCAAUCCAAAGCCGGUGUGCUUCCAUUCCAUUUCCAUCCACGUACAGGAUAGGAACAGUGGUUCCCAUCAUGGGCUGGGCCUGGGGGCCUCUGCUGCCCCCCGGUUCCUAUCCGAAUGAACGAACCACCGAAUGGCGCGAUCGGGCUAAGCAAAGGCUGGCCGCGCUCCACGUCCACCUGCUCCUUAAUCUCUUCCCCACAGACCCACUAGGUGGUGUGGUGGGGCAGCAGUCCGAGGCCACUAGCGCCCCCCUGCACCCAUGGAUCGCUACUGCUGCAUUUUGUGUGUGCAGUGCAGUUUGGCGGGUACGUACGGCUGCUGGUGGUGUACGGCGAGCAUGUAUGUAUGUAUGUAUGUAAAGAGGAGCGUGUUGAGGGAGUUUGGUUUUGGACGGGAGGGACGACUGGUGAUCCCGCGCGCGUGCGCGUGUGUGGCUGCCGUCACCCGCGCUCUGUGGGCGCGCGGCCGUUGGUUGGACUCGGACAGCGACGUCGUGCGUACGUGCGCCGCCGUGGAUACCGACGAGCGACAAGUAGAGAGGCUGUGCACGUUGUGUAGGCUGUCGCUGGCCUGGGCGAACCGUUCGUGUUUGCGGCCUCUUCGUAGCAGCACCGCCUAUGGGCAGUCGGCAGUCGGCACCCGGCCUUCAGCAGCAUUGCAAGAAAAAAGGUGUGCCAUCUUCUUGCAAUGAAAAGCCCUCGAUCUAACCUUUUUUCAACACAGAGAUACGUGAAAUUGUGUUCGAAGCACCAAACUCGAGAGGAUGUGCUGUUUUCCAAAACGAUUGAGCAACUUCAUAGCUGCACAAGUAAACCAUGUACUCUCUCCGUAUAGGAAAGGAUGUCGCAACUACCCCACCUUCUAGUUCAAACGAAAAUUUGCAAAAAUGUCCCUUGAAUUUGAAAUUUUGAAUUCAUAUCUCAAAUUCAAACUGAAAUCUUGACUGUCCGUCGCCGUCGCGCUGGCCUCGCACGGCUGGAGCUCCCGCCGGCCUCCCGCUGCCCACGCCCGGCCGGCCUCCCGCUGCCCUCGCGCCGCCCGAGCUCGCGCCGGCCCCCCGCUGCCCUCGCGCAACCAUCCG